GCCGCAUGGUCUCCAAUUGCCCCAGUUUCAGGUUUUGAAGGUGAUGACAGGGUAACUUCAUACAAUAUAAUCUCGGGGACAUCAAUGGCAUGCCCACAUGCUGCGGGCGUGGCUGCAUACGUCAAAUCAUUUCACCCCAAUUGGUCACCUGCUGCAAUCCUGUCAGCUCUUACAAGUACUGGUAUAGAUGCAUUUUCAUAAAUGUACCCAUUACAAUACAACCGUUCUCUCACAUAUUUGAUGAGUUGUGUGACCAAUUAUUAUCAGAGAUCAUGUGACCAAGUCUUGUGAGAGAGACCCUACAUAUAAUAAGACUUUGUCCAUGAUGUACAUUGUAUUACCUAAGAUUUAUAUGUUUGAUUAAUUUGUAACGAUUUUGCAGCCAAACCUAUGAGUACAAAUCUUAACCCUGAAGCCGAAUUCGCGUACGGUGCUGGCCUACUAAAUCCUAGUAGGGCUCCGUAUCCUGGUUUGGUAUACGACACUGCUGAAAUCGAUUACGUAAAUUUUUUGUGUGCACAAGGCUAUAGUACCAGAUUAUUGAAAGCUCUUACCGGGGAUAGCUAUAGCUGCUCAUCAUCACAAUCUAGUCAUGGAACACUCAGUGAUCAUCUAAACUAUCCUUCUGUUGCACUUUCCACCUCGAACCCUAAAUCCGUCAAUGGCAUUUUCAAUAGGACCGUCACAAAUGUUGGAUCACCAAAGUCCACAUAUAAAGCUAAAGUGAGUGCACCACCAGGACUUGAUAUCAAAGUUAAUCCAAGCAUUCUAAAGUUCACAUCUCUCGGGCAGAAGCUAUCGUUUCAAGUCACGGUGAAAGGGUUGAUUGAAAAACCAUAGUCUCUGGUUCUCUGGUGUGGGAUGAUGGUAAAUUCCAAGUGAGGAGCCCCAUUGUUGUGUAUUUUGUGUUUUGAGAACAAUAUGUGUAAUAAUGUAUGAUGCAUGAAUAAGCAAUUGCAUGAAACUAGAUAGGGCUUCAAUGAAACAAAAUUGCAACAUAUUGAUCACGAUGAUGUAUUUUAAAUGAAAACUAAAUUAUUAUAUAUUUAUGAACCUUUAAUAUGAUGUAGUACAUCGAAGUACAUCGAAAUUUGAAACGUACCCAUUUAAGGAUAUUUUAUAGCUCUCUAUGCAAUCUAAUUGUAUAUUUGAUAGUUCAUUUUUGGUCUGCAUGGGAAAUAUGGAUUUUCUCCUAUGUUGAUUACUUGAUUGAAGGCCCCAUCCCUCGUUGCCCGUGUAUACAGGUUGUACCUAUCACUACAUCAAGUUAUCAACGAGACUUUAGUCGGAACCUUCCUGAUUAAAAACAAAAGACCGAAAAACUUCGGUGGGGACAUUUGCAAACAACGACGUAUACAACAACAACAACAACAAAGCCUUUUCUCACUAAGUGGGGUCGGCUAUAUGAAUCCUAGAACGCCAUUGCGCUCGGUUUUGUGUCAUGUCCUCCGUUAGAUCCAAGUACUCUAAGUCUUUUCUUAGAGUCUCUUCCAAAGUUUUCCUAGGUCUUCCUCUACCCCUUCGGCCCUGAACCUUUGUCCCGUAGUCACAUCUUCAAACUGGAGCGUCAGUAGGCCUUCUUUGCACAUGUCCAAAUCACCGGAACCGAUUUUCUCUCCUCUUUCCUUCAAUUUCGGCUACUCCUACUUUACCUCGGAAAUCCUCAAUCCCAAUCUUAUCUUUUCUCGUGUGCCCACACAUCCCACGAAGCAUCCUCAUCUCCGCUACACCCAUUUUGUGUACGUGUUGAUGCUUCACCGCCCAACAUUUUGUGUCAUACAACAUCGCUGGCCUUAUUGCCGUCCUAUAAAAUUUUCCCUUGAGCUUCAGUGGUCUACGACGGUCACACAACACGCCGGAUGCACUCUUACACUUCAUCCAUCCAGCUUGUAUUCUAUGGUUGAGAUCUCCAUCUAAUUCUCCGUUCUCUUGCAAGAUAGAUCCUAGGUAGCGAAAACGGUCGCUUUUUGUGAUCUUUGCUAGAUUGCUCCGGUCAUUAGUGUGGAUAAGUAUAUAAAUGGAUAGAGAUAGGAAAGCAAACACAAGAUGUACGUGGUUCACCCAGAUUGGCUACGUCCACGGAAUAGAGGAGUUCUCAUUAAUUGUGAAGGGUUUACACAAGUACAUAGGUUCAAGUUCUCCUUUAGUGAGUACAAGUGAAUGAUUUAGUACAAAUGACAUUAGGAAAUAUUGUGGGAGAAUGAUCUCGUAAUCACGAAACUUCUAAGUAUCGGAGUGUGGUAUCGUCUUGACUUGCCUUAUCUGUCUCAUAGGUAGAUGUGGCAUCUUCUCUGGAAGUACUCUUCCUCCAUCCAGGAGUGGUAUCUUUAACUGGUGGAGAUGCACAAGGUAAUGUAUCAAUUUCACUUGAAGCUUACUUGUAGUUUCAGGCUUGGUCAAGCGCGAUACAAACCAUGUAGUAGGAGUCCCCCAAGUCGCCGAGCUAGGGGAUUUGCUGAAAGAGGUGACAGACAAGGUAAGCAAUCAGAGCUCCGGCUGAUUGUUCACAUUCUCCCUAUCUUGCAGGCAGCAUGAAGGAUAAAGAGAAGAAAAAUGAGAAGGGGUGAUAUGGGAUACUUUUGCUUUUGAAGAAGUAACUUUCCACAGGUUUAUUCUUGAACUGAGCUGGAGGGUUUUCUUGUUUCCUCCAGAGUAUAAGGCCAACUGAAGAAUUUGAGGGUCAAAACAAGUCCAUCAAAUCUAGAGUACGUUCGACCCUGCUAAUAUGGGAUACUUUUGCUUUUGACAGAGUAGUGGAUGUAUCGACACGUGUGCUGUUACGCUUGUCUCCACAUGCUUCCUUGUAUCCUUCUCACUUGCCCUAUCUGUUCCUCAGGCAGAUGCGGUAUCUUCCUUGGAAGCAUAAGAUGUUGAAGAUGAGUACUCGAGAGCAAUGCCAGGUAAGUAAUCAGGUAAGAGGUUCCAGGCAGUCAGUUCCUGGCUGGAAUCUUGAUUCCAAGUGCUGACUGAUUGCUCUCUUUCUCCUUGUCUUGCAGGUAAGAAUAAGGCCAAAGGAAAAAACAGGGAAAAAGCAUGAUAUGGGAUACUCUUGCUUUUAACCUUGAUGAUAUGAGAUAUUCUUGCUCUAGUAUAGCUUGUUUGCAGAGGUAUUAUCCGGGGGAAAGAAAGCUGAAUAUUUCGAAAGGCUUCGUUGGGAGUGCCCUCUCAGAUAUGAGGAAGGGUUGAGCAUUUUUGCAGGUCUGCCUGUCCGUUGGGGAUGGAGGUCGACAUAUAUAGGAGUAUCCCUAACAACAAGUAGUAAUGCUAUUCCUUUACCCUGCUUGGUCAUAGCACGGUAGUGGGGGCUGCCAGUUUACAUGUUUUAACUCUGUCAGAGCACUUUGAAAAAGUGGUCUGUGGUAUCUGGAAAGCUGAUGUUGCGUGUGAAGAUUACAGACAAGCUUUAUCCAAGGAUAUCCGGCUCUUGAAGUUGGGAAAGUGGUGCCUCUUCGGUUUUCGAACAAGCAAUCCUAUCGGGGAUCUGGCUCACGAGAUUCAGAGAACGAUGCCUCUUCGAUUUUUGAGAAAGCAAUCAUGCUGGAGGUCUGGCUCUCGAGAUUCGGAGAGCGAUGUCUCUUCGAUUUUUUAGAAAGUAAUCAUGUUGGGAGUCUGGCUCUCGAGGUUCGGAGGGCAGUGCCUCUUCGAUUUUGGAGCAAGCAAUCUUGUUGGGAGUGUUUUCUCGAAUGUAAGUAAAGGUUGGGCAUGUUUGCUAGUCUACCUUGCCACGAAGCACAAAGGUUGACACACAGGGACUUUCCAAUUAUCCAGCAAUGGUACUGUUCCUUUACCCUCUCUUCGAUUUUUGAGAAAGUAGUCAUGUUGGGAGUCUGGCUCUCGAGAUUCGGAGGACGGUGCCUCUUCGAUUUUGGAGCAAGCAAUCUUGUUGGGAGUGUUUUCUCGAAUGUGAGUACAGGUUGGGCAUGUUUGCUAGUCUACCUUGCCACGAAGCACAUAGGUUGACACACAGGGACUUUCCAAUUAUCCAGCAGUGGUACUGUUCCUUUACCCUUGUGGGUAAUAAUAUGGUAGCUAGACCUUCAAAAUUUAUGUGUCUAAACUUUGUUAGUGCUAUUUCUUUGCUAUUCUUUUACCCUUCUUGGUCAGAGCGAUGUAGUGGGAGCUGCAAGCUUCACGUGUCUCAACUUUGGCAGAGAACUUUGGCAAAGUUAUCUAUGGUACCCAUGAGCUACUGUUGCGUGUGGGAAGUAGGUGAUUGAACAAUAAGAUUCAUGUGCUUUCUACUUCACCAGAAGUCUUCGACAGAAUGCCCAUAAUUUCCGCAAAGCUGAGUGUGCGUGUGACAGAUGCUGACAAGGCUGGAAAAGUAGGUGCCUCUUCGAUUUCUGAGAUCGGCCUUCGUGGUCUCUGAGCAGCCCAGCUUUUGAGAAAGCAAGCGCCUCUUCGAUUUCUGAGAUCGGCCUUCGUGGUUUUUGAGCAGCCCAGCUUUUGAGAAAGCAAACGCCUCUUCGAUUUCUGAGCAGACGCCUCUUCGAUUUCUGAAGCUCUGUCAAGUGCAGAUUUUUAUAGGGGCUGGCAUUAAGUUCCAAAGCACACUUGAAUCUCCACCAGUAGAAGCUCUACUCUUGCACUUCUAAGAUCUUGAUUUGUCCGACCUUUUCUCUCUUCAACACCUUUGAAAAUGUCUGGCCCCUCCGACCGUCGUUUUGACUUGAACCUUGUUGAAGAGGCAGCCCCGCCUUCUCCAGACAACAUAUGGCGCCCCCUUCAUGGUCCUCUUCCGUUGGGGAUCCCUACUGAUGAAGAAUCUUACCGUUGGGAUUCCGGAUGAAGAAUGAACCCGCUGCGGUGGUGGCCAGGAACCUUCUCACUCCCAAAGAUAACAGACUACUUUCCAAACGGUCUGAUGAGUUAGCUGUUAAGGAUUCUCUGUCAGUGUUCAGUGUGCAGGUUCUGUGUCUAAUAUGGCCCAACGCCUAUUUGCUCGAACCCGCCAAGUUGAAUCAUUGGCGGCUGAAGUGAUGAGUCUCAAACAGAAGAUUAGAGGGCUCAAGCAUGAGAAUAAACAGUUGCACCGGCUCGCACAUGACUAUGCUACAAACAUGAAGAGGAAGCUUGACCAGAUGAAGGAAUCUGAUGGUCAGGUUUUACUUGAUCAUCAGAGAUUUGUGGGUUUGUUCCAAAGGCAUUUAUUGCCUUCAUCUUCUGGGGUUGUACCGCUUAAUGAAGCUCCAAAUGAUCAACCUCUGAUGCCUCAUCCUUCUAGGGUUCUGUCCAGUACUGAGGCUCCGAAUGAUCCCCCUCCGGUGCCUUCUCUUUCUGGGGCUCUACCGACUGCUGAGACUUCUCCUAAGCAACCUUUGUGAAGGCUUCCUCUUGUUUGUUUAUUUUGACUUAUGUAUAUGUACAUAUUUGUAACUUAUUGGGGAUAUCAAUAAAUAAGCUUUCCUUCAUUUCAACGUAUUGUGUUAAAUACACCAAAGCCUUCUUCGCUAAGUUCUUUGAAUUUUCUUUUGUUGAAGCUUGUAUGUUGAAGCUUGUAUGUUGAAGCUUUGUGAGUGGAGCAUGUAGGUUGAGGUAGUGUUCCCUUAAUUUCCCGAGUGAGGAAAACUUCUCGGUUGGAGACUUGGAAAAUCCAAGUCACUGAGUGGGAUCGGCUAUAUGAAUCUUAGAACGCCAUUGUGCUCGGUCCUGUGUCAUGUCCUUCGUUAGAUCCAAGUACUCUAAGUCUUUUCUUAGAGUUUCUUCCAAAGUUUUUCUAGGUCUUCCUCUACCCCUUCGGCCUGAACCUCUGUUCCAUAGUUGCCUCUUCUAAUCGGAGCGUCAGUAGGCCUUCUUUGCACAUGUCCAAACAACGACGUAUACACAUGUAAAAUAUCAGAGUAGCAUCAUGUAUCGGUGGCAUAAAAAUCUUUACGCACCCACGUGUUCUAGAUGUUGGCACAUGAUCAUGCAUCGAUAGAUAUACGUAUGGACAAUGCAUGCCCUACCAUGCAAAUUAUGCCAAGAACAACAAUCGAUCGAGUGACCAGUGGUGGGAGAGCUAGGAAUAUUAGCAAGCUGCAUUUUCUCAAUUCCCACUCUCACUUGUUUGAGCAUACCGACUAAUAUGCUUGUUUCUUGACUUGUGGAUGUAUCCCAAGGUCAAUAUGGAUGCAUGGCAUGCGAUGUACGUCAGGAGGUUUUUCUUCUUUUCAAAAGCAGUAUAUGUUGGAAAAGUUAGACAUGGAAUUGAUACCACAGUUAAUAUGCUUUUGUACCUCAUUCCCUAUAACCAAAAAUUGCAUCAAGUAAAAAUUACCUUAUUUCGCAACAUUUCUUCAACUGGCUACUGGCUCUCUAGUUUUUCAAUUGUCAUCAUGGUCCAAGUACCUAAGCUGGGUCGGAUCAUUUUCUUCUUUGAGCAGAAGGACGUUAACCAUCGGAUUACCAUCGAUGAUUGCACAUGUUAUGCACUAAGAAAAGGUUGCAAGCGGUUAUUUGCUUGUAGAGCUACCGGCUGCCUUAUAGUACAAACUAGAAAAAGUUCUACCCGAACCGUAACGAACGUUGCUGCAGGAUUAAAAAUUGUGUAAAAAAAAUUAUGUUUCAAAGGUAUAAACCUAUCAACUUGUAUCACAUCUAACUGAACUACAACAACAUAUUGAAGCACUUAAUAUGAAAUUUCAUAAGCUAUUUGACAAUAUGAAAUCAAGCAAUUAUUGAAAAUCAGAAACGGAGCUUAGAAAGUAAAAAAUCCUACCUCAUUAUAUUAAAACAAUUAACAAAUUCUCAGUGAAUGAUCACAAAAAAGGCUCAGUUCUCACCAUAAUGAAAAUUAUGACAUCGUUUUAACAUGAACUUGAGUUCAUUUCAGUCACCAGCAUUAAUAAAACCAGUGACUUCAACCUGUGCAAGGAAACAACUGACUUAGACGCAAGCCAACCAACUUUGAAUCUAACCAAAUAAAAAAAGUAAUCACAAUCGAACUAACCUCUUCUUCCCAAAUGAAGUAGAAGAUGUCCCCUGUUUUGCCAUUGUGAACAGUGUACUCUACUCUCAACACACAAAAAGAACACACUCAAAAUGCUGAGCAAUAUUAUAAAAGCUACACAUACAUCAUUGUAUAUAUAUUUGGACAUAAAGUAUAAAGAUCUGCUGACAGUAUCAAGCUUAAAUUUAACAAAAGCAGUAAUUACGAAUUGAAAUCAAACGAUAAUAUAGUUGUUAAAAAAAAUUCUAACUAAAUUUUACAAAUAGCAUCAUAAAUGUUAAAAAAAAUAACACCAUUGAAAAAACUCAUUACUCAAAUCUGUAAUUCUAUAAAAGCACAUCACUGAAAACUUCAAUUUCAUCAAAACAUGUCAACCUAUAUCACAUCCAAAACCCAUUAAUAAUCUCUUCUUGUGUAUAGCUUGUCCUCAGAAUUCGCAGCUGAAAACGGAAUGUAAGUUCAGAGUAUGAUGAAAAAGAAGAAAUGAAAGAGUUGUGUCAAUGAAAAAGAAUGAGAGAGCGGGUAUCAGAACAAUCUACAAAGAAGAAGAAUUUGAGAUGAAUAAGUGGAUAAAUUGCUUACAUGAAGAGCUGAUUUCAAAUCGAUGAUCCAUUUCUCACCCUAAUAAUAUUUAACAAUUGCAAUUAGUAAAAUUUUCUUGAUAAGAUGAAAUCUAGGAGCAUAAUAAUAAGCAUUAGAAAUAGAAAAGCCUUAUAUAGUGAUUAAGGCCCUUAAUUAACUUGCGAAGCUUGAAAAGUCAUUCUCUUCACGUGGUUAAUUUGGAAGUUAUCCAAUGUAUGUAAAAACAUGAAUCAGAAGCAAAUUGAUGAAAUCGGAGGGAAAAAAUGUUACUUAGUAAUUGUAUAUGUUAUGAAGGCAUCAAAUAAAGUCCUGAUAAAAUACCAGCAUCUUUAUAUUAACCACUUUACAUAUAAAUUAUAAAUGAUUAUCACAGCCUUAAACAAAUUUCAUUUAGGGAAGACUGAUGAGGGGAUAUACGACUCACAAACAACUGAGACUGUCCUUUUUUUUUUCUUUUUUUUUUUUCAUAUCAACAAACACACAAAUUCUUAUAUUUCCGAAAGCACCUGCAUCCCAACAUAAAAACUUAAAUAAUACAUGAAUCAUCGAUGUUUUGCUUUGCAAACAGCCAAGGGGAUAGGAACUAAAAUAAAUUUCGUGACCAAGAACCUCUUAAAAACCAAGCUUGAAAGCAUAAAAACAAAGCUUUCAAUCUUUCUGUGCAAAUUAAUAUCACAAUCAAUUCAACCCCAUUUCCGCAAUCCAAAGCUUCAAACUUCAUACAAAAAUACAAUAAUUUUUAGAAUUUCACCCAAACAUAAAGAGAAUAAUAUUGUUAGGUGCGGAGAAGAAAAAACCAGGGAAAAAUGGAAGAUGGAUUUUAGCAUGGAAAAGCAAUUCACAGCAACAAUAAAAAGGUGAAAUUAAAAACUCAAUUGAAUCAAAUGAAGAAUUUUCUAGUGUGCAAACAAUUAGUGUUAUCAGCAAGAAGUUUCAGACCUUAAAAUGCAAAAGCAUGUGCCCAAAAUGCAAUCCUAUAAAACAUGAAACAACAGCCAUAAGAUAAUCGGAAAUUUUCUAAUAAAAUGAACCGAAGACCAACUUUGAAUAAUUGGUAACGAUGACGCUUUGACAUUGAUAGAGUGUAUGUAUGUGAGAGAGAGAGAGAGAGAGAGAGAGAGAGAGAGAGAGAGAGAGAUGGAAAUAGAGUUAGAAUUAGACCAAUUCAGAAAUCAACCUUAAGAUUCCCUCUGGGUCAACUGGUUGCACCAUUGAUGAGAAACAGUCGGUAGAGGUUGAUAGUAGGAGAACUAACAUUGCAUUCCUGAAACACAAAGGAUUAACCUUUUUCAAUUAUCAUCAGUGAAUGCACUAAUACAGGACUUAAAUUCUGAUAUAUUCAAUAAUCUAAUUACCAGAGAAGGACUUUUAUCCUUCUAUAAAGAGGCAGUUGAUAAAGGUGACUCUGGCCCAGUAUAACUUGACUCAUAAACUGGAAACUUUGAGGCUUCAAACUCUGAGCUAAAAGUUGAAGCUUCUCACUCAACAAACAAAAAUUACAAAUCCAAAACUAAAAAGAAUCAGAAACAAACUAAAACAUGGGAUUGGUGAAGGCCAUACCUUCGAAAGCAUAGACGCAGGCAGCUCUACGAGAGUGAUCCCAACUCCGGGGUCGGAGGCGGAAACAGAGGCCAAUAUCCUCAAGAUUUUGCGUUGAUGAUUGUGAGAUCGGGAUAAAACGGUCGAAACCAAAUUUGCAAGUUUUGAAAAAACGUUAAGGAAUCUGGGUUUCAAUGAAUAAGGAGGCUGCAAAUAAAAUCCCCAAAGAAACAAAAAAAGGGUCUCCCAUGUCGGUAUUUUGUGAGAGAAAAAGCGCAAGAUUCGAGAGCGAGUUCAACAGCGGCAGAAGCACAGAUUUGUGAGAAAGAAGAAACCGAAGGAAAAAUCGAGAAGAUGCAAGAGAGGCUUGAGGCAAGCAUGGACAAAUAGGUAAUCUUACGUGUAAAGAGGAGAAAGAACGGAGCAGGAAAACUGUUUGACAGGGCAAUAUCGCUAAUUUAAUUCUGGUGAGCAACGCUUUUCCACCAGGUGGAUGGCAAGGGCAAAAACGCCUUUUUACUGUGAAAAAGACGCAAAAAAAAAGGCACAUAAAAAAGCAUUCAGAGGGCAUUUUCGCCCGUUUACCACUGGUGAACAGUGUUUUUUUGCUUGAGUUUUAGUAUAGGUUCAACUAAAAAUUGUUAUCCGCGUGAUUAGAAAUUGUUAAAAAAAAAUUAUCAUAGACUAUUAAUAUUAUUUACAUUAAAAAUGUUACACGAUUUUAACAAACAAAAAAUUUAAUCUAUACAGUAUACACACAAACAAUUGUAGAACUUUUGUCUCUACAUAAAAAAAAAAAUAAAAAAAUCUAAGUUAUUCACUGAAGCACCUAAAGUUUCUUGAUUGUGAAGAAAGCAACCUCAGCAAGGAAAAAUAUGAAAUAUUAAAAUACAUGCAAUUAAUUUAUACAUCAACGGGCUUAUAUUACAAAAAAAUAAGGAUAAAGUAUUGCUACCUAGUCUUUUUUUUUUUGGAGGAAAAUAAUCUGAUUUUAUACCAAUUAGAGAGAACUUUUUUCAGCAAUUUAAUAGUCUAAUAAAUUGAUUAUACAAAAAAUCCAUUAAAAAAACCUAAAAACAAUAAACUAUUCACUAAUUUUUCAUACGAAAUAGAACAAAGCUAUAGAAUAUACCUUUUCAUGGUGAGUAUUGUGAAAAAUACAACAUAGCUUGAGACAAUGGUAAUUAACGUGUUUGGAAAAGUCUACCUGCGUGGUGGUGUAAUCGUCACACAGAUAAACUUCAAUGCCAAUUGAUUGAACUAAGUUUUUUUUUAACAAACAAUAUUAUCUACACUAAAGAGAAAAAGGUAAGCUUAGACUCACAACAAGAGAAGCCUUGCGCAGAGCUCUGCCUCUAACAACUCAAUUAUAUCUUGAAAUCGGCUAAGUUGGUAUUGUAACACGGUAAGGUUGGGUAGAUUUUAGAUCCAAAUGUCACCAAACAAUAUUCUGCAGAAUGGCAGUGUUCUAUCUAGAUUGUCCAUGGCACGGGCGUAAACUGGAUGAUAACGCAGGGCAACACUGGUACUAUACCCUAAACAUCCACAAGCUAUAAACAAAUAGUUAAAGUUGAUAUGCACCAAGGGUACUAAAACUCAAUCCAUUGUUUAGUAAGAAGAACCACAAAAACAAAUUAGUAAAAACCGAAAUGGUUAUCAGAUGGACACAAAGGUUUUUGUACUACGUGAAACUUUGCGUCGAGAAAUUGAAACAACUAUCAGGAGACAGUUAUACGGAUUUCCUACAAUUCUAUAAAUAAUAUAUUCUUUCACCAUUGUUUCAAUUCAAACAAAAAUUAAAGAACAGAAAAGCUAGAAGCAGGAAAAUUGCAACUGAUCAAUAUUUUCCAAACAAAACCAACCUGCAAUGUCCUAGUUGCAAAUUCAACUCCAAUGGUGGACUUAGACUCCAAAGAAAACUCAUUCCUCGUAAACCUCAAAAGAAUGUUCGAUUUUCCAACACCCGAAUCUCCAAUCAAUACAAUCUUGAAGAGGUAAUCGUAUUCGUGAUCCACCUUGUACGCCAUACGUUCUACUCCUCACACACACACCCCACAACACCUGCCCAGAUCCAGAAUUCACCAAACAAAAAGCUGUUAGCAGUCAAAAAACCAAAAAAAUAAACCCAUUCUCUUGUUUUGACAGAAGGGAUGAGAAAAGUGCUGAUCAGAGAGCAUUUUCUUUACCCACGGUUUCUUUCCAAUGUGAUUUUCCCGAGAAACAAACGGAAAUUGGGUAAUCAUAAAACAAUGGCGCGUAGAAUGGUGAUUAACAAAAUAGAGGAUAUUUUGAAUGUUGGGUUUUGUUAUGUUUGCAUUGAAGUUUGUGGAAACAGAGGAGAGGAGAAAAGAAGAAGAAAAGGAUGGCGUUGUACAAAGUUAGAAACAGAACAAUUGAUGAAAAUGCACUUAAAACGGCCUUUCACGAGGGAAAUGACGCGCCGAAUUCGGAGUCUGUGUAAAGUAAACGACCCUUCAUAAGACAUGCCGCAUAAAAUUUAAGCCCAUUCUCAAUGUGGGCUUAGGGCAUAUGUUUGUAACCCACUGAAAAGCUCCAUUAGGGUUUCCUAUCACACACUAUUUAUCUCUCUACACACUUAUGUCAUGUAGUCAUGUUUAAUCAUAUCGGUUGACUAUUGAUUUUAUCAACUUGGGUUACUAAAAAUUAAGAAAUGAGUGCAAUUAUCAUUUCUAACUGUUUUAAAAUGUUAGGAUGAUUCAUAAACAAAUUGGAAGUUCAAAAGAUAAGUCGGAAUGAGCCCCUAAAUUCAAAGGGUAUUUGCCAUGUCUCUCCGUUUUGUGAAUCAUUAAAAGUGACAUUAUUUAUCCUUACAUAUUUUGUCUUUGGUGCACAAAGUGACUACUACUGCCAACCACUACAAACCUAACCUCUUACACCACCAUUGUUACCACCAAGCCACCACCACGACCAUAACACAUAAGCGUCACCACUACCACCACUUACCUCUGUAGCUCAACCACCACACCCCUUAAUCAGCAGCACCACCACCACCACUACUAUCACAACCAUUGUCCUAGCCACCGUUGUCAACGUCAUCACGCAAAUUAUCAUGUCCAUUUUUGUUAUUAUAUACAAUUAUAUCAUUUUACAUUAAAUUUUACCAAACACGCUUUUACAAUGCUUUUCAUACUCACAACACUUAUAAAAAUACAGUUAUCAAACACUCAGCUACUUUAUUUUGUAGCUGAUUAUUCUUAAAGCACAACAUAAACAAUUUUUUUUAAAGCAUAGUACUCCCCAACUGGCCCUAAGUCCACAAAUGAGUCAUCCAAAGCAAAGCCGGUCUUGAGUUUUUUGGUGCCCGGAAAAGGAUCAGAAAGUGCCUUUUCUUAAUACACAGGUAUAUAUUAAAAAUAAAUAUUUAAAAAGGGUGGGCCAAGCCCUUCUUACAUAUUAUAUUACUCAAGUGCAAAGGUAAACGUUCAUAGCUAAUAAGGAUAAAACUGUUAAAAGCAUAGUUAGUUAGAAUUGUUAUAAGGUGGUUAUGAUAGCUUGUAAUUAGUGAAUGUUUGUUUGGGUAUUUUUGUAAUUAGCUUGUUAGCUAAGACUAGUGAGUCACUAGUAUAUAUAUGUACAUACCAUUGUAUAAUUUUAUCUUGAUGAAAUGAAAAGAUAACAUUUCUAAUAUGGUAUCACCCGCCUAAAAGUCUCACGACAUUUUCGAUCCUAUUUUUCCCGCCUCUCUCUCUGCAUUGUCUCCUAGGGUUUGCUUCUUCUUCUCCGAUCAAUCGAUCGCUUCAACGCUCUUACUUCUUCUUCUUCAAGCUAUGACGACCUCUGCAACUUAGUCUUCUUCCGCUUCGGAUUCUCCUAUUCAUCCAAUUCUUGCUGCCCUUUCUAACCCUAAUUCUGCAAUUACGAUCCAAAACAUUGGAUCCAUGGUUCCAAUCAAGCUUACAACGACGAACUACCUGACCUGGAGUGCUUUAUUCGCUCCGAUUUUCCGCCGGUACAAUCUUACCGGAUUAAUUGACGGCACAAUGGCUGCUCCGUCAAAAUUCCUUCUCGAUGCAUCUGGAAAUCGCACUGCCACUCUGAAUCCCCAAUAUGUUGCGUGGUAUAUGAAUGAUCAGAACAUCUUGAUCUAGAUCAACUCUACGCUCUCGGAUGCUCUCAUUCUUUACACUGUUGGUGUUAAUUCGGCUCGGGAGUUAUGGUCCAAGUCAUGUAUUUCUCUUUCUAGUGUUUUAAAUAAAACUGUCUGCUCCAGCUGUGCUCUAGGCAAGUCUUCAAAAUUACCUUUUGUUUCUGUUUCCUGUACCUCCAGUAAACCUCUGGAAUUGUUACACACUGAUGUAUGGGGUCCAGCCCCUCUUCUUUCUAUCAAUGGACAUCGUUACUACAUCAUUUUUGUUGAUGAUUAUACCAAAUACACUUGGUUCUUUCCUCUUGCAUCCAAGUCUGAUGUCUUUGACACAUUUGUCAAGUUUAAAGCUCCCGUGGAAAAUCUACUCAGUUCUAAAAUAGUUACUAUAAGAUCUGAUUCUGGUGGAGAGUUUCUUAGUCUCAAGCUCAUCAAUUAUCUGCAAUUACAUGGCAUUUCACAUCAGUUAAGUUGCCCUCACACACCUGAACAGAAUGGAUGUGCUGAACGCAAACAUCGGCAUCUAGUUGAAACUGCUAGAACUCUUCUAGCAGCCUCUCAAGUUCCUAAGCUCUAUUGGGAUGAUGAUUUUGCCACGGCUAUCUAUCUGAUUAACAGAAUGCCGACAGCUACCAAGUAUUCUCCUUGGGAAUUACUCUUUCACAAACCUCCGGAUUAUUCCUCUCUGAAAGUGUUUAGCUGCAAAUGUUUUCCUUGGUUGAAGCCUUACACUUCCUCUAAACUUGAUUCAAAGAGCAAAGUAUGUGUCUUCUUGGGUUAUAGUUUGAAUCACAAGGGUUAUAAAUGUCUCGAUCCUCAUACUGGCAGAGUAUAUCUUUCACGGCAUGUUAUUUUUGAUGAAGUCACUUUUCCUUUUGCUCAACAAGACUUAUCUCAGUCUCUCCCAUCCAGUUCUAGUUCUUCAAUACUGAGGAAUCAUCACACCAUUCCCACAACCUUAACUUUUCCCACUAUAUCUUCACCUUUACCAUCUCCUUCCCUUACUGCACCUAGUUCCCUUGCUGCAUCUAGUUCUCUUGCUGCACCUAUUUCCUCUUCCUCAUCUCCUCACCCUAUUUCUCAUCCCAUCUCUGCCCCUAAUCCACUUGCCGCACCCUUCAUACCUCAAAACACUCAUUCCAUGCAAACUCGUUCCAAAUCCGGUAUUGUCAAACUAAAGGUUUUCUUAGCAACCAAACAUCCUAUUUCCUCUGAGAUGUCACUUGACUAUAUACCAUCCACUUAUCUUCAAGCCUCCAAACACUCUCACUGGAGGCAAGCUAUACAGGAAGAAUUUAAUGCUCUUAUUCAAAUUGGCACUUGGUCUUUGGUCCCUUCUCAUUCUUCUCAGAAUUUGGUUGGUGCAAAAUGGGUAUUCAGAAAUAAAUGCAAGCCUGAUGGUACCAUUGACAGGUACAAAGCAUGGCUUGUUGCCAAAAGAUUUCAUCAGCAACAAGGUUUGGACUACACUGAAACAUUUAGUCCAGUUGCAAAGCCGGUUACCAUUUGGCUUCUUCUCACUUUGGCUGCCAAGUUUGAUUGGUUCCUCAAUCAACUUGAUAUUAGCAAUACAUUUUUGCAUGGUAAUCUCACUGAAUCUGUGUUUAUGGUACAACCACCAGGAUUUGAAGACCUUACAAUGCCUUCUCAUGUUUGUCAUUUGCAUAAGUCUUUGUAUGGUUUGAAGCAAGCCCCCAGGGCUUGGUAUGAGAAAUUAACAACUGCCUUAAAGUCUCUCGGUUUCUCUGGUUCUCAUAAUGACUAUUCUCUGUUUGUAAAACGGGAACCAGCUCUGGUCUUCAUUCUGAUUUAUGUUGAUGACAUUAUUGUCACUGGUCCAAGUUCCCAUCUUUGCCAAGAGGUUAUAACUCAACUCGGUGUCUUAUUUCCUGUCAAAGAUCUUGGCCCCCUUCAUUACUUUCUUGGCAUUGAAGUAACAAGAUCAUCCUCAAGGAUAUUGCUUUCUCAGACCAAAUAUAUUCUUGAUCUCCUCACUAAAGCUCAUAUAGAGGGUUCCAAGCCUUGUGUUACCCCGAUUAGCACCACUAAAUUGGAUCAUGAAUCUCCUUUACUUGAUAAUCCUGAAGAAUAUCAAUCUUUGGUUGGUGGUUUGCAGUAUUUAACUUGGACUAAGCCCGACUUAUCUUAUGCAGUGAAUUUGGUCUGUCAAUUCAUGCAUAGUCCUCGGCAAGCACAUUUCCAGGCCGUCAAGCGCAUUCUUCGAUAUCUUAAGGGUUCCUUGCAAAUUGGCUUAUGGUUUCCUAAGUGUUCCAAGUCUCUCACUCUCACUGCCUUCUCCAAUGCAGAUUGGGCAGGUUGCAGUAUUGACAGACAAUCCACUAGUGGUUUUGUAAUUUUUUUGGGAGACUCUCUUAUUAGCUGGAGUGCAAAGAAACAGCCUACUGUGGCUUGAUCCUCAACUGAGGCUGAAUAUCGAUCUUUUGCAAACACUGCGGCUGAACUCACCUAGAUUUCCAAGUUACUGACUAAUGUUGCUCUUGUUCUUCCCUCUUCUCCACAGCUUUGGUGUGAUAAUAUCUCUGCAAUUUCCUUGGCUAAGAACCCUAUUUUUCAUGCACGAACCAAACAUGUGAAGAUAGAUUAUCACUAUAUCCGCGAAAAAGUGCUCGCCAAUCAAGUGCAAGUUCUUUUUGUCUGCACGGAGGAUCAACUUGCUGACAUUUGUACUAAACCUCUAUCCAAGCCUCGGUUCAUCUUCCUUCGCAACAAACUCUCUCUUCGGUUCCCUCAGUUAGGUUUGCGGGGGGGGGGGGAUAAUAAGGAUAAAACUGUUAAAAACACAGUUAGUUAGAAUUGUUAUAAGGUGGUUAUGGCAGCUUGUAAUUAGUGAAUGUUUGUUUGGGUAUUUUUGUAAUUAGCUGGUUCGCUAAGACUAGCGAGUCACUAGUAUAUAUAUGUACAUACCAUUGUAUAAUUUUAUCUUGAUGAAAUGAAAAGAUAACAUUUCUAAUAAUAGCCACUUUAAACUAUAAUCAUUAAGUUCAUCUCCAAUUGAACGCUGGCCAAAUGGCUUGUUUUAUCCAUCUGAUCCUCUAAGAAAUUAAUAUUUUAAUGAACUAUGCAUGACCAUAUUUCUUACCAUCUCCAACCGAGGGCCAAACAUAAUUUAUUAUUUAAAUUUAAAAAUUACAACUUAAAUUAAAAAACUACAACUAAAAUUUUAAAAAUACAACUUAAAUUUAAUAACUACAAGUAAAAUUUAUAAAAUACAACUUAUAUAUCUCAAGUCAAAUGUGAGAGGUUUUAUUUAGAGUAGAAAAAAAAGGAAAUAAGUGGGAGAGGAAGUAGGAGAAACUAAAAAUGUGGAAGUGGGUGGGAGAGGAAGUAUAAAAAUAUAAAAAAAAAUGGAAGUGGGUGGGAGUCCCACAUCGGUUGUGAGAAAGAUUUGAGCAAGUUCCAAAGCCUAUAAAAAGAACACCUAACAUUCAAUGAAACAUACUUUCUGGGCCUAUAAUUGAAUAUAUUUUUUAAAAAAUUUUGGCUAACAAAAAAAAAUUCAAAUAACUGUAAAAAAAAAACAAAAAAAAGGGCUAGCUAACUUUAGCUAGUUGACAGUUGCUUUUGAAUUCUAGCCCGGCCAGUUGGCCCUUUGACCAUUUUUUAUCUAGUGGGGCCCACAAGCCAUUUGGUCUAGCUCUCGGUUUGAGACGAUUUUAGGGUCAUUUUCGACCCUCUGACACCUUUUGGUUGAAGAUGACCUAACAGAAAAAAAUUGAACAUUUUAUGAGACUUCUCUCUCCGAAGAGGUCCCAAAUUUAAGUACUAGCAAACGGGUGCAUUUUUGCUCACCCACAUUAACUUAGGUGUAUGCUCACCACACAUCUCCAAGCUUGCCAAGUGUCCCUUUGCUUUAAUCCUGGUUAACAUUUUCAUUUGUUAUUAAUAUUUUACUAUAAUAAUACAUUAAUAAUCAUCUUAACAUUUAUCUUUGAACUUUUUAAUCAAUAUUUGUAUCUCAACCGUCCAUCUCCCCUCUUCCUCCCCCCUCCCAUCUCUCUCCUCUGUCACUUUUCCCCCUUUUCUGUCAUUUGGGCGAAUAUCCCAAAUCUAAAAUCUCAAAUUCUAAUACAAAUUUAAAGGGGAAUGGGUGAAUUGAUUUGACGGGGUGAAGUCCAUCGAUAUCGCGAGAAAGGAGCAUGAUGAGUAGAUUUUAUAUUAUAUAUGUUACCCUAAUCUUAGUAUAUUUUGGUUAACAUUUUGGAAGAAUUUUGAUACUUUGAAUUGUAUUUCCAAUAUAGGACUUUCGACUUCUUCUGGAGCAAAACAGAAUCAAAUAGACGAAUUUUUAAGUAAUUCUAGUUGGAGAACGUUCGUGAGUCACUUAUCUUGAUCGUAUCAAAAUCUGGGAUUUUUCCACCAUGCAGUUAUUUUCUGGCGAUAAAAUAAAGGAGCGAUGUGCAGUGCUGGAAAAUGACUUUUUUUGGCUUAAAUUACGUUUUUGUAGCCCACGAUGACCUCGGAUGGGUUCGUGGCCUUCUGGAGAAGUGUUCAGAAUGUUCCAAACAUUAAAUUCAGCUAUAUUGGGCUGGUUUUGGAGCAGCUUAUGGAUCCAAAAUGUGGCUGUUCAGAUUUUAGGCGAAUUUUACCAUUUAAUUUAGAGUUAUGUUUCCUAUUUUAUUUAUUGUUACUAUUAGUUUCCUAGAGGGAAAAAAUGACCUGUUUUUAGGGUUUGUGUGGUGGUUUAGCAAAUAUAUUGCUUAGCCGUCUACCACAUUUUUCUCUACGCUUUAUUUUAUGCAAUUUUGAAGACAGAGAGAAAUGCUAGGGUUUUGGAGAUUUUCUACUUAAAGGUGUUUUCAAUUAUUUUCUUAAUAAUAUUUUCUAUGAUUUCAAUUAUGAAUAUGCAUAACUAAUUUCCUAUUGCUAGGGCGAAGCCUUGAGCCUUAACAUGAAUACGUGAUUUUUAUUUAAUUGCUUAUGAUUGAUUGCAUGCAUACUUUGAAUUGUUAAUCACCGGGAUAAAAACUAUCUAAUUAUCUUAAUGCCUGAUCACCAUUAUGAUCUUUAGAAAAGUAAUUUGAUGCAAUUUUGGUCGGAAGGUUCCUUGAAAUUGACACUGGCUGCAUGUGAUUAAUAAUUGUAAUUUCACUUAAGAUGAACACCACGUCUUAAAGGUUGCAUGAUUUUUCAAGGGAUUUUCAUAAAGUAUAAUGAGUCUUUGAUGUUCAGAUUUGAUCUGAACGUCCGGACAGGUUGCAUGUUAGAUAUACGUUCUAUGUUGGAGGUUCCAAGUAGAAUAUGAAUUAGGAAAAUCUAACCUUCAAAGUGGCAUGUGUAGAUCAUAAGUAAUUGGUAAAAAUUCAUAGGAUUGCUAGGUGAUGGUGGAACCCUAGCGUUUUCUUAAUUUGAUUCUUCCAAAACUGUUUUCUUUUUCCCCAAAUUUUAAUAUUGCAGAUUGUCUUAUUUGUUUUAAUUAAAUUCGUUUUUAAUUUAAGUAGGCUAUAAAAUCAAUCAUCAUAAUUUCUACUUUACAAUAAUUAAUUGAACUUUGGUUUGUUUCGAAUUAUUUCAUAAUCCCUGUGGAGAACAACCUUGCGAGAUCCGUUUACACUACAACAACCUUGUGAUUCUUGUAAAUAUUAUAGGAAUUUUUAUCCCAUUCACAUGAUUAGUAAAAUCCCUAUCAGAGCACAAGUUGCCUCCAUUCACUCGAAGCAAAGAUGCACAGAUAAGUGAAGAAAAUUUGUACCUAGAAGAUUGUUCCAAAUUGUGGGUGGUUGGCAUGGGGUGGUGAGAGGUGGGAGGGAGCAAAUAACAAGUGAGAGGAAUAAAGGGUCGUCUUUGCUGCUUCAAAUGCUUGAGCAAUUUCCAUUAGAAUAUUAUACAUAAAUAAAAUUACAAUUAGGAGAUAAUUUCUGUGAUUCGAAACGCCAUGGAUGAUUUGGUGUAGGAGGACAAUUUCUUUGAAACUGAAUAAACGCUUCGGGAGGUGAGUUGCAGACGGUUUUUUAUUUGUCUAUUUUUAGUUUAUUUUUAUUUCUUUAUUAAAUUAAUAAAGAAGAUGUCGCACUUGGUGCGAUGGCAAGUGCCUUCGCCCAUGAGCGGUAAGUCUCGGGUUCGAGACUUGGGAGCAGCCUCUCCAUAAAAUGGGGGUAAGGCUAGCCGACAUUCACCUCUCCCAGACCCUGCGUAAAGCGGGAGCCUUGUGCACUGGGUAUGACCUUUAUUAAAUUAAUAAAGAGUAAUUAAAUCACAGUUAACCAUGGUUAAGGCAAGGGAACACUUGGCAAGCUUGGAAAUGUGUGGUGAGCAUACACCCAAAAUGGGUGAGCAAAAAUGCACCCCUAGCAAACUUAUUCGGUUCUUUAAUUAUCAUCACAUCAAAUGCCUAGAAAGGUUUUGCCCAACUCAAUCAACACGAGUCAACAAAUUUCAAGAAUAGUAUUAAGUAUAAAGAGAAAUUAGAAGCCCCUGCAUUUUUCAAAUACAUUUUAGAUCAAACAUUGGUUCUUCUCUAAGAUUUGAUUAAGAAGCUUUGACCAAUUGCCACAUCAACAUUUUUCUAUAUUUUAAAUUACAUAUAAUUUGUUUAAAGCCAUCUUCACUUCACCUUGUAACUAAUUGCUUACAAUAUAGGAAAUUUUAUUUUCAUUGUCCUAUAAACUCCUACGUUUUAAUGACUCUUUUGAUAUAAAAAAAAUAAUUAAUUAAAGUAAUUUAAACUUUUACAUUGUUAAACGACUCUUUCUAUAAAAAAAAAUAGGGUAAAGUACAAAAAACUAUCUCAACUAUUAGUGUCACGAUACUUUCAUAUCUCAUCUUUUAAAAUUGACAAUGUCAUACUUCAUCUUUAGAAUUUGGUCCAAUAUUAUACCUUCCGUUACUUGGCUGUUUACUUUUCAAUUAAAUGCUGACGUGACUUGAUUAAAAAAAAUUAUUUAAUAAUUUUAAAUAUUAAAAUAAUAAAAAAAAGUAAAAAAAAAAAAGAAAACAACCCUAAGUUCGUCCCUCCCCCUCCCCAUCUUCAUCUUCUUCGCCCCCCCCACCCAAAAAAAAUAAAUAAUAAAAAACUCAGAUCCCGUCGGCGGGAAGAUGGGUGCGCGGAGAAGGUGGAGGAUGGGUGCGGAAUAGGAUGUGGAGAAUGGAUGGGUGGUGGAUUUGGGGUUGGGUUUUUUUUUUGGGGGCGGGGGGGGGGGGGACGAACUGGGUUCGCUUUGGAUUUUUUCUUUCUUUCCUUUUCUUCUUCUUCUUCUUCUUUUUCUUCCUCAUUCUUCUUUCUGGGUUGUUGGGGGUUGAGCGAACUGGGUUGGGUUGGAAUUUUUUUUUUCCUCUUCUUCUUCUUCUUUUUUGGGGGAGGGGGGUUCUUCUUCUUUCUGGAUUGUUGGGGGUUGGGCGAACUGGGUUGGGUUGGAAAUAUUUUUUUUCCACUUCUUCUUCUUCCUCCUUUUUUUUUUCCUCUUCUUCUUCCUCCUUCUCCUUCUUCUUCUUCUUCGGGGGAGGGGGGUUCUUCUUCUUCUUCUUCUUCCUCUUCUUCUUCUUCCUCCUUCUUCUUUCUGGGUUGUUGGGGGUUGGGCGAACUGGGUUGGGUUGGAAAUUUUUUUUUUCCUCUUCUUCUUCUUCCUCUUCCUUUUUUUUUCCUCUUCUUCUUCCUCCUUCUCCUUCUUCUUCUGCUUCUUCUUCGGGGGAGGGGGUUCUUCUUCCCCCUUCUUCUUUCUGGGUUGUUGGGGGUUGGGAGAACUGGGUUGGGUUGGAAAUUUUUUUUUUCUCUUCUUCUUCCUCCUUCUCCUUCUUCUUCUUCUUCGGGGGAAGGGGGUUGAUGGGUUUUCAAAUUUAUUUAUUUUUGGUUGAAGAUUAAGCAGGGAAGAAGAUGAAGAUGGGAAGAGAAAGGGGGAAGGGACGAACAGAGGGAUUUUUAAUUUUUUUUUUACUUUUCUUUAUUAUUAAAAAAAUAUUAAAUAAUAAUUUUUUAUUAAAAAUGGGCCCUGAAUCAAGUCACGUCAGCAUUUAACUGAAAAAGUAAACGGCCAAGUAACGAAAGAUAUAAUAUUAGACCAAAUUCUAAAGAUGAGGUAUGAAACUGUCGUGACACCAAUAGUUGAGGUAGUUUUUUGUACUUUAACAAAAAAAAUAAAUAAUUAAAGUAACUUCUCGUUAUACCAUCUUCAAUGGUGGGCUAAAUACUAAAUUACCCCCCAAUUCCCCCCCCCCCCACCAAACAAUCUCCAACCCAUGAUAAAACAUUGGGCUAAAUGCCAAAUGUUAAAGCUGGGCCAAAUACCCCCCAAAAUUCCCUCCCCAUGUGAUUGGAUUCGCUGGCAAUUGGGCCAGUCUCAGCCCGGUCACGCUUCAACGUGUCCCACGCGGUGCGCUUGCAAACCUUUCCCAACAGGGGUGUGCCCCUCUGUUAGUCGUUCGUCUGCUACCCAAAAAUCCCAACAACUAUAAUUUGAAUCCAAGGGCUUGGUUUAAUGGAUCGUUGGUUGAUCCAACAGUCCAGAUUCAAAUUUAAUUUUUUUUUAAUAUGUUAUUUUAAAAUACAUUGAAUCCAAUGACUGAGUUCGAAUAUAAUCAAAUCUAACGGUAAAAAAUAAGAUCUAACGAUCCAAAUUUAAAUUCAACGGCUAAAAUAAUUUUAAAAAAUCAUUUAACUCAAAAUUCACCAAAAAACUCUAUAAAUACCUAUGUGUUUGUUCAAACAUCCACACAAAACUCAAUUUUCUCCUACGAUUCUUCCAAUUUAUCUUUUUACCUUUUCUUUCCAUUUCCAAAUUGUUCAACAUGACAAGAGAGCAUAUUAGAGGUCGUAAUUGGACCUAUGAGGAAGAUGUUGCUUUAUGCUUGGCAUGAUUUUCUAUUAGCAAAGAUGGUGGAGUUAGCACAAAUCAAAAUAAGAAGGUUUUGUAGGAUAAAAUCAUUGCAAAGUUUUAAGAAAACUGCAAUGGCGGCAGGCAUGAUGGUGGUGGUGUUUAUGAUUGGUGGAAGACUAUCAACAAAGCAUGUACUUUAUGGAAUAGAAGUUUUGAGAGAGCCGUGGUUGGCAUGGCUAGUGGAAGAAGGGCCACAGAAAUUGUGAGUUUUGUUCUUAAUAUUUUAUUUAUCAUGUACAUAAUAUUAUUUUCCAACUAAGUAUUUUUAUGUAUUUUUUGCAUAAGGUGCCAAAGCAAUGAAAAUUUAUAAGACAAGAGCAACACCAGAAAAUCAAGUUUUUAAGUUGCAACAUGCUUAGAACGUCCUCAAGGAUUGUCCAAGGUGGGGAACCGAUGCGGACCAACAAUGGGGAAGAUUAUUUCAACGUGAAGCCGCACAGACAAAUGCCGGAGAUGAAGGUGUCGAUGAAAUGACCCCAUCUCCUUCUUUUGCAAGGCCCCCGGGAAGAGAUAAGCAAAAGGAAGCAAAGAGAAAAGGGAAGUCCCAAGAUCCGAUGAGUGGACACUUUGGUACUAGAAUUGCAAAAUUGAACGAAACUCAUAGCGCUCGCUAAGAAGAAACGGCCCGAAUGCGUUUGCAAAUGAAGGAAAUCUCAUAUCGGGAGCAAGAUAGGUUUGAAAUUGAAUUCAUGAUGGAGGACCUCAACAAAUACACUUUAAAGAGGAAGAAGUUCUUACAUGGUAAGCAAAAGGAAAUUUUGCAAAAGUCUGUCUCAAGGAGUAUGUUUCAAGAUGAUGAAUCCUCUGAAUCCUAUAUCCCAAGAUUUCAAGAAAGUCCAUCACCAAGUGAAGAUGGUGGAUAUGAUUAUUAAGUUUAUGUAGUGUAUGAAUUAUGUGCUUUAUUAAUUGAGUUUAUUAAUUGUCGAUUGUAUUAAGUUUAUGUGGUUUAUGAAUUAUCGGUUGUAUUAAGUUUAUGUGGUUUAUGUAUUAUCAGUUGUAUUGUUUCUAUUAAUUUAGAUGUCUUCAAUAAUUAUUGUACUUAUUAUUUCACACUUUGAUGUAGAAUAGAUGUCUUCAAUAAUUCAACGUACUAGACAAAAUACUUUGCACAAGAAGACAUUUAAAUUUAUUACUAGAAAAUAACAACAUAGUACACUUAAAAUUAAUCUAGAUGCCUUCAAUAAUUAUUGUACUUAUUAUUCCGCACUCUUCUAUAUCACGCUACACAUAUGAACGUCCCGUGACAGAACCACGAUGGCUAGAUUCACUAUGGUGGUCAGAUUGCAUAAACGAGUUGACAAGUUCAACUUUGGCGUUGAACAAUUCUGCAUCCUCAAUCUCGAUCCUUGCUUGGUAUUGUGUCAUCUGCAUUGUCAUGCUACAUAUUUUUCUAUCACCAAUUGAUGAGAUAUUGAGGAUUUUUAGGAAAUAAAAACUCUUUGAAAGUUGAAAGAUUAGUGAAUAUAGAGGAUGAUUGAAGGUUAAAAGAUUGUGUGAUCAACAAAUAUUGGACAUAUGUUUAUAUAGAGGAUGAUUGAUGAAAGUUGAACAGUUGGUGAAAGUUGAAAGUUUGGUGUUGAACGGUUGGUGAAAGUUGAAAGUUUGGUGUUGAAGGGUUGGUGAAUUGAAAAUUUGGUAUUGAACGGUUGAUGAAUUGAAAGUUAGCACAUGGUUGAAAGAUUGGUGAAAGUUGAAGGCUUGCUUUGUGAAAAAUUUAGUGAUUUUUCAAUAUUUAUUGGAAUUUAAAUUUUUUUUAGAUUAAAAUAUUCAUAAAAUUAAUUUACGAUAGUCUACAUAUUUAUUUAAAAAAAUUAAUUUAAGAAAAAAAAUCGCCUAAAUUUAUUCUUUAAUAAUCCCGGGCUAAAAUUUUAUGCCAGAACAGUUGGAACAGAAAAACUGUUUCUAAGCUAAAAUAUUUUGCUUUUAGCCCAACCAUUGGAGAUGGUCUUAUUAGGACAAAAAGUAAUAAAACUUAUGUUUAGAAAACAAAUGUACCAAAAAUUCAAGAAAAUUUUAACAAAAAACUCCCGGUACUGUUUACUUUAACUAAAAACCACAUUUUUACACUAAAGAAUCAAUUCUGGUACUAUUCACUUUAUCUUUUAUUUUGUCCUUAUCGUUAAAACUCAAAGUUUUCGCCAAUUUCAUUAAUUUUCCUAAAAUUCAAAUGUACCAAGAAGCCAAAUGAACCAAAAAUUCAAAUGUACCAAGUAACAACAUGUACCAUUAUAAUUAAAUGUACCAAUAUAACCAAACGUACCUAUCAACAAGUUUUGUUACAUUCUAUUUAAUUUACUAAAAUAACUAUUUCAAUAAAAAAUAAAAAAAUCUUAAAUCAUCAUAAUUAGAGAUACAUAAAAAUUGGAAGAAAAAAGAAAAUGCUAUCGUGAAUAGACUUUUAAUGAAAUAAAAUUAAGGGUAAAGUACAAAAAACUACCUCAACUAUUGGUGUCACGACACUUUCAUACCUCAUCUUUUAAAAUUGACAAUGUCAUACCUCAUCUUACAAAUUUGUGUCAAUGGUAUACCUUUCGUUAGGGUUGGCAUGAAUUUCUCAAUUAAAUGCUGACGUGGCUUGAUCCAAGACCAAUUUUCUAUUAAAAAAUUAUUAAAAAUUAAAAAAAUUUAAUAUUUUUUAAAUAUUAAAAUUAAAAAAAAAAAUAACUCUCAGUCAGUUCGUCCCCUCCCCCCUUCUCUCUCUUCUCCCCAUCAUCAUCUUCUUCCCCCUUCCUGCAACUGCAACCCAGAAAAAAAAGAAGAGAAAAAAAAAACCAAUUUGUCUUCCCCCCUCCCCACCCCCUCUUCACCCCGCACCCACUCUCCGCACCCAACCUCCCCACCUUUGCACCCAACCUCGCACCCACUACCAGCAACCCAAAAAAAAAAAAUCCAAAUCCUGUUGAGGUGGAAUUAGGAAACCUUCGCCAGGACGAUUUCGAAGGUUGAGACCCUAAGCGCGGAGAAAAUAGGGGGAAUGGGUGUGGAGGGAAAAGGGUGGGUGCCGGGGGGGGGACGGACGAACUGGGUUUCCUUUUUAUUUUUUAUUUAUUCUCUCUCUUCUUCUUCUUCUUCUUUCUUCUUUCUGGGUUUGUUCGGGGGGGGGGGGGAGAAGGGACUGGGUUGGGUUGGGUUUUUUUUUUUUUUUUUUGUCUUCUUCUGCUUCUUCUUCUUUCUCCUUUUUUCUGGGUUGCAAUGGGUUGGGUUUGUGGUGGGGGGAGAAGGGACGAACUGGGUUUGGUUUGGGGUUUUUUUUUUCCUUCUUCUUCUUCUUUCUGGGUUUGUUGUUGAGGGGGGGGAAUUGGGUUGGGUUUUUUUCUUCCUCCUUUCUUUUUUUUUUUUUUUUGUCAAUCCUUCUGCUUGGGUUGCAGGAAGAUGGGAAGAGAGAGAGAGGGGGAAAGAUGAACUGAUCUGAGGUUUUUUUUUUCCCCUUUAUUAUUUUAGUAUUUAAAAAAAUAUUAAAUAAUUUUUUUUUAAUUUUUAAUAAUUUUUUAAUAGAAAAUGAAACCGAAUCAACCCACAUCAGCAUUUAAUUGAAAAAUUUACGAUCAAGUAAUAGAAUGUAUAACAUUAGCACAAAUUCGUAAGAUGAUGUAUGAUAUUGUCAAUUUUAAAAGAUGAGUCAUGAAAGUUAUGAUAAUUUUUUGUAGUUUACCUAAAAUUACGUACCAAAAAUUGUAGGAAAAAUGUUUAAUCAAAUUUGCAGAAUAUACGUUCAGUAACAUUUAAAAAGUUUUGCCCAACUCAAUAAACACGAGUCAACAACUUUCAAGAAUCUGUAUAAUGUGUUCGUCCCUUAUAAAAACAUAUCACUUGAGGUGAUUAAUUAUACGAACAUAAUCAACUUCUAGAAACUUAAAAUUACAUGAUUAACCAAAAUCAUACUUAGGAAUCUAAGCAAAGAAUCAGAAGAAAUAUGAGAAAAAAGGAAUGGGGAACUUACAAGAUCUUUGAAAAUGAUAAAAGCGAUUACGAAGACAACAAAAGAGGAUUUCGAUCUCGGCGAAUGGAACGAACCGAAAGACCGACUUGACACCCUGAGUCAAUGCGGAUGCAUUUGAAACUCGCUUCGCCACGGCUGCGCGGUCGGGUUGGGCUUUGGAGUCGGAUUUAAUACCAUCGGAAUUAGAUCGGCGAUCAUCCGAUGAGCGAUGGUGGUCAGGUGGUGGUGUGAUUGGUGUCACGGAUGGGUGGAGCCGCGGAGAGCUGGAGGCGGAGGUGGAGGCAGGCAGGUCUGUGUGGACAGUUGGAUCUGGGUGUGGGUGGACGAUGCGGCCUUAGCCUGUAGUCUGGUCGCGAAGAACUUAUGAAGACGAAGAGAAAGGCUUGGAGCUUGGAAGACGGAGAGACCGAAGCGUCGAUGGUGAAGAUUCGAAGAUGCAGGAGGGUGAAAAUUUGGUUUGGUUAUUCUCUAUAUUGCUAAUUGGUUUUGAUGGAAUCUCAACUUUCUUCAUGGUAUCAGAACAAGUUGUUCCAUGUGUAAAGCCAAAUUGCCACAUGGGCUCCAUGUCAUCCCGUUAUGUUGUCCACAUGUUAGACUUGAAAAUUUGCCACAAGUGAAAUCAGAGGAGGGACCUUGUAUUAGCUUAUAAGAGGUUAUAUUGCCAAUUGGUUUAAUUUUAAGAUGUGUUAUCCACACACAUUUUUUCACUUUUCACACACCUUAAUUUUUUGUCUUCAGAUCGAAUAAGUUGAGGAAGAUCAACUAAAUUAAUAAAGGAUGUCUGAGAAGUCCACACAUCCCUUAAUUUAUGAUAGAACCUCAACUUUCUUCAGACACCCAUGGCCAUGAGACUCACACUGCAUCAAUAGCAGUAGGGAACUUGGUCAGCAAUGCAAGUCUUACCAUUUAUAUUGGACAAGGAGUUUAACCAUUUAUGCUUAGUACUGAUCACUUCGGUUCUUUGGAUGAAUGUAUGUAUAGGUAUGAAUGGUGUGGUGUCUGUUUUCCCCAAUGAAAAGAAGAAGCUCCUCACAAGAACGUUAUGGGACUUUAUUGGGUUCCCGGAAAGAGAGUCGAGUAGCAACAAUCUUGACGAAAGCAAUAUCAUUGUAGGAGUGACUGAUACUGGAAUUUGGCCGGAAUCUGACCUAAAAAUGGGAAGGCACAUGACAAUCCUAAGCCAACAUUACUUGUAAUUUGUAUGGCAAACUAGUUUGUUGUCUGUUACUCCAAUCAUCAAUACAUGUAGAAUGUUGUUUUAUUAAAUUUGAUCAUGUGAAAUGAUGACUUUUGAAAACAUUAGGAAAUAGGAAAAGGCUAUAGUUUUCAAAUAAGGAUUUGGAUCUCAUCCGGAUCAAAAUUAUGGGGAUCAUAGGGAUCCUCAUAUCCUAACUAUUUAUCGUAUAUCGUGCGACCAGAAAUCAUUUUGAAAUUUUUAUUUAAAAAUUAAACGCAAAUAGUACUUAACGAAAACUGAUCGCACGUUAUACGAUGAACGAUUAUGAUGUGAGGAUCCUUAGGCCAUCUCCAACCGAAGGGUCCGGAGGGCCAGAUGGCUGAAAGAACCAAGAUGUUCAAUCUCAAUGACCUUCUCUUUAACUUUGUCUUGAACUUUCAGAUAUUCGAUAUCCAUUAGCCUCGAUGCUUUUGAUCUUCUUUUGGUACCUUAGAACUUUCUGAAUCAAAUGAUUGUUUUUUUUUAAAUUUUUUUUUUUUUUUUUUGAACAAACAAUAUUAUCUACACUAAGGGGGAGAGAGUGUGCUUAGCCUCACAAUGGGCUAGCAAUAAUGUGAUUCAAUCAGUUAUUUAUUAAAUAUUAUUCUCUCUAUUUUUAAACACAUUCAAAACAUCUUAAGAGGUGCAUACCACCGGUGACAAAAAAAGGUCUUUCGCAAGCGCACAAUAAUGUGAUUCAAUCAGUUAUUUAUUAAAUAUUAUUUUCUCUAUUUCUAAACACUUAAGAGGCAUGCAAUGCCGGUUAUAAAAAAGGCAUUUUGCCCGCGCAUAACAAUGUGAUUCAAUGACACACCUCGACCCGGAAUGUCCACUAGGACUCUGAAUCGAGCUAUGUUGGUGGAAGAUGACAAAGCCAUAAAGUAUAGUGAUGUGGAAAAUGUGAAUAAAUUUAAACCUAAAAGUGCCUAAACACAAGGGUGCGCUGUGAGCGGGAAUGAACCCAUUUCACAUGCAACGUCAGAGCAUAAGUAAAGUACAGUAGUGUGGGUAAGGAUCAUACCCUCAGAGGUAGCCACCUAUACUAAGAUUCGCCAAGAAUCCUUGUCGAUAUCAGUAGCUAAAACUUGGAGAGGCAAAAAAAUAAGGGUGAGUGAGCCUGAAAAUAAAGUUUUAAUAAAAACCUUUUGAAAACGUUUUAACCUUUCGCUGUAAAACCUGUAUAGUUUCUAGAAAUUAAUACUAUAUAUAUAUGUAAAACAAUGCACAAAGACAGUAAAAACCAAGUAUGACAUGUCAUAACGUUUCAACAUUGAAAUAUGUGAGCCAGGUGUGAAAAUCAAGGUAAAAUAAUAUGCCAGCUGGAGUCACCUAACGUGACCUGUAUGGCUGAACCUAUAACUCAUCAAUGUAUGCUUGCACACGAGUCAGAACCACCUAAUGUGGUCUGUAUGACAUGCUAGGUGUAAAUAAAUACGCUCAAGUUCUACGAUCACGUGAAGGCUGUGCGAAUAAUCGCAGGUCAGCUACGAGUUAGAACCACUUAUUGUGGUCUAUAUGACAGGGAUGGCACCAAGUUUGGAUCCAAGGUGAGCGUGCGGUGCAUGAGGUGAACAUUACAUGAAAGAUUAUGCCUGGCCUAGGGUGGAAGCACUAACACCGAGGUGCAUCAAUGAUGAACUCUAAAUGCAUCUAUGCAUAACAAUGUGCAAUACAACCAAUACCAUCACAAUAUACUCACCUGAAGCUUACCUAAGCCUCUGCAGCAUCAAACGAUAUAAUGCAUAACAAUAGUAAUGAAAUACUAAAAAUAUAAUUCAUUCAUGACAUGGCAUUCAAAGCAUAGCUCAUAUAAAAAUGUUUCUGGAAACCGUAAAGCAUAUAUAUAAAUACUGUAAAAAGGAAGAAGACCCACUCACUUAGAGUCUGUGCUACAAUUCCCUAGCACAAACAUCGAGCCAUCAAGAACGAUCGGUGCCUAGAACAAUUAUCAAACCACAUCUCAGAAUCCUUAUCAAUAGAACAUAUAACUUACAUAAAACACAUCCCCGAGGACGUUCUAGAAUGAUUUGAGACCCAUUGACCAAAAGUUAACCGUCGCUUAAAGAUUGACAGUAGGGUCUACAACCCUAGAUAAUUCGAUCUGGAAGAUCUGCAUCUCAGAUUUUCCAAUCCGUAACUUCCAAAUAUCCACAUUAUGCUUCUAAAACAUCAUAUUAAAGUUUCAUUACGAUCCAACGGUUUGAUCUUCGCCAAUUACCAAAACCAAGUGGCGGCCGACAUUUUAUUUUACGAACUUACAAAUCCAAUUCGGAAAUACCCACACUUUAGAUUCCAUAUCUGUAAAUUCCUAUGGUCCUCAAAUAUUACGUACUAUCUGUAAAUUCCUAUGGUCCUCUUUAUUCAGUUGAAUAUCCAAUAGUUCUCAUUCUCCAAUGCCUCUAUCAUUUCAUCUCAAAUACGCUACAAAGAAAGGUAGGCCUACAAAUAACAAUCAGAGGGAGUACAAAAGGUGACCAAAAUAUAGCGCCCGAGCACAGUGAUAAGUGAGCAAGGGUCGCUGUAUCUCCAUCGGCACCCGGAUGCAGUGUUAAAUGAGCAAGGGGGCCAUAGAAACUUCUUUUCGAACGACUCCACUCAAAGUUGUUUGGGAGCAUAUGCUCCUAUCAACUUUACCCGGGACACACAAAAGAAGUACUUUGAUCCUAUUAGACGGGGGAGGGUGAAGAAGCUAGGACAGAAGGGUAGAGUUCAAGAGAGCAAAAUGCGUUUAGGAACGUGGAAUAUAGGAACCUUAACGGGAAAAUCUAUGGAAGUAGUGGAAGUUAUGGUGAGGAGAAGGAUAAAUAUUAUGUGCCUACAAGAAACUAAGUGGGUUGGUAGUAAGGCAAAGGAUCUAGAAAACUCAGGGUUUAAACUUUGGUAUUCGGGCACAAAUAGAACGAGAAACGGUGUUGGCAUCAUCGUGGACAAGACCUUGGUACAAGAUGUUGUAGAUGUCAAGAGGGUAGGAGAUAGAAUCAUGGCAAUCAAGAUUGUAAUAGGACAAGAACUUAUCAAUGUGAUUAGUGCGUACGCACCUCAAGUAGGGUUGGAUACGAGUUCGAAGGAGAAAUUUUGGGAAGAUCUUGGAGACUUGGUGCAAGGAAUUGCUCAGACGGAGAAGUUAUUUAUAGGAGGAGAUUUAAAUGGACACGUGGGCAGGGAGACAGGCAACUAUGGAGGUUUUCAUGGUGGCCAUGGUUUUGGGGAGAGAAACGAGGAUGGGGAAGCUAUCUUGGAUUUUGCAAUGGCAUAUGAUCUCUUCUUAGCCAACACCUUCUUUAAGAAGAGAGAAGAACAUGUGAUCACCUACAAGAGUGGGUCGUCAAAAACACAAAUAGAUUUUCUUCUAAUGAGGAAAGGGGAUCGUAUAACUUGUAAGGAUUGCAAAGUUAUACCAGGAGAGAGCGUGGCUAAUCAACAUCGCUUGUUGGUGAUGGAUGUACAUAUCAAAAUAGUAAGACAAAAGAACAAGACUUGGAAGUGCCCAAGGACUAGAUGGUGGAAUCUAAAAGAAGAAAAACAAGUUAUUUUCAAAGAGAAGGUAAUCACCCAAUGUGUGUGGGAUAGAGAGGGGGAAGCUAGCCAAAUGUGGGAUUCCAUGGCUAGUUGUAUCCGAAAAGUAGCAAAAGAGGUAUUAGGAGAGUCCAAGGGCUUUGCCCCACACCAAAAGGAAUCUUGGUGGUGGAAUGAGGAGGUACAAACAAAGGUGAAAGCUAAGAAGGAAUGUUGUAAAGCCUUAUACAAGGAGAGGACCGAUGAAAAUGGUGAAAGGUAUAGAAAAGCGAAGCAAGAGGCGAAGAAAGCUGUCAGAGAAGCUAAGUUAGCGGCUUACGACGAUAUGUAUAAACGACUAGAUACCAAAGAAGGAGAGUUGGAUAUCUAUAAACUAUCUAGAGCAAGGGAAAAGAAGACAAGAGACCUAAACCAAGUGAGGUGCAUCAAGGAUGAGGAUGGAAAGGUUCUUGCUACAGAGAACGCGGUUAAAGACAGAUGGAGAGGUUAUUUUUCAUAAUCUUUUCAAUGAACGACAUGAAAUGAGUGCUUCUUUAGGGGAGUUGAGUAACUCAGAAGAGUGUAGAAACUACUCUUUUUAUCGUCGAAUCCGGAAGGAAGAAGUGGUUGUAGCUUUGAAGAAGAUGAAGCAUAAAAAAGCAAUAGGCCCAGACAAUAUACCAAUCGAAGUGUGGAAACUUUUGUGAGAGACAGGUAUAACAUGGCUCACUGAUCUUUUCAAUAGGAUUUUGAAAACGAAGAAGAUGCCAAAUGAGUGGCGAACGAGCACUUUGGUGCCUAUCUACAAGAAUAAGGGCGACGUACAAAAUUGCAUGAACUAUAGGGGUAUUAAGCUAAUGAGUCAUACAAUGAAGCUCUGGGAGAGAGUCAUUGAGCAUAGAUUGAGGCAAGAGACACGGGUUUCGGACAACCAAUUCGGGUUCAUGCCAGGCCGCUCAACCAUGGAGGCAAUCUAUCUCUUACGAAGAUUGAUGGAAAAGAUAUAGAGAUGGGAAAAAGGAUUUACACAUGGUCUUUAUAGAUUUGGAAAAAGCGUAUGAUAGGGUCCCAAGAGACAUUCUUUGGAGGAUUUUAGAGAAGAAAGGAGUACGAGUAGCAUAUAUCCAAGCUAUAAAGGAUAUGUAUGAAUGAGCAAAGACUGCCGUAAGAACUCAUGAAGGACAAACCGAAAGCUUUCCCAUAACUGUAGGAUUACAUCAAGGCUCAUCCUUAAGUCCUUACCUUUUUGCGUUGGUAAUGGAUGAGUUAACAGGACAUAUUCAAGAUGAUAUUCCUUGGUGUAUGCUUUUCGCAGACGAUAUAGUGUUGAUAGAUGAAACUCAGGAAGGGGUAAAUGCAAAGCUUAACCUUUGGAGAGAAGUGUUGGAAUCUAAAGGUCUUCGCCUAAGCCGAUCAAAGACAGAAUAUAUGGAGUGCAAGUUCAGUGCAAAUGGAGGCCAAAACGAGUUAGGGGUGAGGAUCGGAGAUCAAGAAAUACCAAAGAGCGACCGUUUUCGUUACCUAGGAUCUAUCUUGCAAAAGAAUGGAGAAUUAGAUGGAGAUCUCAACCACAGAAUACAAGCUGGAUGGAUGAAGUGGAAGAGUGCAUCCGGCGUGUUGUGUGACUGCCGUAUGCCACUGAAGCUCAAGGGAAAAUUUUAUAGGACGGCAAUAAGGCCGGCGAUGCUGUAUGGCACAGAAUGUUGGGCGGUGAAACAUCAACACGUACACAAAAUGGGUGUAGCGGAGAUGAGGAUGCUUCGUUGGAUGUGUGGGCACACGAGAAAGGAUAAGAUUAGGAAUGAGGAUAUCCGGGGUAAAGUAGGAGUAGCCGAAAUUGAAGGAAAGAUGAGAGAAAAUCGGUUACGGUGGUUUGGACAUGUGCAAAGAAGGCCUACUGACGCUCCGAUUAGAAGAUGCGACUAUGGGACAGAGGUUCAAGGCCGAAGGGGUAGAGGAAGACCUAGGAAAACUUUGGAAGAGACUCUAAGAAAAGACUUAGAGUACUUGGAUCUAACGAAGGACAUGACUCAGGAUCGAGCACAAUGGCGUUCUAAGAUUCAUAUAGCCGAUCCCACUCAGUGACUUGGAUUUUCCAAGUCUCUAACCGAGAAGUUUUCCUCACUCGGGAAAUUAAGGGAACACUACCCCAACCUACAUGCUCCACUCAGAAAGCUUUCAACAUACAAGCUUCAACAAAAGAAAAUUCAAAGAACUUAGCGAAGAAGGCUUUGGUGUAUUUAACACAAUACGUUGAAAUGAAGGAAAGCUUAUUUAUUGAUAUCCCCGAUAAGCUACAAAUAUGUACAUAUACAUGAGUCAAAAUAAACACACAAGAGGGAGCCUUCACAAAGGUUGCUUAGGAGAAGUCUCAGCAGUCGGUAGAGCCCCAGAAAGAGAAGGCACCGGAGGGGGAUCAUUUGGAGCCUCAGUACUGGACAGAACCCUAGAAGGAGGAGGCAUCAGAGGUUGAUCAUUCGGAGCUUCAUUAUGCGGUACAGCCCCAGAAGACGAAGGCAAUAAAUGCCUUUGGAACAAACCCACAAAUCUCUGAUGAUCAAGUAAAACCUGACCAUCAGUUUCCUUCAUCUGGUCAAGCUUCCUCUUCAUGUUUGUAGCAUAGUCAUGUGCGAGUCGGUGCAACUGUUUAUUCUCAUGCUUGAGCCCUCUAAUCUCCUGUUUGAGACUCAUCACUUCAGCCGCCAAUGAUUCAACUUGGCGGGUUCGAGCAAAUAGGCGUUGGGCCAUAUUAGACACAGAACCUGCACACUGAACACUGAGAGCCAGUGAAUCCUUAACAGCUAACUCAUCAGACCGUUUGGAAAGUAGUCUGUUAUCUUUGGGGGUGAGAAGGUUCCUGGCCACCACCGCAGCGGUCAUAUCAUUCUUCAUCACGGAAUCCCCAACGGUAAGAGGACCAGUAGGGGAGACGAAGGAUGGGCACCAUAUGUUGUCUGGAGAAGGCGGGGCUUGCCUCUUCAACAAGGUUCAAGUCAAAACGACGGUCGGAGGGGCCAGACAUUUUCAAAGGUGUUGAAGAGAGAAGAGGUCGGACAAAUCAAGAUCUUAGAAGUGCAAGAAUGAAGCUUCUACUGGUGGAGAUUCAAGUGUGCUUUGGAACUUAAUGCCAGCCCCUAUAAAAAUCUGCACUCGACGGAGCUUCAGAAAUCGAAGAGGCGCCUGCUCAGAAAUCGAAGAGGCGUUUGCUUUCUCAAAAGCUGGGCUGCUUAGAGAUCACGAGGGUUGAUCUCAGAAAUCGAAGAGGCGUUUGCUUUCUCAAAAGUUGGGCUGCUCUAAGACCACGAAGGUCGAUCUCAGAAAUUGAAGAGGCGCUCGCUUUCUCAAAAGCUGGGCUCCCCAGAGACCACGAGGGCCGAUCUCAGAAAUCGAAGAGGCACCUACUUUUCCAGCCUUGUCAGCACCUGUCACACGCACACUCAGCUUUGCGGAAAUUAUGGGCAUUCUGUCGAAGACUUCUGGGGAAGUAGAAAACUCAUGAAUCUUACUGUUCAAUCACCCACUUCCCACACGCAACAAUAGCUCAUGGGUACCACAGAUAACUUUGCCAAAGUUCUCUGCCAAAGUUGAGCACGUGAAGCUUGCAGCUCCCACUACAUCGCUCUGACCAAGAAGGGUAAAAGAAUAGCAAAGAAACAGCACUAACAAAGUUUAGACCCAUAAAUUUUGAAGGUCUAGCUACCAUAUUAUUACCCACAAGGGUAAAGGAACAGUACCACUGCUGGAUAAUUGGAAAGUCCCUGUGUGUCAACCUCUGUGCUUCGUGGCAAGGUAGACUAGCAAACAUGCCCAACCUUUACUCACAUUCGAGAAAACACUCCCCAAUAAGAUUGCUUGCUCCAAAAUCGAAGAGGCACCGUCCUCCGAAUCUCGAGAGCCAGACUCCCAACAUGACUACUUUCUUAAAAAUCGAAGAGAGGGUAAAGGAACAGUACCAUUGCUGGAUAAUUGGAAAGUCCCUGUGUGUCAACCUCUGUGCUUCGUGGCAAGGUAGACUAGCAAACAUGCCCAACCUUUACUCACAUUCGAGAAAACACUCCCAACAGGAUUGCUUGCUCCAAAAUCGAAGAGGCACCGCCCUCCGAAUCUCGAGAGCCAGACUCCCAACAUGAUUACUUUCUCAAAAAUCGAAGAGACACUGCUCCCCGAAUCUUCCAGAGCCAGAGCCCCAGCAUGAUUGCUUUCUCAAAAAUCGAUAAGGCAUCGUUCUCCAAAUCAAUCGAAGAGGCGCUCGCUUUCUCAAAAGCUGGGCUGGUCAGAGACCACGAGGGCCGAUCUCAGAAAUCGAAGAGGCACCUACUAUUCUAGCCUUGUCAGCACCUGUCACACGCACACUCAGCUUUGCAGAAAUUAUGGGCAUUCUGUCGAAGACUUCUGGUGAAGUAGAAAGCACAUGAAUCUUACUGUUCAAUCACCCACUUCCCACACGCAACAAUAGCUCAUGGGUACCACAGAUAACUUUGCCAAAGUUCUCUGCCAAAGUUGAGCACGUGAAGCUUGCAGCUCCCACUACAUCGCUCUGACCAAGAAAAGGUAAAAAGAAUAGCAAAGAAAACAGCACUAACAAAGUUUAGACACAUAAAUUUUGAAGGUCUAGCUACCAUAUUAUUACCCACAAGGGUAAAGGAACAGUACCAUUGCUGGAUAAUUGGAAAGUUCAUGUGUGUCAACCUCUCUGCUUCGUGGCAAGGUAGACUAGCAAACAUGUCCAACUUUUACUCACAUUCGAGAAAACACUCCCAACAAAAUUGCUUGCUCCAAAAUCGAAGAGGCACCGUCCUCCGAAUCUCGAGAGCCAGACUCCCAACAUGACUACUUUCUCAAAAGCGAAGAGAGGGUAAAGGAACAGUACCAUUGCUAGAUAAUUGGAAAGUUCCUGUGUGUCAACCUUUGUGCUUCGGGGCAAGGUAGACUAGCAAACAUGCCCAACCUUUACUCACAUUCGAGACAACACUCCCAACAGGAUUGCUUGCUCCAAAAUCGAAGAGGCACCGCCCUCCGAAUCUCGAGAGCCAGACUCCCAAAAUGAUUACUUCCUCAAAAAUCGAAGAGACACUACUCUCCGAAUCUCGAGAGCUAGACCCCCAGCAUGAUUGCUUUCUCAAAAAUCGAAGAGGCAUCGCUCUCCGAAUCUCGAGAGCCAGAUACCACAGACCACUUUUUCAAAGUGCUCUGACAGAGUUAAAACAUGUGAAACUGGCAGCUCCCACUACCGUGCUAUGACCAAGCAGGGUAAAUGAAUAGCAUUACUACUUGUUAGGGAGACUCCUAUAUAUGUCGACCUCCAUCCCCAACGGACAGGCAGACCUGCAAAAAUGCUCAACCCUUCAUCAUAUCUGAGAGGGCACUCCCAACGAAGCCUUUCGAAAUAUUCAGCUUUCUUUCCCCCCGAUAAUACCUCUGCAAACAAGCUAUACUAGAGCAAGAAUAUCUCAUAUCAUCAGGGUUAAAAGCAAGAGUAUCCCAUAUCAUGCUUUUUCCCUGUCUUUUCCUUUGGCCUUGUUUUUACCUGCAAGACAAGGAGAAAGAGAGCAAUCAGUCAGCACUUGGAAUCAAGCUUCCAGCCAGGAACUAACUGCCUGGAACCCCUUACCUGAUUACUUACCUGGCAUUGCUCUCGAGUACUCAUCUUCAACAUCUUAUGUUUCCAGGGAAGAUUCCGCAUCUGCUUGAGGAACAGAUAGGGCAAGUGCGAAGGAUACAAGGAAGCAUGUGGAGACAAGCGUAACAGCACACGUGCCGAUACAUCCAUUACUCUGUCAAAAGCAAAAGUAUCCCAUAUCAGCAGGGUGGAACGUACUCUAGAUUUGAUGGACUUGUUUUGACCCUCAAAUUCUUCAGUCGGCCUUAUACUCUGGAGGAAACCAGAAAACCCUCCAGCUCAGUUCAAGAAUAAGCCUGUGGAAAGUUACUUCUUCAAAAGCAAAAGUAUCUCAUAUCAUCUCUUCUCAUUUUUCUUCUCUUUAUCCUUCAUGCUGCUGCAAGAUGGGGAGAAGGUGAACAAUCGGUCGGAGCUCUGAUUGCUUACCUUGUCUGUCACCUCUUUCAGCAGACCCCCUAGCUCGGCGACUUGGGGGACUCCUACUACAUGGUUUGUAUCGCGCUUGACCAAGCUUGAAACUACAAGUAAGCUUCAAGUGAAAUUGAUACAUUACCUUGUGCAUCUCCACCAGUUAAAGAUACCACCCCUGGAUGGAGGAAGAGUACUUCCAGAGAAAGAUGCCACAUCUACCUAUGAGACAGAUAAGGCAAGUCAAGACGACACCACACUCCGAUACUUAGAAGUUUCGUGAUUACGAGAUCAUUCUCCCACAAUAUUUCCUAAUGUCAUUUGUACUAAAUCAUUCACUUGUACUCAUUAAAGGAGAGCAUGAACCUAUGUACUUGUGUAAACCCUUCACAAUUAAUGAGAACUCUUCUAUUCCGUGGACGUAGCCAAUCUGGGUGAACCACGUAUAUCUUGUGUUUGCUUUCCUAUCUCUAUCCAUUUAUAUACUUAUCCACACUAAUGACCGGAGCAAUCUAGCGAAGAUCACAAAAAGCGACCGUUUUCGCUACCUAGGAUCUAUCUUGCAAGAGAACGGAGAAUGAGAUGGAGAUCUCAACCAUAGAAUACGAGCUGGAUGGAUGAAGUGUAAGAGUGCAUCCGGCGUGUUGUGUGACCGUCGUAGGCCACUGAAGCUCAAGGGAAAAUUUUAUAGGACGGCAAUAAGACCAGCGAUGUUGUAUGGCACAGAAUGUUGGGCGGUGAAGCAUCAACACGUACACAAAAUGGGUGUAGCGGAGAUGAGGAUGCUUUGUGGGAUGUGUGGGCACACGAGAAAGGAUAAGAUUGGGAAUGAGGAUAUCCGAGGUAAAGUAGGAGUAGCCGAAAUUGUAGGAAAGAUGAGAGAAAAUCGGCUCCGGUGAUUUGGACAUGUGCAAAGAAGGCCGACUGACGCUCCGGUUCGAAGAUGUGACUACGGGACAGAGGUUCAGGGCCGAAGGGGUAGAGGAAGACCUAGGAAAACUUUGGAAGAGACUCUAAGAAAAGACUUAGAGUACUUGGAUCUAACGGAGGACAUGACACAAAACCGAGCGCAAUGGCGUUCUAGGAUUCAUGUAGCCGACCCCACUUAGUGGGAAAAGGCUUUGUUGUUGUUGUUGUUGUUGUAGUUGUAGCAAAUAAAUAGACAGUUCACAAUACUUAAUCUCAGUUUACUACCCUCGAGUUUUUUGGUUUUCGACAUUUGGCACAUCAAAUUUUGUUUCAACCCAAAAUGGUAUUUGAAGUCAUAAUUUAGAGAAACUUUCAUACAUAUGUUAAGGUUAAUGUUAAAUCAAUCGUUGACCAGUGACGUGAUGCCCACAUAGACAAUAACCGGACGUGUAUGAUUUACUCGGGAUUUUAUUCGUUUUAAAUGUUGUUUGCCUUAGUCCUUUGGCAUGUGUGAUUUACUUGUUGUGCAUAUGUAAAGUUGGACAAAAUCUAUAAGGUCGUUUGGUCAAUCAGCUAUGGCAAAUAAAUAAACAGUUCAUAAUACUUUUACUCAUUUGUUUUUAUAUAGUUGAAUGACUUAAUGAUUUCAUAUUUUAUUAUUAUUAUUUUUUAGAUAUGAUAUUUACAAAGUAUUUUAUAAUAUGAACAAUUUCGAUCAUAAACACGAAAUUUCAUGAAUUGAAAACUAAGUAUUUUGAGGAAGUUAAUUUAAUAAAAAAAAAUGAUACUAUUGUAUAUAAUGACAAAUAUAGGCAUAGUUGUGGGGAUGGUGGCAACAACAGCAGUGGUAGGGGUAGCGGCAAAUGUGGGGGCUUUGGUGGUUGUGACAAUAAUAGGGUGUGGUGGUUGGGGUGUAGAGGUAGCAGUGGUGGUAGCGGUAGUAGUUACGAUUGUGGUGGUGGUGAUAUAAGGUUAAUCGUUGUAGUGGUAGGUGGUGGCGGUCUUUGUUAUCCGAGGGCAAAAAUAUAUGUAAAAGGAUAAAUAAUGUUAAUUUUCAUUAAUGAGGGUAUUAUAAGAAUUAAAAAAAUAUUCAUUAAACGCUUAGCUCCGCUUUUUAUAAAAGUUGUUGACUGGAUGCGACUGCAUUAAAAAUAGGUAUGAUAUAGGUGUAGAGAGUAAGUUGGGUGUAAAAAAAAGUUAUAUGGGUUCAAAUAAAAUUUCUAAUUUGUUUUUGUUAUGAAUAAUGCUAGGAAGACCAAAUUUUUAACAAAAUGCUACUUUUACCAUCUAAUUGUACCAUCGUUUGUACCAUAUCUCUAAUAGAGAUGGAACCCAUAUGUGUUGACAGACCUUACCUCUAUUAGAAUUAGAAAGAUGGUACAACUAGGUGAUAAGUGUAACAUUACCCAAUUUUUAAUCAAAUAUGCAAACCAAAUGACGUGUAUCAAUAAGAAAUAAGCAUGUUAAUCAACACUUAACUAAUAAUAACAUUCAUGUCAUUUGGUUAGUAAAUUUGGUUUAAAAUUUUGGUCUCCCUAUCAUUAUUUGUUAUUGUGCGGUGAUUUGUGGUUUGUGUUAACCUAAAAUGAGAUCCAUUUUUUGUCCGUAAUUAAUAUCAAAUCCAAUAGUGAAUGACCAUAUAUUUCUUGGUCUCUAGAAACCAAGAGAACAUUUUUGGAUUUUGGUCAUCCAAAUUUUGUGACACUAGGUUCAGAGUACUCAAUGCCUGAGCUGGAGCAUAACAAAAUCAUGCACAUGGAAGUAGUUCACAGCUCAAAAUACAAGCUUGCAUCAGAUUUAUAUAGGCAAGAAAAUGUCUUUGCAAAUUUAAAGAGAAAAAAAAAUGAGGAGCAAAAAUAUUGCUACAAGGUAUGGUGGACUUGUAUAUGGACCAUUAGUGUCACAAUCAUAUCAAUUUUAUAUGAUGGCGAAUUUCUUUGGGUUCUUGGUCAUCUCAGCCAAAUUUCGGAUGUCAUUUCGUCUCAAACACUGUACAAAAGAGAAGUUGAUUUAACAUAAUUAUUUCAGUCAAAUCUAGGUUCUACUCCUCCAGUUGGCUUGCAAUUUCGUCCUCUCUGCAUUUAAUCGUCAUUUUAGCAUCCCCAUGUCAAAACCCACAUGUAGGAUGAUGACUAAUGGUAAAAUGCCAAAAGCACAAUAAUUUCCCAUCUUAAAAACAAUUACAAUCAAGAUCAAGAGGCAGAAACAUAAUUAAUCAAGAGUGCAUUGCCUUUGCCCCUGUCAAGUCUAGUUUUGAAAAGUCAACAUGUUGUCCAUCUGUGUGGACAAUAUCAACCAUUAGAAAUAGAUCUAUCAACCAUAUAAAUUUGAACUUUAUUCAUUUAUUUUCUACGCGCAACGAAAUGUCUUUCGCUUGCUCCUUUGUCUUGUUCCUUCAUAUUCUUUCUAUGGUAAUACUGAUAAAUGUCACCGACUAUAUAUUUGGGUGGAGAAAUUUCAAGCCAUGGGACUAAAAACCAAAUUAUAAAAAGAGAAUACCACAAAAUGAGAAAAUUCUUCAAUGACACGUAAUAAUGAAAGAUGUGGAAUGAAUGAACAAGAUUGAAACUAGAUUAUUCAAUACUUGUGGAAAUUUUUGUACAAUAAAAUAACUAAUAGUUCUCCUUCUCCAAUGCAUUUUCCAUUUCAUGCGCUACAAACAAAGGUAGGCCUACAAGUAACUAUCAGAGGCAAUUCAACAAGUGACCAAAACAUGGCCACAUUUUUAAUUAUAUAGGAAUUAAAGUUUCCACAAUUCAAGUGGGAAUGUAUUGACUUCUUUAAACUUUGGUCCUUGAAAUUAUUAGUUCAGAACAUACAAUAUUUGUUGACUUAUAGUGCAUGCAUAAAGUUGGAUAAAAUCUAAUACUCAAUAUUUAUUAUCCGUUUUAAAUGUUGUUUGCCUUAGCCCCUUGGCAUGUGUGUGAUUUACUUGUAUUGCAUGCGGAAAGUUGUACAAAAUCUGUAAGGUUGUUUAAUCAAUUAGCUGUAGCAAAUAAAUAGACAGCUUAUAAUAUUUUUAUUCGUUUGUUUUUAUAUAGUUGAAUGACCAAAUGAGGCCUUAGUGUUACAAGUUUACACCAAGGGUGGAGAGAAUAAAUUUGUUAUAUUUACACCCUUUUCUUAAUACUUUUUCUUUAAUACUUUUUGAAUUCCUUGCUAUAUUUACAUCAAGGAUUGAUGAGAAUAAAUUGAUUACAAAAUCGUAAUACACGAUUCGAACCUAAAUUUUCUUUUAUUUCAAGUAGAGAAAAUGGAGCUUUAUAUAUAGAGACAAAAACUUCCACUAUAUUUCAAGGAAUUCCACUAGUUUUUAGACAUGUCAAUGAGAGACAAAAAUAUUAAAAAAAAAAUAAACCCCAUCUCAAUAACAUGGAACAAUGCUUUAAAAUAUCAGUCAUACCUCUAAAGCUUUAGGGUUGUUAAUAGAACACAACCCUCACAAUUCCAACAAAAUUAAUAUGUGACAUAAACUCAACUCAUCAUCGACUAUUUCUGCAGAAUCAGUUUUGAAAUUAUAUGUAGAAUCAAUUUGUAUCCUUUAUUACUAGAAUCAGUUUAAUCAGUCCUCAAUCAUUUUUGCAGAAUCAGUUCAACCAGUCCUUUACCAUUUUUGCAGAAUCAGUUCAACUUGGUCUCGUCUAUUUUUGCAUAAUCAGUUCAACCCGUUCUCGACCAUUUUUGCUCCAUUUUUGCAUAAUCGGUUUAACCUGUGGUCGACCAUUGUUGCAGAAUCAGUUCAACCCGUCUUGGUCAUUUGUGCAGAACCAAUCCAAUCCGUCCUCGUCCAUUUUUGCAAAAUCAGUUCAACCCGUCCUCGACCAUUGUUGCAGAAUCAAUUCAACAUGUCCUCGACCAUUUUUGCAUCAUCAGUUCAACCCGUCUAUGACCAUUUUUUCAAAAUCACUUCACCAUUUUUGCAGAACCAGUUUAACUUGUCCUCUGCCAUUUUUGCAAAAUCGGUUUAACCCGUGCUUGACCAUUAUGCAGAAUCAGUUUAACCCGUCCUCAAUCAUUUUUUGCAGAAUCAGUUCAACCCGUCAUCGAUCAUUUUUGCAAAAUCAGUUCAACCUUUAAGUGCAAAUCUUAACCCUGAAGCCGAAAUUGCAUACGGUGCUGGCCUAAUAAAUCCUAGCAAUGCUCCAUAUCCUGGUUUGGUAUACGAUGCUGCUGAAAUCGAUUAGGUAAAUUUUUUGUGUGCACAUGGCUAUAGUACCAGAUUAUUGAAAGCUCUUAACGGGGAUAGCUACUUAUCAUCACAAUCUAAUCAUGGAACACUCAAUGAUCAUCUAAACUAUCCUUCUGUUGCACUUUCCACCUCGAACCCUAAAUCCGUCAAUGGCAUUUCAAAAGAACCGUCACAAAUGUUGGAUCACCAAAAUGCACAUAUAAAGCUAAAGUGAGUGCACCACCAGGACUUGAAAUCAAAGUUAAUCCAAGCGUUUUAAAGUUCGCAUAUCUCGGGCAGAAGCUAUCGUUUCAAGUCACGGUGAAAUGGUUGAUUGAAAAAAUCAUAGUCCCUAGUUCUCUGGUGUGGGAUGAUGUUAAUUUCCAAGUGAUGAGCCCCAUUGUUGUGUAUUUUGUGUUUUGAGAACAAGGUAAUUAAACUAUGGUAGCCAAAGGCUUCAUCCAUUUUCUAUGGCAGCCAAAGGCGUCAUCCAUCUUCUCCACAAGGUAACCCCCAAAACAUUCCUUUUAAAUUAUGUUAAUUGGCUAAUUAAUAGAUUUAUUACCUAAUUAAUCUAUUAAUGGCCAAUUAAACUACCAAUUACACCCAAAAAACACACAAGAGGCCGGUCACCUUCUCUCCCAAGGGAACCGGCCAUACCUUAUAUAUUCUACCUCAUUUUCUCUAAAAAGCUAAGUCUACACUCUUGCUAAAUACUCAAAAUUCUCCAAAAAAAUUUCCUUCAAAAUUCUAACUUUGGUAUCAGAGGUUCUUCGGCCAAAGUCCCCUCUCCCCCAAAUUCAUCGUGGGUGCGUGAGGCUAUUGGCCUUGACCUAAGGUGUUAUUUGUUUUGUAGGUGCAAUUUUGUCCAAGAUCAAGGAGGAAGAAAUUUGCAUCCACAGUAUGUGUAAUAAUGUAUGAAUAAGCAAUUGCAAGAAGCUAGAAAGGGUUCCAAUGAAACAAAAGUGCAACGUACUGAUCACGAUGAUGUGUUAAAUAUAAAUUAAAUUAUUAUAUAUUUAUGAACCUUUAAAUGAUGUAGUACAUCAAAUUUGAAACGUACCCAUUUAAGGAUAUUUCAUAAUUCUCUGUGCAAUCUAAUUGUAUAUUUGAUUGUUCAUUGACAUUUUAUAUUAGCACCCCACAAAAUAUUGAAUGUAUUUCAUAUUAAAAUUUAAUGUUAAUAACUUAUUUACUCUACUAUGCAAUUACAAUUUUGACCUUAUUAGGUUUAAAAAAAUAAAAAAUUUCUAAAUACACCCCAAAUCACUUUUAACGUAUUAUUUAUCUACUUCAACCAUCAAAACCCCUCCCACCCUCCAUUGUUGAAUAAAACCCUAAGCAAUGAAAUUACAAACAUGUUGAUUGAGAAAAAUUAUUUUUAACCGGAACAUGAAAUCGGUGUUUCAAAAGCUUUACAUGAGGUAAGACUUCGUAUUUUUCUUUGUUUUAGUGAUUUCGACGACAUUGAUAAUUAUUUAAUCUCACUCAAUCUAAUAAUUCAAGAAUUAGCACUUAUGAAUCUCAUAAUUAAAAAAUCAUGGCAUGCGAACUGAUUGCAGAUUGAGUCAAUGACAUUCAUAAGGUGCUUUCUUGCAGGUCGACUUGGUUCGACCAAAAAAUGCACAAGAAAAUGGAAACAACAUGGUAGCUUUGAAAUCAUUAUUAUUGUUAUUGAAAAACGUUCAAAUGAACGUAAACAUUUUUUUCAAAUCAUUCAAUUUGAAAUCAUUCGGCAAACUAACGUUCAGAUGGUUUGAAAUCAUUCGGCAAAAUUAAAAAUGAGUGUUACAAGAUUUGAGAAAUGUGGGGGUGUAUGUAGAAAAUGUAAGGUGUAUAUUAAGAAUGUAGGGUGUGAGGGUAUUAUGGGGAAUGAAGUGGGGUGUAUUAAGAUAAGGGGUUUUUGAACAUUAGUCCUUACAAAAGAUUAAAAUUUUAAAAAAACCUGGCGCUAGAUUAAAUAUUCAAUUUAAUCCCUUGAAUAGUGCUUUUAUCAAAUUUUAGAUUCAAUUUUUGUUAUUUAAUGUGUAUUUUUAUUUAAUCACUCCAUAUUAAAUUUUAAUUUUAUUAAUAUGCACAUAUUUAGUUUUUUAAUUAUAAAUGAACGUAAAUGAGAAAAUAUUAAAAGACAUAUUUGUGAUACAAAAAUAUAUAAAUACAUAAGUGUACAGAAAUAACUAUGCCGAAAUAUAUAAAAUUGACUUUUUUUGUACCGAAAUAUUGUACCUACAUGAUUGUACCGAAAUAUAUUAUAAUUAACCUAAAUGUAUGUACCAAAAUGUAUUAUUGAAUUAAUGUACCUAAAUGUCAAUACCAAAAUAUAUGUACCAAAAUGUACGUACCGAAAUGUAUGUACCUAAAUGUCAAUACCGAAAUGUAUAUACCUAAAUAUCCAUACCAAAAUGUAUGUACCAAAAUGUACGUACCUAAAUGUAUUUACCGAAAUAUAAUAUAUUGAAUUAAUGUACCUAAAAGUCAAUACUCAAAUAUGUGUACCAAAAUGAACGUAAUGAAAUGCAUUAUAUUGAAUCAAUGUAACUAUAUGUUUGUACCAAUUGUCACAUCCCGGCCCGAGGCGGACCACUUCCCGAGCCCAUUCCACCACCGUAGCACGAUAUUGUCCACUUUGGGCCCCGACCAUGCCCUCACGGUUUUGUUUUUGGGAACUCACGAGCAAAUUCCCAGUGAGUCACCCAUCAUGGGAGUGCUCUAUCCUCCUUCUCCCUUAACUUCGGAGUUCCUACGGAACCCGAAGCCAGUGAGCUCCCAAAAGGCCUCGUGCUAGGUAGGGAUGAGAAUAUACAUUUAAGGAUCACUCCCCUAGGCGAUGUGAGAUGUUACAAUCCACCCCCCUUAGGGGCCCAACGUCUUCGUCGGCACACCACGGCCAUGGUUAGGCUUUGAUACCAAAUUGUCACAUCCCGGCCCGGGGCGAACCACUUCCCGCGCCCAUUCCACCACUGUAGCACGAUAUUGUCCGCUUUGGGCCCCGACCAUGCCCUCACGGUUUUGUUUUUGGGAACUCACGAGCAACUUCCAAGUGGGUCACCCGUCAUGGGAGUGCUCUAGCCUCCUUCUCGCUUAACUUCGGAGUUCCUACGGAACCCGAAGCCAGUGAGCUUCCAAAAGGCCUCGUGCUAGAUAGGGAUGAGAAUAUACAUUUAAUGAUCACUCCCCUAGGCGAUGUGGGAUGUUACACCAAUGGAUAUACCGAAUUAUUCAAAUAUAUUAAUGUACCUAAACGAAUAACAUACAAAAUUGUUAUCGGAAUAUAUAUUAUAAAAGAAUUACUUACCUAAAUGUAGACAUUAAAAUAUAUUAUGAUGAAUGAAAUAAAAAUUAAAUUUAAAUGUAAUUGAUACAUUAAAAUAAAAAUAAAUAAAUAAAUAAAUAAAACAUCAAAAUAUAACUAAUAAAUGAUAUGAUUAAAUGUACUAGGGACUAAAAUUGGAUUUUAAUCUUACACAAGGUUAAAAUCUAAAACUCAUAUUUUUUAAGGAUUAAAAUGAGGUUUUCUAAUAAGAUAAUUUUUAAUUGAAAAAGUAAAUGUGGGGUGUAUUAAGUAUGUAGGGUUUAUUCAACAACUUGUGGGGUGCUAAUAUAAUUACCCUUGUUCAUUUUUGGUGUGCCUGGAAAAUAUGGAUUUUCUCCUAUGUUGAUUACUUGAUUGAAGGCCCCAUCGCUCGUUUCCCGUUAUUCACGUCUUGAUUGAAGGCCCCAUCCCUCGUUUCCCGUUAUACACGUUGUAUCUAUCACUAGAUCAAGUUAUCAAUGAGACUUUAGUCGGAACCUUCCUGAUUAAAAACAAAAGACCGAAAAACUUCGGUGGGGACAUUUGCAAACAACUACAAAUGAAAAAUAAAAUAGUAGCAUCAUGCAUCGGUGGCAUAAAAAUCUUUACGCACCCACUUGUUCCAGAUGUUGGCACAUGAUCAUGCAUCGAUAGAUAUACGUAUGGACAAUGCAUGCCCUACCUUUCAAAUUAUGCCAAGAACAAUCGAUCGAGUGACCAGCGGUGGGACUUGGGAGAGCUAGGAAUAUUAGCAAGCUGCAUUUUCUCGAUUCCCACUCACUUGUUUGAGCAUACCGACUAAUCUGCUUGUUUCUUGACUUGUGGAUGUAUCCAAAGUUCAAUAUGGAUGCAUGACAUGUGAUGUAGGUCAGGAGGUUUUCGUUCUUUUCAAAAGAAGUAUAUGUUGGAAAAGUUAGACAUGGAAUUGAUACACAGUUAAUAUGCUUUUGUACCGUCAUUCCCUAUAACCAAAAAUUCGUUAUUGUCAUUAAAAAAAGAGAGAAUUUUUUAUUUCUAUUAUUAUAUUUAAUUAGUCUCUUGCUACAUUAAAUAAAAGUUAUUGAUACUUUCAUAAUAAAGCUUCAUUAAUUUGGUAAAAUUUUACAUAUAGUUAUAUAAAUGUAUUUAAAACUCAUGAUACAUUUGAAAAUAAACAUACCGAUUUUUGGUACGUUUAGAUUUUAAAUGAACUAAUAAACAAAUGUACCAUAAAACUAAAGAGUAAAUUGUAGCUAUGGUCCCUUAACUUUAACUCAAUUGGAGCAAUGGUCCCUCAACUAAAAAUCCAUUACCAUUGGUCACUCAACUUUAAUUCAACUGGAGAAAUGGUCCUUUAACUUUAACACAAUUGUAGCAAUGGUCCUUUAACUUUAACCCAAUUGUAGCAAUGGUCCUUCCAACAUAACUCAUUUUGACAAAAUUUUUGAUGUAGUUGACGAAAAUGACCAUAAUUACACACUUUGAUGAGUUGAAGGACCAUAAUUAUAUAAAUGGUUAUUCCAACAUUACUUAUUUUGACAAAAUUUUGACGAAAUUAAUGAAAAUGAUUAUAGCUACACAUUUUGAUAAGAUGAUGGACCAAUGGUAAUGGAUUUUUAGUUGAGGGACCGUUGCUCCAAUUUGAUUAAAGUUGAGGGACCAUUGCUACAAUUUACUUCUAAAACUAAAAUUACCCAUAUUAUAGGUAAUCAAUUGUACCAAUACAAUCAAACGUACCUUUACUAUGAUUAUGUAUGUGAUAAGGAGUUUUGAACCUUCUAUUUAAUUCACUAAACCAAAUAUUAUAAUAAACAAUAAAAAAUCUAAAAUCUCCAGAACGAGAGAUGCAUAUAACUAUAACAAAUUCAUAGGUAAGGAAUGAUAGGGAAAAAAGGAAAACGAAAGUGAAGAUGUAAUGUGAAAUUUGUUAGGGUGGCUAGUAAACAAUUUCAUGAAAAUAAAGGUAAAAAAAAAAGAAAAAAAGAAACGUCUAAAAUUGAACCUUUAAUAAAAUGAAAUUAAUCACCAAAACUGUACGAAAAAUGUUUAAUCAAAUUCUUAAAGGGAGUUUUAAUGAAAAGCCCGCGCUACUGUUCACUUUAAUAAAAAACCAUAUUUUUACACUAAAAAGUCAAACCUGGUAUUUUUCACUUUACCCUUUAUUUUGUUAAAAUCGUUAAAACUCAAAGUUUUUAAAUCAUUUUCAUUAGUUUUCAUAUUCUUAAAAGUAAUAGAUGUUUAAUCACCAAAAUUAAAAAACAAGGCGUUUAUAUCAAAACACCCCCAAACUAUGUAAAAUAAUCAUGGGAGCACAAACCAUACCCCUAAGAAUAAAGAGAAAUUGCAACACGUGAAAUGCAUGGCUUUUCAUUUUUAGUAUAAACAGGGUUGUCUCUGAAAUUUCGGGGAUCCUAUGCAAAUUUAUAAAAGGGCCCUUUUUAAGAUAAUCUUAAAAAAAAAAAACAAAAAAAAAAAUUUGAACUUCGUGGUUGUUUUUCUUUAACAAAAAACCUAUCAAUAACUCGUUUUUUAGACGAGUCAAUUGUUCAACUUUUUUUCUUUGGCGUUUCAAGUAGCUACAUAAAUAUUUUUAGUAGGUGUCAUCUUUUAUAUCUCAAACAAUAUCAUAAUUAAAUUAUACUAAGCAUAUACAAUAAAACCUAAUAGUUCGCAAUGCAUGUGCGUCUAAUGGUUUUUGUUUACUGCUCCCCUCUUGCUAUGACAAUUACUUGAUUAAUUUUUAUGAGUUUUGCCCUAAAAAGUACAAAAGGAAAAAAAAUAUCAUUAUUAAUAAAAAUACCUAAAUCUUCUAAUUCCAACUUAAUAUACUUGAACUAGUAGUACCUCAUUUUAAUCGAAAUCUACACCACUCUGACCACUUCAAUUGUCUUCAUGAUUUGGAAAUUUUUCUUCAAUGACAGGAAAUUUUGUUUAAGAUAAUAUAAUAUAAUAUCUUCAAUGACAGGAGUGAGAAUUGAGAAACAUUGUGAAUAAUAUCAUUAUUUUAUAAUUUUUAUAAAAUUUCUUACGAUUUGAUGACUUAUGUAGGCAUUCAUGUAGUUUGUGGUUUGUGGUUUGUGGGGCCCACUAGGAUUUUUUUAUCUUUUAUGUGGUUCUGAUUAGCCUUUUUAUUUAUAUAAAUAAUAUAAUAUUAUUUCAUAAGAUAUCCGAUUAGAUAGAAAACUAUUUUGGGGAUUCUUAAAUUUUGAGACCGUGUGCCAUGGAACCGGUAGCUCCCCCUCAACGUCAGCUCUGAUUAUAAAUACAAGAUGGUGUUCUUGGAUGAGAUUGUCCAUCUUUUACAUGCUUUCUAGAACUUCGCUACAAUGGCUUUAAUCCCAUGGUUUCUCCUUCUCAUCAGCCUCAUAUCUACUCUGCCAGUUGAUGUCACUCUAUCUGCUGAUCACCAGGAUAACCGGAAGGCAUUCAUAAAAGAUGCAUUUUGAACAAUUCCGUUUCUCUGCUCAAAAUAUGUUCAUUAAUUAAUUUAAUCUUCUGAUCUUGGAUAUAUUAACUGCAGGAUUAUAUUGUGUAUAUGGGUGACAAGCCAAAGCCAGAGGUUUCCACCACUACCACAUCAGCUCUUCAUGUAAACAUGCUACAAAACGUCAUCGAUGACAGGUUUAAUUAAUUAUCACAUAUGAUAGUGGGCUUAGUUAUAUAUACUGAUCACUGUUUGAAAAUACUCGCAUCGAGGGCCUUAGCGGGUGGCUUGCCGUCUAUAUUUUGUGGGAGUCGGCGAAAAACUCGCAUAGCUUCGUCGGGGCGUGCCUCAGGACGUUUGAUUGGGCGUCAGUUUUGUAUAAAGGUUGUCGAAUCUGAAAAAAAAAUAAAAAUUGAUUGAAAUCUGGGUUUUGUUUUCAGUUGCAUAGCAGUCUGAAGAAGAUGAAGAAGACGCCAACUUGUUGGCUGAUUUUUCUUUUCUUUUUUUUUUAAUUAUUUUUUUCACUUUAUUAGCCGCUGUUAAAUCAUAUCUUUUAGCAUAUUCUAUCUUUUAGCAUAUUCUUUAUUAGCCGCUGUUAAAUCAUAUCUUUUAUAUUAUUUUUAUGAAGUAUAUAGACCUAAAAAAACCUCAAAAGACCCUAUAAAAACUCAAAAUAUAUCUUUACUUUUUAACGUUAUAUAUUACCCUUUAUUUUUCUUUUUAAGACUCCACAUCCACAUAUCUCAUCAAAAUAAUAUGUAUAUGUAUGUAUGUAUUGUAUAUAUAUUAAAAAAUUUAAGUUCCGUGAGGUUUCGCCUCAUGCCUCAAUGUUUUCACCUAGACAGAGCUAUCCACAACACGUUCACCUACACAUUCGCCUUUUAAACAUUGAUACUGAUUAACAUUAUUCGUGACAAGUGUACCAUUUAAUUUAGUCAUCUCUCAUACAUACACAUCUUCUCUUUGUUUUUCAAGCUUAAUUAUGGCAGAGUUUGAAAGUGUCAAAUUUUUUAAGAUUUUGAUUUUUGACGUUUAUUUAUCCAGCAAUAUUGCGCACGAAUCUCUGCUUCUGCACAGCUACAAGAGAACCUUCAAUGGCUUUGCUGCCGAGCUAACAGAGGAAGAAGCACAGAAGUUGGCUGGUUGUCUUAUGAACCCAACUUAAUUUUAUUUUUCAACUUGAAUAAACAUUAAAAGUGACCAUUGUAUGACUUGAAAAAUAUAUGCAGGAAUGGAUGGUGUGGUGUCUGUUUUCCCUAGUGAAACUAAGAAGCUCCAAACAACACGGUCAUGGGACUUCAUUGGGUUUCCUAAAAUAGUGAAGAGAAGCGCCAUUGAAACUGAUAUCAUUGUCGGGGUGAUUGACUCUGGAAUUUGGCCUGAAUCUGCCAGCUUCAGUGACGCCGGGUUUGGUCCACCCCCCAAAAGGUGGAAAGGCGCAUGCAAGGGCGAAGGCAAUUUUACUUGCAACAAGUAAAGCAAACCAGUUUAUUUCAACCAUCCACUGCACAUUUCAAAAAACGAAAAAAAACAAAACAUCACGUGUUGUUGUUAAUUACACUUAGACAGAAACAAAAAGUGCGAACUUGAUUUAUACGAUAUGUUGUCAAAUUGUAACUCUGACUUAAAUAAUAUGACAUACUGUUGUUACACUUGGACAGUAAAAUUAUCGGAGCACGGUAUUACCGCGGUCAACCCUACCCACAAAAUAGCAGUGAUAUCUUGUCUCCGAGGGACACGGAUGGCCAUGGAACCCACACUGCAUCAACAGCAGCAGGGAACUUAGUUAGCAAGGCAAGUCUGUAUGGUUUAGGGUUGGGGACAGCAAGAGGAGGCGUGCCAUCAGCACGCAUUGCGGUGUACAAAGUUUGUUGGUUAGAUGGGUGCCCGGAUGCUGAUAUUCUAGCGGCAUUCGAUGAUGCCAUAGCUGACGGUGUUGACAUACUCUCUGUCUCCCUUGGGGGGUUUAAACCGUUAGAUUAUUUCAGAAAUUCCAUUGACAUUGGAGCUUUUCACGCUUUAAGAAAAGGAAUAUUCACUUCCGCGUCUGCUGGUAAUGAAGGGCCAAACCUGAAAACUAUUACAAACUUUGCACCAUGGUAUCUUGCUGUGGCUGCUAGCACCAUAGAUCGCCACUUUGAUACCAAGGUUCAAUUGGGAAACCACAAAAUUUAUGAGGUAACUGAUACAGAAUCUAACCUUUGCUCAUUUAGGGCUUUGUUUGGUAGUGAUUCUGGUUGGGCAGUAUAUACACUUUUGGAGAAUCAACAUUAUAUAUAUAUAUAUAUGCUGCAGAUGCACCAAAAUACUAGAGAAUUGAUUAAAACAUGAAAGUUGAUUAUGAUUUGUUUUUGCUUCCUUGGUAGGGAAUAGUAACAAACACAUUUGAACUCAAGGGUAAAUUCUACCCCAUAGUAUAUGCUGCAGACGUUCCAGAUACGGCAGCUGGUUACGAUGGGGAAACAUCCAGGUAUGUGUACGCAUUUUGAGAGUAUAUAUACCAUUUAUAUUGAAGAACCACGGUAGUCUAGCAUAAGUCUAACCAGGUGCUAAUAACAUGGAUAUAUAUAUAUAUAUAUAUAUAUAUAUAUAUAAUAUAUAUAUAUAUAUAUGGAGCAGGUUAUGCCGAAUAGGCACGUUAGACAAAAAAUUGGUGGAGGGUAAAAUUGUUCUUUGUGAUGGGCCUACUGGGUAUGGGGCUAUAUAUGCAGGCGCAUUUGGUUAUGUUUUGACAAGCCGAAUAGCAGCAGAUGUAAUCGAUCCUGUUCCAGUACCAGCAGCUUCCGUUUGGUUCCACGUUGGUAACGAAAUUGCCCAUUACUUAAACUCAACCAGGUAUUAAUAUUUGAGAAUGACAGUGCAUGAUUGAUUUAAAAUAUUACUAAUGCGCCCGUUUGUUAGAGUGAGGCCCAACGGGCUCGUUAAUCCAAAAAUUCCAAUGAGCUUGUCACCAGGAAUGAAACAAGCCAGGACUCUUAACAAAGAGCCGGCAUCUAAGUUCCAUUAAAAACAAGUUUGGACUCUUAACAUACAGCCAACCUUCGAGUUUCAAUUGCCGAUGUGUUGAUCUCUAUGUAUGAACCACUAAAUGAGGUUACACGUGAAGGGAAGUGUUGGAAUCCUACAUCGGUGGGUGCAAAAGAAAAUAACAGGUUUAAGUAUGAUUGCCCCACUCUAACUAAUAUCGAGACCUUCUGUAAUAAAACCCCAUACUUGACGGAUUAGGUAUGUAGUAAAGUUGAGGACAGUAUUGAUGUUGUUAGAGUAGAGCCCAAUGGGCUCGCCGAUCCAAAAAUCCAACAAAACUAACAUAAAUCAAAAGAUCACUUUUAUGCUAUUGCUAAUAAAUCCUGAAUCCCUGUAAUGAUUCGCAGGAACCCAACAGCAACAAUUUGGAAAAGUACUGAGGGCAUGGAUGCACUGGCCCCAUACGUACCUUCAUUCUCAUCAAGGGGUCCAAAUCCAAACACUCCUAACAUUCUCAAGGUAACUUCAAGGCCCCGUAGGUGUGUGAAUGCUGACUUAAAAAAUGAACAAACCGAAUCAUGAAUAUUGAGGGGUCUUAAUUGUCCUAUUUGUUUUCUCCUAUAUGUUGCAGCCAGAUAUCGCUUCUCCUGGAGUUUCCAUUCUAGCAGCAUGGCCUCCAAUUGCCCCAGUUUCAGGUUUUGAAGGUGAUGACAGGGUAACUGCAUACAAUAUAUUAUCGGGGACAUCAAUGGCAUGCCCACAUGCUGCGGGCGUGGCUGCAUACGUCAAAUCAUUUCACCCCAAUUGGUCACCUGCUGCUAUCCUGUCAGCUCUUACGACUACUGGUAUAGAUGCAUUUUCAUAUAUGUACCCAUUACAAUACAACCAUUCUCUCACAUAUUUGAUGACCAAUUAUUGUCAGAGAUCAUGUGACCAAGUCUUGUGAGAGACUCCACAUAUAAUUAGACUUUGUCUAUGAUGUACAUUGUAUUACCUAAGAUUUAUAUGUUUGAUUAUUUUGUAACAAUUUUGCAGCCAAACCUAUGCGUGCAAAUCUUAACCCUGAAGCCGAAUUCGCAUACGGUGCUGGCCUAAUAAAUCCUAGUAGGGCUCCGUAUCCUGGUUUGGUAUACGACGCUGCUGAAAUCGAUUACGUAAAUUUUUUGUGUGCACAUGGCUAUAGUACCAGAUUAUUGAAAGCUCUUACCGGGAAUAGCCAUAGCUGCUCAUCAUCACAAUCUAGUCAUGGAACACUCAGUGAUCAUCUAAACUAUCCUUCUGUUGCACUUUCCACCUCGAACCCUAAAUCCGUCAAUGGCAUUUUCAAUAGGACCGUCACAAAUGUUGGAUCACCGAAGUCCACAUAUAAAGCUAAAGUGAGUGCACCACCAGGACUUGAAAUCAAAGUUAAUCCAAGCGUUCUAAAGUUCACAUCUCUCGGGCAAAAGCUAUCGUUUCAAGUCACGGUGAAAGGGUUGAUUGAAAAAACCAUAGUCUCCGGUUCUCUAGUGUGGGAUGAUGGUAAAUUCCAAGUGAGGAGCCCCAUUGUUGUGUAUUUUGUGUUUUGAGAACAAAGUAUGUGUAAUAAUGUAUGAUGCAUGAAUAAGCAAUUGCAUGAAGCUUUAAUAUGAUGUAGUACCUCGAAAUUUGAAAUGUACCCAUUUAAGGAUAUUUUAUAAUUCUCUGUGCAAUCUAAUUGUAUAUUUGAUUGUUCAUUUUUUGUUUGCAUGGGAAAUAUGGAUUUUCUCCUAUGUUGAUUACUUGAUUGAAGGCCCCAUCCCUCGUUGCCCGUUUAUACAGGUAGCUAUCACUAAAUCAAGUUAUCAACGAGACUUUAGUCGGAACCUUCCUGAUUAAAAACAAAAGACCGAAAAACUUCGGUGGGGACAUUUGCAAAUAACUACGUAUACACACGAAAAAUAUCAGAGUAGCAUCAUGAAUCGGUGGCAUAAAUAUCUUUACCCACAGUGGCGGAGCUAGGAUUUCUUGUGAGAAGGGGCCUCACACAAGUAUAGAAAAACAAAAAAACAAAUAGUGGUUACAAAAUUACGAAUGCAAAAACAUCAUAAAAAUAUCCAAAUAAUUAAGUAGUCAAAAUUAACAUAUGAAUACAUAAUUUUAUCUAUUUAUAGUAAUCAUAAUUAUUCUCGACGAAUUUCAUAUUUUAAAACCAUUGCAUGAUGUCAUCUAUUCUAUACUACUGAAAGAAUUAUUAAAAUCAAUGGAGAGAAUAAUAGAGUUUUACAAACCUUAUUUGUUCUUUAUUCAAUAAGUUUGGGAUUUGGAAUGACUAAAUAUAUGAAAUUCAAGAAGAAUAUGGGGAAUAGCUCUGCUAGUGCACGAGCGAAGGACAAUUUUAUUAGUUAAAAGUGAAUGAUGGGUUUUAAUUUAAAAGUUUUAUUGAUUUGUAAUAAAUGACUAUUUGAAAUAUUAUUCUUAAUUCUAGGAUAGAAUUUGGAUGAAAAAAUAGAUAAAUAAUUAGAUAAGUGUUGAGAAGAGUUGCAAAGCAAUAGAAAUAGGUGUAAUACUAAUCUUGUUUUUUCAAGUCAGGGUAGGCCUAGGACUACUCUAGUCCUCAUGUGCCUCCGCCAGUGUUUACCCACCCACUUGUUCCAGAUGUUGGCACAUGAUCAUACAUCGAUCAAUAUACGUAUGGAUAAUACAAGCCCUACCUACCAUGCAAAUUAUGCCAAGAACAACAAUCGAUCGAGUGACCAGUGGUGGGAGAGCUAGGAAUAUUAGCAAGCUGCAUUUUCUCACUUCCCACUCUCACUUGUUUGUGCAUACAGACUAAUAUGCUUGUUUCUUGACUUGUGGAUGUAUAUAAAGGUCAAUAUGGAUGCAUGGCAUGUGAUGUAGGUCAGGAGGUUUUUCUUCUUUUCAAAAGCAGUAUAUGUUGGAAAAGUUAGACAUGAAAUUGAUACCACAGUUAAUAUGUUUUUGUACCGUCAUUCCCUAUGUUUGUAUCAUACUUGACCAAUCCCGAAACUACUGAGCACCGGUCAACGUUAUACCGUCAAGGAUCCAAAAGAGUUUCCCUCCAAGUCGACAUCAGAAGCCAAUCACAGUGCGACACGUGUCGACAUCAGAAGCCAAUCAUAGUGCGACACGUGUCAACAUCAAAAGUCAAUCACAACACGACAUGUGUCAAUGUCAGAAUGAAACGAGAAACUCACUUCUAUAAAUAGAGAUAAUUCUCUCACAAUAUUUGCUGAUGUCAUUUGUACUAAAUCAUUCACUAGUACUUACUAAAGAAGAGCUUGAACCUAUGUACUUGUAUAAACCCUUCACAAUUAAUGAGAAGUCCUCUAUUUCAUGGACGUAGCCAAUCUAGGUGAACCACGAACAUCUUGUGUUUGCUUCCCUGUCUCUAUCUAUUUGCAUACUUAUCCACACUAGUGACCUGAGCAAUCUAGCGAAGGUCACAAACUUGACACUUUCUAUUGUACCAAAGUCCUCACUGAUUUUGUGCAUCAACACCCUAUAACCAAAAAUUGCAUGAAGUAAAAAUUACCUUAUUUCGCAACAUAUCUUCAACUGGCUACUGGCUCUCUAGUUUUUCAAUUGUCAUCAUGGUCGAAGUACCUAAGCUGGGUCAUUUUCUUCUUUGAGCAGAAGGACGUUAACCAUCGGCUGGGAUUACCAUCAUUGAAGGCAAUUGCACAUGUUAUGCACUAAGAAAAGGUUGCAAGCGGUUAUUUGCUUGCAGAGCUACCGGCUGCCUUAUAGUACAAACUAGAAAGUUCUACCUUAGCAUCGUUGCGGGAUUAAAAAUUGUGUAAAAAAAUUAUAUUUCUAAGGUAUAAACCUAUCAACUUGUAUCACAUCUAAUUAAACUACAACAUCAUAUUGAUGCACUUAAUAUGAAAAUUGAUAAACUAUUUGACAAUAUGAAAUCAAGCAAUUAUUGAAAAUCAAAAUGGAGCUUAGAAAGUAAAAUAUCCUACCUCAUUAUAUUAAAACAAUUAACAAAUGAUCAGUGAAUGAUCACAAAAAAGGUAAAGAAAAGUAAUUCAAUUUCUUGAAUUCAAAAACGGUAUAGAUUAAAAAUAAAUAAAAUAAAAAAAAAAACAGGUUCUCAGUUCUCACCAUAAUGAAAAUUAUGACAUCGUUUUAACAUGAACUCAAGUUCAUUUCAGUCACUAGCAUUAAUAAAACUAGUGACUUCAACCUGUGCAAGGAAACAACUAACUUAGAUGCAAGCCAACCAACUUCAAAUCUAACCAAAUAAAAAAAGCAAUCACAAUCGAACUAACCUCUUCUUCCCAAAUGAAGUAGAAGAUGUCCCCUGUUUUGCCAUUGUGAACAAUGUACUCUACUCCCAACACACAAAAUGCUAAGCAAUAUUAUAAAAACAACACAUAUACAUCAUUGUAUAUAUAUUGGACAUAAAGUAUAAAGAUCUGCUGACAGUAUCAAGCUUAAAUUUAACAAAAGAAGUAAUUACGAAUUGAAAUCAAACGAUAUUAUAGUUGUUAAAAAAAUUUCUAACUAAAUUUUACAAAUAGCAUCAUAAAUGUUAAAAAAAAAAACCAUUGAAAAAACUCAUUACUCAAAUUUGUAAUUCUAUAAAAACACAUCACUGAAAACUUCAAUUUCAUCAAAACAUGUCAACUUAUAUCACAUCCAAAACCCAUUAAUAAUCCCUUCUUGUGUAUAGCUCAUCCUCAGAAUUCGCAGCUAAAAACGGAAUGUAAGUUCAGAGUAUGAUGAAAAAGAAGAAAUGAAAGAGUUGUGUCAAUGGAAAAAAAUAAGAGUAGGUAUCAGAACAAUCUACAAAGAAGAAGAAUUUGAGAUGAAUAAGUGGAUAAAUUGCUUACAUGAAGAGCUGAUUUCAAAUCGAUGAUCCACUACUCACCCUAAUAAUAUUUAACAAUUGCAAUUAGUAAAAUUUUCUUGAUAAGAGGAAAUCUAGGAGCAUAAUAAUAAGCAUUAGAAAUAGAAAAGCCUUAUAUAGUGAUUAAGGCCCUUAAUUAACUUGAGAAGCUUGAAAAGUCAUUCUCUUCACGUGGUUAAUUUGGAAGUUAUCCAAUGUAUGUAACAACAUGAAUCAGAAGCAAAUUGAUGAAAUCGGAGGGAAAAAAUGUUACUUAGUAAUUGUAUAUGUUAUGAAAGCAUCAAAUAAAGUCCUGAUAAAAUACAUGCAUCUUUAUAUUAACCACUUUACAUAUAAAUUAUAAAUGAUUAUCAAACAGCCUUAAACAAAUUUCAUUUAGGGAAGAUUGAUGAGGGGAUAUACGACUCACAAACAACUGAGACCGUCUUCUUUUUUUUAUUUUUUUUAUUUCUUCAUAUCAACAAACACACAAAUUCUUAUAUUUCCGAAAGCACCUGCAUCCCAAUAUAAAAACUUAAAAAAUACAUGAAUCAUCUAUGUUUUGCUUUGCAAACAGCCAAGGGGAUGGGAACUAAAAUAAAUUUCGUGCCCAAGAACCACUUAAAAACCAAGCUUGAAAGCAUAAAAAUAAAGCUUUCAAUCUUUCUGUGCAAAUUAAUAUCACAAUCAAUUCUGUUUGUACCAUAUUUAAGGCCUCGUAUUUAGAUCUCGUACAAAUACUCAGGGGACUUAAAUGUAAUUAUGUGAUAAAGGAAGGGGCAAAUAUGUAAUAAGUGAUGAGUCCUUAUUCUAUAAAAGGACCCCUCACCCUCACAAUUAAGGAGGGUUUCAUUCUCACCCUAGGAGGUCAUUUCUGAAGCCUUCUCACACCUCUCAAAUCCCCUAUCAUAUUCAGAGGUUCUCUCCCUCACCUCUCAGAUAAAUACAUAAUCAGUGUGGACGUAGCCCAAGCCUUGGGGUGAAUCACGAUACAUUUUGUGUUAUUUACAUUACUUGUAGAUUCACGAUCGGAUUUACGUUGUUCCAAGACCUUCGGUUUUGUGCAUUAACAUUUGGCGCCGUCUGUGGGAAUCGACACGAAAAGUUAUGUUGGGGCUCUCUCAAAUUUUCACCUCCGCCGUGAAUCUACAAAAACCCACACAGAGACACAGACACAGAGCUCCCUCUCUCCCUCCCUCUCUCGGCCUCUGAACUCACGCCUUUCCCCACAACCCACACAUUUUCCACUUCUCAGAAAGUAGAAAAAACAUCUCUCACCAUUCCUCAUCAAGUGAUCUGCGAAAUCACGAAAAUUAUCAUCUACGACAUUUGAACUGUGAUCAUAGUUGUGGAAAUACUAGUCCAGUGAGCAAUGCAAUUCAGAAACGUGUUUCACGAGCUAUUCGAGAUGAGAGAUGACAAGAGGAAGAAAUCAAGAAGAGAAGGGGAAGAGAGGAAGUAGGCAAACCAAGUUGAGCAAACCAAGUGGGCAAACCAAGUGCAAAAUGUCACAUUGCUCCGGAACAUACAUUGUCAUCACCUGCAUCAGUUGAGCAAACCAAGUGGGCAAACUUGCCCCCAGAGCUGCUUCUUGACAUAGUCCAACACGUUGAAGCGAGUAAGACUCAUUGGCCUGCUCAGAGGGAUGUGAUUGCUUACGCUUCGGUUUGCAAGUCGUGGAGGGAGAUUACGAAAGGGAUCAUCAAGAUUCCAGAGCAAUAUGGCUGGCUUACCUUCCCUGUCUCACUCCACACGGACCAGGGUUUGCACGGGCCUCACACAGGCCCUACACAGACCAAGCCUUUCAGCGAGGAUCAUGCCUUCAAGAUGGGGACUUUGCAGAAAUUCCCCAAAAGCUUUACCAGAAGAUGGCCUUUAAGGUCAUAAACAGACCUCAAAUCCAAAAGAUGGGGACUUUGCAGAAAUUCAAGCUCCUCGCCACGCAGUGCGGCAUGGCCUAGAGCCCGAUGCGAAGCCCGCGGUCGAGCCCCUUGAUCCAACUCCCCCGCCGCAAACCCACCUUGCUCAUUUCCUCAAGUCCAAAAUCCAAUCCCUGGAAUCCCGUUCCCGCGAAACCUUGCAAGCCCUCGACCACAGCGAAGCCUCCAUCCCGGAGCGCGAGUCCUCCGCUGUUGCUCGAAUCGAGGAGCAGAACACCGUGACCUUCGCCGAGGUGGAGAAGAAUGUUUCCAGGGAUUUGGAUUUACAGAUCCAUUUCUGACGGAAGGCUCAGAGUUUUUGAAGCAGGAAGGGCGGAGAAGGGUCGUGGCAUGGGGAGAAAUAAGGAAGUCAUUACCAAGGAUCGACGACUAUCUCCACCAUUUUCCGGCCACGCUAGUCAUCACGACAUAGGCAUCACUAGUAGCCAACUGGUCCCAUACAUCACCGUCACCCGUAAACUCCUCAAACCAUUUUUGUCGGUGAUGCCGUCAAGGAUAAGUCUGGGUGGCUUUAGUCGACUACCCACAGGGAUUGCUUUUGUCGACCACCCAAGAAAAGUUAUAAAUGUGUUUGUUGAAAAGCAUGCAAAUCUGCAAAGAGAUUGCUCUGAAAAAUGGACCCAUGAUUCUUGAAAUGGGCAUUUACAGGGACCAUGGUCACUUUAUGUCUAAUCACACGUGAUGAGAUUUCUAGCAUAAGGUUGUAUACAAGAGAGGAAGAAUCAGCUUAUUAUAUGUGCUUAGAAAAUGGAGCAGGGCCAGGGAGGGAUGAGACAGAGAGAGGCGCAGUGGGAAACAGAAAGCAAAGCAGAAAGCAAAAGAGAAAGCAAAAGCAAGGAAUAAACACCCCACCGGAAUGAUGUGAUUUGCUUUUCUUGUUUUUGUAUAAUGUAAUUUAUUUUUCCUAUCUUUCGGAAACAUCUGUAUAAACCCUAUCAGAGGGUAAAAAAAAAAAAGGGCAAAGCCCAAAAUAAAUGGGCUGGCAUGUUGUGGAGGGCGAAGGCCUAUAAGCCUAAAAUAGCUCCAACCAGGUGAUCAAAAGUACGCCCAGUAUUCCAAAAUUAUUCGGCAACCCGCCUCUAUUAUCACCAACCAGGUGACUAAAAGUACGCCCAGUACUCCAAAAAUUAUUCGGCAACCUACCGCUAUUACCAUUAACCAGGUGAUGAAAUGUAUAACCAGUACUCUAAUAUCAUUUGGCAACUAGCCAUUCAUACCACCAACCAGGUGAUGAAAUGUAUAACCCGUACUUUAAUAUCAUUUGGCAACUAGCCAUUCAUACCAACAACCAAGUGAUGAAAUGUACAACCCGUACUCUCCUUCAUGCCACCAACCAGGUGAUCAAAAGUACGCCCAGUACUUCAAAUCAUACAUGAGCAUUACUCAUGUCAUUCAUACAUAAACACUCAUGAGCGUCACUCAUACAUAAACAUUCAUGACCAUCAUUCAUGUCAACAUUCAUGAGCAUCACUCAUGACAACAUUCAUGAGCAUCACUCAUGACAACAUUCAUGAGCAUCACUCAUGACAACAUCCAUGAGCAUCACUCAUGUCAAUCAACAAAAACAUUCAUGAGCAUCACUCAUGUCAAUCAGCUUCAAAAGCUUCAUUUACAAAGCUCCAGCUUCGAAAGCUUCAUUUACAAAACUCUAGCUUCAAAGCUUCACUUGCAAAGCUUCACCUACAAAGCUUCAAUGCAGGGUAUACAAAUACCACCUCCGAAGAACCGCCACUUCAACCCAUACAUGGAUUCAAUUUGAAGUUUCUAGCCAACAGACUCUAUUGACCGAAGACUUGGGGGACUACAUUAUGUACCAUAUAUUGGGCCUCAACUGGGCCUCAUGAAAUAUACUUGAGGGACUUAGCCCAUUAUUUAUGUAUUAAGGAGCGAGCCCUUAUUCUAUAAAAGGGACUCCCUCACUUUCAUUAGAGAGCACCAAUUAUUCAUGUAUUGAGGAGCGAGCCCUUAUUUUAUAAAAGGGACUCCCUCACCAUCAUUAGAGAGCAUCACCGCCUACUGAGCAACCGCCUCGCCGCGAGCAUCAACUCUAGCUCAUCAUUUAUGUAUUGAGGAACGAGCCCUUAUUCUAUAAAAGGGACUCCCUCACCUUCAAACGCCACAAGCCAAGCUAACCAAGACAACAUAAGCCACAAACCGAGCAGCUUCGCAACAUGUACUACAUCUAGUUGAGCCUCAUUUCACAUUGAGCACCGCCUCAUAUCGAGUAUUCAGCUGUAGACGACAUCUAGUUACUUCAGCCCACACAUGGACUGAAUUUCAAGUCUCCAGCCAAAAGACUCUCUUGACUGAAGCCUUGAGGGACUACUGUUUGUACCAUAUUUAGGGCCUCGUAUUUAGAUCUCGUACAAAUACUCGGAAGACUUAAAUGUAAUUAUGUGAUAAAGGAAUGGGCAAAUAUGUAAUAAGUGAGGAGUCCUUAUUAUAUAAAAGGACCCCUCACCCUCAUAAUUGAGGAGGGUCUCAUUCUCACCCUAGGAGGCCAUUUCUGAAGCCUUUUCACCCCUCUCACACCUCCUCUCAUAUUCAGAGGUUCUCUCCAUCACCUCUCAGAUAAAUACAUAAUCAGUGUGGACGUAGCCCAAAUCUUGGGGUGAACCACGAUACAUCUUAUGUUAUUUACAUUACUUGCAGAUUUAUGGUCGGAUUUACAUUGUUCCAAGACCUCCGGUUUUGUGUAUCAAUAAAUUCAACCCCAUUUCUGCAAUCCAAAGCAUCAAACUUCAUACAAAAAUACAAUAAUUUUUAGAAUUUCACCCAAACAUAAAGAGAAUAAUAUUGUUAGGUGCGGAGAAGAAAAAAUCAGGGAAAAAUGGAAGAUGGAUUUAAGCCUGGAAAAGCAAUUCACAGCAACAAUAAAAAGUUGAAAUUAAAAACUGAAUUGAAUCAAAUGAAGAAUUUCUAGAGUGCAAACAAUUAGUGUUAUCAGCAAGAAGUUUCAAACCUUAAAAUGCAAAAGCAUGUGCCCAAAAUGCAAUCCUACAAAACAUGAAACAGCAGCCAUAAGAGAAUUGGAAAUUUUCUAAUAAAAAGAACCGAAGACCAACUUUGAAUAAUUGGUAACGAUGACGCUUUGACAUUGAUAGAGUGUAUGUGAGAGAGAGAGAGAGAGAGAGAUGGAAAUAGAAUUAGAAUUAGACCAAUGCAGAAAUCAACCAUAAGAUUCCCUCUGGGUCAAAUGGUUGAACCAUUGAUGAGAAACAGUCGGUAGAGGUUGAUAGUAGGAGAACUAAAAUUGCAUUCCUGAAACACAAAGGAUUAACCUUUUUCAAUUAUCAUCAGUGAAUGCACUAAUACAGGACUUAAAUUCUAAUAUAUUCAAUAAUCUAGUUACCAGAGAAUGACUUUUAUCCUUCUAUAGAGGCAGUUGAUAAAGGUGACUCUGGCCCAGUAUAACUUGAUUCAUAAAGUGGAAACUUUGAGGCUUCAAACUCUGAGCUAAAAGUUGAAGCUUCUUACUCAACAAACAAAAAUUACAAAUCCAAAACUAAAAAGAAUAAAAAACAAACUAAAACAUGGGAUUGGUGAAGGCCAUACCUUCGAAAGCAUAGACGCAGACAGCUCUUCGAGAGCGAUCCCAACCCGGGGUCGGAGGCGGAAACAGAGGCCAAUAUCCUCAAGAUUUUGCGUUGAAGAUUGUGAGAUCGGGAUAAAACAGUCGAAACCGAAGUUGCAAGUUUUGAAAAAAUGUUAAGGAAUCUGGGUUUCAAUGAAUAUGGAGGCUGCAAAUAAAAUCCCCAAAGAAACAAAAAAAAAAGGUCUCCUAUGUCGGUAUUUUGUGAGAGAAAAAGCGCAAGAUUCUAGAGCGAGUUCAACAGCGACAGAAGAACAGAUUUGCGAGAGAGAAGAAGCCGAAGGAAAAAUCGAGAAGAUGCAAGAGAGAGGCUUGAGUUGAGGCAAGCAUGGACAAAUAGGUAAUCUUACAUGUAAAGAGAGGAGAAAGAACGUAGCAGGAAAGCUGUUUGACGAGAGAUUUUUCAGUGUGAUGGAACACGAAGUAGUACAUCGCAUGUCAUUAUACAAAUAGUGGGAUAUGUGUGUUAAAAAAUUAAUAACUUAAAAAUUAUAAUUUUCCACCACCUGUAUAAAAACACGUAGUGUACCAUUCGUAUUUCGGUUAGAAAAAAUUCUCCUGUUUGAUAGGGUAAUAUCGCUAAUUUAAUGCUGGUGAACAACGUUUUUCCACCAGGUGGACGGCAAGGGCAAAAACACCUUUUUACUGUGAAAAUGGCACAUAAAAAAGCAUUCGGAGGGCAUUUUCGCCCGUUUACUGCUGAUGAACGGUGUUUUUGCUUGCGUUUUAGUAUAGGUUCAACUAAAAAUUGUUACCCGCGUAUUGCUAUGGGAUUAGAAACUGUUAAAAAAAUUAUCAUAAACUAUUAAUAUUAUUUACAUUAAAAAUAUUACACGAUUUUAACAAACAAAAGAUUUAAUUUAUACAGUAUGGCUACCUAGUCUUGUUUUUUGGAGGAAAAUAAUCUGAUUUUAUCCGAAUUAGAGAGAACUUUUUUUUCAACAAUUUAAUAGUCUAAUAAAUUGAUUAUACAAAAAAUCCAUUAUAAAAAACCUAAAAACAAUAAACUAUUCACUAAGUUUUUCAUACGAAAUAGAACAAAGCUAUAGAAUAUACCUUUUCAUAGUAAGUAUUGUGAAAAAUACAACAUAGCUUGAGACAAUGGUAAUUAACGUGUUUGGAAAAGUCUACCUACGUGGUGGUGUAAUCGUCACACAAAUAAACCCUUCAAUGCCAACUGAUUGAACUCUCAAGUGUUUUUUUUUUAACAAACAAUAUUAUUUACACUAAAAGGAAUAAGGUGGGCUUAGUCUCACAACAAGAGAAGCCUUGAAAUCGACUAAGUUGGUAUUGUAACACGGUAAGGUUGGGUAGAUUUUAGAUCCAAAUGUCACUAAACAAUAUUCUGCAGAUGGCAGUGUUCUAUCUAGAUUGUCCAUGGCACGGACGUAAACUGGAUGAUAACGCAGGGCAACACUGGUACUAUACCCUAAACAUUAUCACAAGCUAUAAACAAAUAGUUAAAGUUGAUAUGUACCAAGGGUACUAAAACUCAAUCCAUUGUUUAGUAAGAAGAACCACAAAAACAAAUUAGUAAAAACCGAAAUGAUUAUCAGAUGGACACUAAGAUUUUUGUACUACGUGAAACUUUACGUCGAGAAAUGGAAACAACUUUCAGGAGACAAUUAUAAGGAUUUCCUACAAUUCUAUAAAUAAUGUAUUCUUUCACCAUUGCUUCAAUUCAAACAAAAAUUAAAAAACAGAAAAGCUAGAAGCAGGAAAAUUGCAAAUGAUCAAUAUUUUCCAAACAAAACCAACCUGCAAUGCAAUGUCCUAGUUGCAAAUUCAACUCCAAUGGUGGACUUAGACUCCAAAGAAAACUCAUUCCUCGUAAACCUCGAAAGAAUGUUCGAUUUUCCGACACCUGAAUCUCCAAUCAAUACAAUCUUGAAGAGAUAAUAAUAUUUGUGAUCCACCUUGUACGCCAUACGUUCUACUCCUCACACACACAGCACCCCACACCUGCCGAGAUCCAAAAUCCACCAAACAAAAAGCCAUUAGCAAUCAUAAAACCAAAAAAAUUAACCAAUUCUCUUGUUUUGACAGAAGGGAUAAGAAAACCGCUGAUCAGAUAGCAUUUUCUUUUACCUACGUUUGCCUUCCAAUGUGAUUUUCCAGAGAAACAAACGGAAAGUGGGUAAUCAUAAAACAAUGGCGAAAAGAAUGGUGACUAACAAAAUAGAGGAUUUUUUGAACGUUGGGCUUUGUUGUUUUUGCAUUGAAGUUUGUGGAAACAGAUGAGAGGAGAAGAGAAGAAGAAGAAGAAAAAGAUGGCGCUGUAGAAAGUUACGAACAAAACAUUAGAAUGAAAAUGCACUUAAAACAGCUUUUCACGAGGGAAAGGGCACGGAAUUCGGAGAGUCUGUGUAAAGUCAACCACCCUUCACAAGUCAUGUGCAUAAAAUUUAGAGUUUUUAUCGUAAAUGAUCUCUGAGAUUUAUCAAACUCAUCAUUUUGAUCAUUUUUUUUUUCAAAAUCAAUUAAUGUGGUCCAUGACAUUCACUAUUGCAUAUUAAUUUGGUCAUUCUGUUAAGAUUUCAUUAACUAUUCUGUUAGUUUGUAUGUGAGACCCAUGAAACUACUGAAAUGGUGACACAUGGAUUACAUAAAAUAAGGUUUUUAUCACAAAUAAUCUCUAAUAUUGAUCCAACUCCUCAUUUUGGUCACUAAGUUUCAAAAAUCAAUAAAUUUGGUCCCUGACUUUCAUUAUCGCACAACAAGUUAGUCAUUCCAUUAAAAUUUCAUCAAUAAUUUUCGUUUGUGUGCUGAUGUGGACCCACUAAUCCAAUCAUAUAGCUCCACAUGGAUUAACUAUAAGAAACUACUUUUUUUUUAAGAGUAAACCAACGAAUGAGCAUUCGGCCUGACAUUUUUCUCGCAUAAAAUCAAAUACAAAUUCAAUUCAAAUUUUGAUAAGAUCAUAACCAACUAGAAGAGUAAAUUGUAGCAAUAGUCCCUUAACUUUAUCUCAAUUAGAGCAAAGGUCCCUCAACUAAAAAUGCAUUACCAUUGGUCCCUCAUGAACUCAUCAAAAUGUGCAGCUAUGAUCUUUCAACUAAAAAUCCAUUACCAUUAGUUCCUCAACUUUAAUCCAACUGGAGAAAUGAUCCCUUAGUUUUAACUCAAUUGGAGCAAUGGUCCCUCAACUUUAACCCAAUUAUAGCAAUGAUCCUUCCAACUUAACUCAUUUUGAUAAAAUUCUAACGAAGUUGAAGUUGACGAAAACGACUAUAUCUACAUGUUUUGAUGAGUUAAGAGACCCCAAUUGUAGCCAUGAUCCUUCCAACAUAACUUAUUUUGACAAAAUUCUGACGAAGUUGACAAAAAUGACCAUAGCUACACAUUUUGAUGAGUUGAGGGACCAAUGGUAAUGCGUUUUUAGUUGAGGAGAGACCAUUGCUCUAAUUUGAUUAAAGUUGAUGGACCAUUGCUACAAUUUACUCCAACUAGAAAGAAUGAUGAGUGAAUUCAAGAGGCCAAGUACUUUAGUGGUGUCAUGGUGCCUUUUUUUUUUUUUUUUUAAGCAUACCCUGAUGAAGACGAUGAUGACUUUUUUCUUUUAGUUUUGGGUAUUAGUUUUUUAUUUUACUUUUUGUUGAUACACAAAAUCAGUGAGGACUUUGGUACAAUAGAAAGUGUUAAGUAUGUGACCUUUGCUAGAUUGCUCCGGUCACUAGUGUGGAUAAGUAUGUAAAUGGAUAGAGACAGGGAAGCAAACACAAGAUGUACGUGGUUCACCCAGAUUGGCUACGUCUACGAAGUAGAGGAGUUCUCAUUAAUUGUGAAGGAUUUACACAAGUACAUAGGUUCAAGCUCUCCUUUUGUGAGUACUAGUGAAUGAUUUAGUACAAAUGACAUUAGGAAAUAUUGUGAGAGAAUGAUCUCCUUUUAUAGAAGAGAGUUUCUAGCUUUGUUUUGACAUUGACACGUGUCGUGUUGUGUUGGCUUCUGAUGUUAACAUGUGUCGCGCUAUGAUUGGCUUCUAAUGUCGACACGUGUCGCGCUGUGAUUGAACUCCUGGUUUGAGGGAAACUCUUCUGGGUUCUUGACGGUAUAACGUUGACCGGUGCUCAGUAGUUUCGGGAUUGGUCAAGUAUGGUACAAACAGUGCUCCCCUAAGUUCCCGAGUGAGGGAAGCUCUUCGGUUAGGGACUUGCAAGAUCCAAGCCACUGAGUAAUCAUGAAACUUCUAAGUACUGAAGUGUGGUAUUGUUUUCACUUGCUUUAUUUAUCUCAUAGGUAGAUGUGGCAUCUUCUCUGAAAGUACUUUUCCUCCAUCCAGGGGUGGUAUCCUUAACUGGUGGAGAUGCAUAAGGUAAUGUAUCAAUUUCACUUAAAGCUUACUUGUAGUUUCAGGCUUGGUCAAGCGUGAUACAAACCAUGUAGUAGGAGUCUCCCAAGUCGCCGAGUUAAGAGAUCCGCCGAAAGAUGUAACAGACAAGGUAAGCAAUCAGAGCUCCCAGCAAUCAGUCCCAGAUCAGAAGUUUGAUUUCGAGUUCCGGCUGAUUGUUCUCAUUCUCCCUAUCUUGCAGGUAGCAGGAAGGAUAAAAAGAAGAAAAAUGAGAACAGAUGAUAUGAGAUACUUUUGCUUUUGAAGAAGUAACUUUCCACAUGCUUAUUCUUGAACUGGGCUGGAGGGUUUUCUGGUUUCCUCCAGAGUAUAAGGUCGACUCAAGAAUUUGAGGGUCAAAACAAGUCCAUCAAACCAAGAGUGCGUUCGACCUUGAUGAUAUGGGAUACUUUUGCUAUUGACAAAGUAAUAGAUGAAUCGACACGUGUUCUGUUGCGCUUGUCUCCACAUGCUUCCUUAUAUUCUUCUCAUUUGCCCUAUCUGUUACUCAGGUAGAUGUGGUAUCUUUUCUGGAAGCAUAAAAUGUUGAAGAUGAGUACUCCAUUGAUAAAGCUUUGUUGAAUUUCCUAAUUUUUUUUUUUUUGGAAAACUAGAAAUUUGUUGAAUUUCCCAAUUUCCCUCUUUUUUUGUUUUUUGUUUUUUUUUUUGGGAAACUAGAAAUUUAAAAAUGUGGGAGAGACAACAUAUACAAAUUUUUCUUCCACACUGUUGAGCAUGAGCUUGUGAUGCAAGCCACACCUUGUAGUAAUUGAAGGUUUGGAUGAACCAUAUAAAUUGAAUCUGCUUCAAACAGUCUUGAUCAAAAGUGUGUGAAGCUUUCUACGAGUUGUAGUUGCCCUUCAUUGAUGAAGCUUUUGUUGGCACCAUAAAUUGGUUUUGCUUCACACUGUCUUGAUCAAGAGUGUGUGAAGCUUUUGAGAAUUGUGGUUGAACUCAUUUGAUAAAGCUCUUGUUGGCAUCAUAAAUUGGUUUUGCUUCACACUGUCUUGAUCAAGAGUGUGUGAAGCUUUUGAGAAUUGUGAUUGCCCUCUAUUGAUGAAACUUUUGUUGGCACCAUAAAUUGGUUUUGCUUCGCAGUGUCUUGAUCAAAAGUGUGUGAAGCUUUUAAGAAUUAUGGUUGAACUCCUUUGAUGAAGCUCUUGUUGGCACCAUAAAUUGGUUUUACUUCACAUUGUCUUAAUCAAGAAUGUGUGAAGCUUUCUACGAGUUGUAGUGUUUGCAUUGUUACAAAGGAGAAAUGUCUGAAGCAGAUGCAAAAGGGCUGAAUAACUUGAUCUUCGUAUGCCAUGCACUAAAGUUGUUGUUGGCUUGCAAUAAGACUUUUGUUUAUACCAUACUUGACCAAUCCUGAAAUUACUGAGCACCGGUCAAUGUUAUACCGUCAAGAACCCAGAAGAGUUUCCCUCCAACUAGGAGGCCAAUCACAGCGCGACACGUGUCGAUAUCAGAAGCCAAUCAUAGCACGACACGUGUUAACAUUAGAAGCCAAUCACAACACGACACUUGUCAAUGUUAGAAUGAAACUAGAAACUCUCUUCUAUAAAUAGAGAUCAUUCUCUCACAAUAUUUCCUAAUGUCAUUUGUACUAAAUCAUUCACUAAUACUCACUAAAGGAUAGCUUGAACCUAUGUACUUGUGUAAACCCUUCACAAUUAAUGAGAACUCCUUUACUCCGUGGACGUAGCCAAUCUGGGUGAACCACGUACAUCUUGUGUUUACUUCCCUGUCCCUAUCCAUUUACAUACUUAUUCACACUAGUGACGGGAGCAAUCUAGUGAAGGUUACAAACUUAACAUUUUCUGUUGUACCAAAGUCCUCACUGAUUUUGUGCAUCAACAUUUGGCGCCGUUUGUGGGAAACGACACGAAAAACUAUGUCGGUUCUCUUUCAUUUGUCCAUCUCACCACCGUGAGAUCUCACCACACUCCAUCGUGAAUCUGCAGAAACCCAAAACCUCCCUCCUUGGGCUUUUCCAGAAACCCCCAUAAACACAAAGCUGCUCGUCCCUCCCUUUUACUUUCUCUCUGUGAAAACUCCAAAUUCGGAAAAGCUCUCUUUCUCUCUCUCUUUUUCUUUUUCCGUAAAGAAUAAACUUCUGGAGAAAAGGAAAAAAAGAAAGGAAUGUCGAUCUAAACUCACUUCCCAUACUAACAAUUCGCAAAAACCCAAACAAAAAAAUACGUUCUUUUUCCCAUUACAGAGAAAGAAAGAGGAGAGAGAGUGAAUGAUUGAGUUGCCAGUUUUGAGAGAGGGAGUGAUAUGGGUGGGGUGACAUCGUCCAUGGUGGCUAAGUCCGCCUUUUUCACACCGAACCCACCUUCCUACAAGUUUAUCACAGACGACCAUACCGGCCUCCUGCUUCUCAGCCCCUUCCCUCACCGGGAAAAUGUGGAGGUUCUGAAACUGUCGACCCUCCAUGGCAUUGAGGUUGUGGCCAUCCACAUUCACCACCCUUUGGCCAUUUCCACACUGCUCUACUCACACGGCAACGCCGCCGAUCUAGGCCAUAUGUACGAGCUCUUCAUCGAAUUGAGCAUCCACCUGCACGUCAAUCUCAUGGGGUACGACUAUUCGGGGUAUGUGCAAUCAACUGGAAAGGCAAGUAAGGAGAAUACAUAUGCAGAUAUUGAAGCUGCAUAUAAGUGUCUUGAAAAAUGCCAUAAUAUCAAAGUUCUUUCACGUCCCCCAAGGUUUUCUUCACUGAUUCCAUCACUGAAUCUGAGAAAUAAAAGAGAAAAUAAACUUAGAGGGUGUGAGGGUGGCAGAUCUAGACAGCAAAAAUUCCAAGUUCGGAGAUUUCUCUCGCAUGAGCUCAAGCAGCUCAUCCGCAACGUCCGGCGAUGGAGCACACAAAACUCGAAGGAGAGGAAAUGUUGGAGCACUCAGUGUCUGGGUCCUUCUCUUUUCCAUUAUUGUCAGAACCCUCUCAAUAUUGUGGAAUAUUUUGACAGACACAAUCGGGGAGGAACGUGCGAGAGGAAUAUUUUUUACCAUACUUUCUUGGUCUCUGGUACUUUGAGAUAUCAUCUGAAGCUUUACCCAGCAACCAUGUGAUAAGUUCAGUAUACUCAACAAUAUUUUGACCAUACUUUCUUGGUCUUUAGGGUUGUUGUUGGUACAAUCAUGUGAGAUGGAUCUGCUAUUGUCGACCACCCACAUGGAAAAAGAUAAGAUGCUCUCCUUUAAUAUCUCAUCAUUAUGUUUUCUCAAUAUCAUUUUUUAUUUAAUACCUUAUUAUUUUAUUUAUGUCAUGAUGAUUAAUUAUAAAAUAAUAAUUUUAUUAUUUUUAUGUCAUGAUGAUUUAUGAUUAAAUAAUAUAAUUUUUAUUUUUGUUAUCACAUGAUUACUACCACAUUAUUGAUUUAUACAACAUGUGAUUUAUCACAUAACAGAAUAAAUCAUUUAUUCACAUAAGGCACACAGUACAAUAUUUUUGCCUUGACAAACUUUGUCAAUUUGAUUUAUUCAUUAUACGGUUAUACUUACACUAUCAUUUAUUGUUAGGAAUUAUUGAGUAACUAGAUUCACUGAUCAACAUUGUUGUUGGGACACCCACUUGCUCGGACAUUCGCUUAUUGGGACACCUAUGUGCCCGGACCCAACUCGAUGACCCUACAGAUAGCCCCAACUCAAUGACCCUAGAGAUAGCCUAAACUCGAUGACCCUACGUAUGGCCCUAACUCAAACCCGACUUGCGGACCCGAUCCGCGGAUUCGACAUAUAGACCCAAUAUGCGAACCCGACAAGCAGACCCGAGUCAUGUCGAGAAUCAACUCAUAUUGACUGCAUGUCGACAUAAAAUAGAUACUUGCAAUGAGGAAUACCACGAGCCGAGCUGCCUCGUAGCCAACAUAGCCUCUAGCCGAGCCGCCUCGCAACGAGCAUCGCCUCCAACCGAGCAAACGCCUCGCCGCGAGCAUAGCCUCUAGCCAAGCAACCUCACAAUAAGCAUCGCCUCCAGUCGAGCAGUCUGGUAACGUGUGAUACCUUUAGCCGAGUAUUGCUUUAUGUUGAGCAUUGCUUUGGGUUGAGUAUUGGUUCAAGACAUCUAGCCACUUCGGCUAGUACAUGGAUUGGAUUUAAAGUCUCCAACCAAAUGACUCUCUUGACUGAAGACUUGAGGGACUACUGUUGGUACCACACAUAUUGGGCCUCAGACUUUGAUACAUUGGGCCUUAUUACCCAGCCCAUAUGAUUAUGUAAAAGGAGGAGCCCAUUAUUCUAUAAAAAGUGACUCAUUCCCCCUCACGAAUCGGACUCGGUAAACCCAAUAGAAGGCAAUACCCUCACAAACACAACAACACUCUCUUCCUCAUGGGGACUCCCAUCACCUUUGUAAUCCAUACAUACAGUCAGAGAAAUACAAUCAAUGUGGACGUAGCCCAAACCUUGGGGUGAACCACGAUACAUUUCGUGUUAUUUACAUUUCAUGCAGAUUCACGGUCGGAUUUACGUUGUUCCAAGACCUCCGGUUUUGUGCAUCAACAACUUUGUUGGUGACUAUAACUCUUGUUGGGCAUAAGUGCUCCCCUAGUUGAGUUGUCAAGCUUGAGGGUUUUUUAUUAUUUGUGAAUGCUAGGAGUUCACAUAUACAAGUUGUAUCACUCGUUUUCUAGUAGGUGGAAUGAAUGGUGAGUUGCUUUCAUCACUUGGUUGGUGGUACGAAGGUGAGUUCCUUCAUCACCUUUCAUCACAUUUCAUCACCUGGUUGGUGGCACGAAGAUGAGUUCCUUCUUCACCUGGCUAGUGGCAUGAAUGACAAGUUGCCAAAUGAUAUUAGAGUACAGGUUGUACAUUUCAUCACCUGGUUAGUAGCAUGAAAGAGAGUACGAGUUGUACAUUUCAUCACCUAGUUGGUGGCAUGAAGGAGAGUACGAGUUGUACAUUUCAUCACCUGGUUGGUGGCAUGAAGAUGACUUCCUUCUUCACAUUUCAUCACCUGGUUGGUAAGAAUAAAGGCAAGGUGUCGAGGCACAUUGUAGCAAGUGUCGAAUGACAAAAAUAUGUUGAACCCUUUCGAAGCACAGUUGGCUUGUGUAUGAAUGUGUUGGAAUGUAUGAUUGAACGAAUAUACUAUGAAGCUGUUCGUUUAUUUGUAUAGUCUUAUUGACAUAUACUUAGAUUUAGUUUCAUGUUAGAAACAUUCAUGUUAAAGCUUUGAACCCGAGCGUUUCAUUGCUAAGAAUGUAAGAGGAUUACGACUGAGUUGUCUAAAUCACCUCUUUAUUGAAUUCAUGCCAAAUAGUCUUCGUUACAUAGGAUGUCGAAUGGCUGCAGUUUAACACUUGUACAAUGUGAGUUUACUUGUAAUAGUACUUCAAGUGAUCAUCAUUCCAUGGAUGGCCAAGUAUCUUGCCAUCGGAGCUUCUAAGCUUGUAGGAGCCAGGGCGACUGAUGCCAACAACUUCAAACGAUCCAUCCUGGUUUGGACUAAGUGUUCCUUCACUCGGGACUCUGUCUUAGAGUAAUUUUUUCUUCAAUACCCAGUCCCCCACUUUGAAAGAACAUGGUUUGACUCUUGAGUCAUAAUAGUUGGAGAUAUGCUGCUUGUAGGCGACAUUCCUCAAGUGAGCCUAGUUUCGGUGUUCCUCGACUAGAUCUAAGUUGAGGGUAAGUUGUUUGUCAUUUUCGCUUUGCACGUAGUUCUAAACUCAGAACGUUGCUUGCUCAAGCUCAACUAGGACAACUGCCUCUGUACCUAAGGCAAGUGAGAAUGGGGUUUCUAUUGUUAAUGUCCGAUACGAAUUGCGGGUACAAAUUCUGGCCAUCAACCUUUAGCCUUGUCCAAGCUGGUUUUCAAAGUUCACUUGAUUAUUUUAUUGAUGGCUUUGACUUGUCCAUUAAACUAUGGAUGAGCUGGGGAGGCAAAACAUAAGUUGAUGUUGAACUUAGAGCAGAACAUCAUGAACUUAUUAUCGUCGAACUUUCGCCCGUUGUCAGUGACUCUCGCAUUGGGAAUACUGAAUUUACAAAUGAUGUUCUUCCAUACGAAGUCUUCUAUUUUUGCCUCAGUAAUGGUUGCUAAGGGUUCUACUUCGGCCCACUUUGUGAAGUAGUCAACUGCAACAAUUGCAUAGCGGACCUUGCCCUUCUCUGCAGGCAUUGGGCCGAUCAAAUCAAGUUCCCAUUAGACGAAGGGCCAAAGGCUGAUCAUAGGAAUGAGCGGCUCGGGAGGGGAGUGAGGAAUAAUUAUGUAGCGUUGACACUUAUCACAUGAGCGGGAUAUUCUGAUGGCAUCUUGGUGGAGUGUUGGCCAAUAAUAUCCUUGGUGAAAAGCUUUGUGUGUUAGGGAUCGAGAUCUAGCAUGAUCUUCGCAGACUCAUUUAUGUAUUUCCGGAAGGACAGUUUCCGCCUCUGCGGGCGUAAGGCAUCUUAGGUAUGGUAGGUUAAAAUCCCGCUUGUAGAGUUGGUCAUUAAUGAUCAAGUAACGGGUAGCCUUGUAUCAAAUCUGCUUAGCUUGGACUUUGUCAUUUGGAAGGGUGCCAUGAGCAAGGAAUCUAUAAAUCGGGGUAAUUAACUAUCCCCCUGUUGUAAGUUGCACACUUCCGCAUCCAUGGUGUUUGGUGUUGCCAACAAUUCGACCUGAAUUGUUUUCCUAAUCUUUUCUUCCACUGCUGAGGUGAGCCGAGCCAAAGCAUCUGCAUGACUGUUUGACGCUUGAGGAAUUUGGGUGAUCUGGUAGUGGAAGUGCUUGAGCAACAAUUGUGUUUGUGCCAGAUAUGCUGCCAUGGAGCUAUCCUUAGCAUCAAAGUUGUUAGUGACCUGGUUAACCACCAAUUGGGAGUCACUAAAUAUAUCAAUUCGUUUAACCUCAAGGUGUUUGGCCAAACAUAAGCCUUCUAUGAGGGUUUCAUAUUCGGCCUCAUUGUUCGAUGCCUUGAAUUUGAAACGAAGAGCAUACUUCAUCGCCACUUUGUUAAGGGUCGUAAGGACUAGUCCUGCUCCACAACCCUGUUGGUUGGACGAGCCAUCAACAUAUAGACUCCAUGUUGGGGCUGUUGGUUAUAUUUUAUGAGCUUCCGAGGGUACUGAAACCACUUCUUUAGGCGUAGAAACAAUGUCAACAGGAUAUGUGAAGUCGGCAAUGAAGUCUGCCACUGCUUGGCCCUUCUCAGCUGGCUUUGGUUGGUAGGAGAUGUCAAACUCACCUAAUGUUAUCGCCCAUUUGAUCAUUCACCCAGAAGUGUCAAGACUUUGAAGUAUCUGUCGAAGAUGAUGAUUGGUAAGCACGAUGAUGGAAUGUGCUUGAAAGUAAGGGCGAAGUUUUUUAGCAGACAUGACCAAUGCUAGAGCCAAUUUCUCAAUGUUGGAGUAUCGUGUCUCCGCAUCUUGUAAGGCCUUGCUAGCGUAGCGGACAUGCCGUUCGACAUUACCAUCAUUUCGAAUGAGAGUGAAACUUACUGUUGAAAUCAAUACCGACAUAUAGAUAAUGAGAGUGUCACCAAGCUCAGGUUUGUAGAGCAGAGGGACUUUACUCAUGUAGUCAUUGAAUGCCUCGGCACAUUCAUCAGUCCAUGUAAUGUACUUCUUACUUCCCUUAAGUGUUUUGAAGAAAUGAGCACAUCUAUCUGUGGCCUUAGAGAUGAACCUAGUUAAGGCUGCCACCUUGCCAGUAAGGCUUUGGAUGUCUUUUGAAGUUACUGGUUCCUUCAUGUCGAGGGUUGCUUUGAUCUUCUAGGGAUUAGCCUCGAUGGCUUAUCAUGAAGCCUAAGAAUUUGCCAGAGCCUGCGCCGAAGGCACAUUUGUUGGGGUUCAACCUCAUUCAACACCUCUUCAGAAUGGUGAAAGUUUCAGAUAGGUUGGUGAUGUGUUGGUCAGCAUGUUUGCUCUUGACUAGCAUAUCAUCAACGUAAACUUCCAUGCUCUUCCUAAUCUGUUCGGCGAACAUUGAAUUGACUAGUCUCUAAUAAGUCGUCCCUGCAUUAUUUAGGCCGAAUGGCAUGACUUUAUAGCAAUAUAGUCCCCUGUCAGUAGUGAAGGUUGUGUGUUCUUGGUUCGAAGGGUUCAUGAGGAUUUGGUUUUAUCCUGAGUAAGCAUCCAUGAAGCUCAGGAGUUCACACCCUGCUGUAGAGUCUAUAAGUCUAUCAAUGAGAGGAAGAGGAAAGCUAUACUUCAGGCAUCCUUUGUUUAGGUCGAUAUAGUCGACACACAUUCUCCACAAGACCUUUUGGAGCAUGAGACUUUCUUUGGUUGAGUUUUUCUUAACAAUGAUCACAUUUGCUACUCAACUUCUGCCUUCAUUGCUUCUUAUCAUUCAGCGUCAUAAGAUCUUCGCUUCUGUCUCACCGGCUUGGUCUUGGGGUCAAUACUCAAGCGAUGACACAUGAUAUCGGGAAAGAUGCCUGGCAUGUCCUCGUAUGACCAGGCGAAGACCUCAGUGUUCUCUUGCAAAAAGAGAUCAAUGUCAUUCGAAUGGGUGGUGACAAGGUGGUGCCAAUCUUCACCAUGUGAUCUGGAUAAUCUUUUAAUAUAGAAACCUUCUCCAACUCUUCAUCGGGUUGUGCUUGCUGAGUGAAAGAGUCAUCUCGAGGAUCAUCGGGUUGACUGUUACCACCGUGAAGAUCUAAGUUAGCUUUGUCCGGGCUGGUCUUUAUGACUUGGUCAUGUAUAGAAAAGGUUUCCUUGGGCACAUGCAGGUGUUGUUGUUUGACCGAAGUGUUGUAACAUGAUCGUGCACUAAGUUGAUCUCCACUGAUGUAACCAUUGCCAUAGGGGGUUGGAAAUUUCAUCAACAACAUAUGUGUGGAUACUAUGACCUUGAGAUCAUUGAUGCAUGUGCGUCCAAAGAUGACAUUGUAUGCCAUUGGACAAUCAACUACCAGGAAGUUAGUGGUAAUGGUAGUUGUGUAAGGGCCUAUACCAAUGGUGAAAGGUAAGUGUAUGCUCCUUAUAGGUUGCACGAUAUCACCGGAAAAGCUUAUCAGAGGAGAAAUCGAGCGAUCGAGCAAGUGUUCAGCUACAUUAAGUGCCCUGAAAGCUUCAACAAACAUGAUAUUGACCGAAGCCCCAGUGUCUACCAAGAUUCGUCGUACUUCAAAGUUGGCUAUGUAAGCCUCCACGAUCAGUGGGUCGUUAUGAAGGUAGAUGAUACCUCUUUCUUCCUCAGGGUAGAAACAUAUUGGAUCCCAGUUAGGCUUUUGAUAAUUACCUCCCUUGAUGUCUUCCACAUGAAACACUUGGUGGCCAGGCCUUAAAGCUUGUUCACUAUUUUUCAUGGCCCUAUUAGAAGAUUCAGAUAUGGGUGUGUCGCCGCUUAUGGAAUAUAUCAUAUUCACUUGGCGUUGGUUACGGUUAUCCCUUGAAUGGUGAAAGAGGAAUCAAUCAAUUUUUCCUUCACACACCAAAUCUUCAAUAUGAUUAUGAAUGGUGAUACACUUCUCGCCGUCAUGGCCGUUAUGCUCGUGGUAGCAGCAAAACGUGCUCGUGUUCUUCGUGGGCUUAUAAACCGACUACCUCGGCAUUGGCUUCGGUAUCAAAUGUGCUAUGCUGGGGUAAAUGGCCACGCAUGUGGCGUUUAAAGGUGUGUAUGUCUUAUAUCUCGGAGUAGGGCCUGUCCUGACACGUGCUUGGCCCACUGUGUUGACUGCCUGAGGGCGGACAUUAUUGUGGCGAUACCAUUGGUUAUCGCGAUAGUGUCCCAUACUCCUUUUACUAAAAUGAGACUAGUGAGGAUGUAAAUAUUUCCUUUUGCCCUGAGAUUGAUAUGUCUGUUGACUUGGCGAAGUAUUAAGUAAGGUAGGGGGAGGCACCGCUGCCGUUUGGAAGGUCGAGGUCUUCUCAUUUGGUUGGAUCUGGCUUCCACUCCCUACUUGCUGAUAAGGGGUAGCUGUGGGGGGUUUCCCUUGAUAUGUCAUUGCCUCAGUGGAGGCAUGGUUGUAAGCAUGUGCCAUCACUUCAUAGUAAGUCUUCCAAGUGUUGGCAUUGAUCAUGUACUUGAAGAAACAAUCACAUAGGCCUGCCGUGAAGGCUUUGAGGACAGUCUUGUCGUCUGCCUCGGCACAACGGGAAUACUCAUGGAUGAAACGGCCAGCAUACAUACGUAAUGACUCGUCUAGCUUCUGGCGAAUAGUGUACAAGUCAUCCGCAAAGUGCAAGCGAUCGGUCUGGAAAAUGUGUUGAAAAACAAACAGUUUUCUCAAUUCUUCAAAUGAGUCUACCAUCUCAGGUAGAAGACGAUAAUACCAGUUUAGAGCUCCGUUAGAGAGGGUGGAGGGGAAGAGAAGACAUCGCUCUUCGUCGGUGUGUAUCUGGUAUGCCAUGGUGGACUCAAAGAAGUUAAGGUGUUCAAUCGGGUCCUCCUUUCCAGUAUAGAGUUGCAAGCCAUCUUUGCUUGGAGGGGUUGUCGAGGAUCCUUCUUAUAAGAGGGUCAGGCCUAGGUUGGUUCCAAUCAGGUAUCUCAGCUUGUCGUUUGGCCUUUAACUUGUUUACUUCCUUAAGGCUGUAAGACAAGAAUAUCCUGAGUGGAGUCAUGUAACACUAGAGCUUUCUUUUGUAAAUCUCCAUCUCCUCUUGGAAGUAGGAAGGUUUGAUCAAGAGCAUGUGAUUUUUCCCGGGACUAGCCGUACUGACUUCCAAGGUAUGUCUGUCAAAACAUCUCUGAGUCCCUUAUACCUUCGUGUUUCUCUAGGACUUGUUGCCUAUUCCCCAAAUUGGUAGUCGGCCUGGGACAUGGGAGGGGACCGAGUCUUUCAGAGACCCUUGGGUCAUUGAUCUUCGAGCUUUCAUGGAUGGGAUUGUCUCGACGUUGCUUUAGGAAGUCUCGAUAGUCGUGAAAGACGGCUUUAGAUCCUUACACUCCUUCUGUAAGAAGCUGCUUUCCUCCACUCCUCUUGCUUCGGAUCGAAGCAGCUGGGUUGAGAGAAAUCUCAUGUCGGUCUCCAUUUCGAUGAGUAGCUCGCUCCUCAACAAGAAUACCCAUGUCGAUGACAAAUGACCCUCCGUGUUGGGGGGCACCCAAGUGAUGGUUGACUUCUACAAGGGCGAUGAGCUUGUGUGUAUUAGUAUAUCUAGCCUCAUGGAGCAUCUCGAAGACCUUCUCAUACUGCUCUUGGAGGAUCUCAUUCUUCAUCGCUAUCUUGUUAUUCUGAGCCUCCAGCUCAUCGACUUUAGCCUGAAGAGCAAACUUCUUUUGUUCCUUCUUUCGUUGCUUCGCACUAGGAGCAAGAUGGGUGUCAUUCUGUGUGUUGUGGCUUCCUUCGCUCCCCAUGUUGGAAAGGGAUGCCUGGUCAAAAGAGAGUGUACGAAUGGUGGAAACCAACUUAACAAAGCUGAAAAGAGUGGGAAUAAGUGUCGUUCCCAAAGAUGGCGCCAAAUGUUGAUGCACAAAAUCAGUGAGGACUUUGAUAAAAUAGAAAAUGUUAAGUUUGUGACAUUUACUAGAUUGCUCCGAUUACUAGUGUAGAUAAGUAUGUAAAUGGAUAGAAACAUGGAAGCAAACACAAGAUGUACGUGGUUCACCCAGAUUGGCUACGUCCAUGGAGUAGAAGAAUUCUCAUUAAUUGUGAAGGGUUUACACAAGUACAUAGGUUCAAGCUCUCAUUUUGUGAGUGCUAGUGAAUGAUUUAAUACAAAUGACAUUAGGAAAUAUUGUGGGAGAAUGAUCUCCUUUUAUAGAAGAGAGUGUCUAGCUUUGUUUUGACAUUGACACGUGUCGUGUUGUGAUUGGCUUCUGAUAUUGACAUGUGUUGCUGUUGACCCUAAAAACUACCAAGCCUACGUGGCGCGCAGGCUGAGUAAUAUAUAAGUUAACAACGUCAUUCGGUGAAUGCGGGGCAUGCCAACUCGUCGGUCGAGCUCGGCUGAUGAGUAAAUUUGUUGAUGUUGCGUUGGGUGCGCUGCUGACUUCUUGAUCUUGUGAUUAUGGCUGAGGAAGGAACACGUCUCAGCCUUCGGGUUCUAGAGCCUGAAGACAAGGCUGUUAACUUAACAAAGUUCAAUAUCCAAUUUGACUUCCAAUGUGCCGAAUGUAGUAACUCGUAACACCUCACUUCGCCGAGAAGGCUGAUGAGAUGACCUCGACCAAUAAGGAUUCAGAAAUCCUUCUCGACCGAGACUUGGAUAGGUAAUCAACCAUCCUCGCCGCAGUGGUGUUGAUGCCAACGGAAGAUGCUGCGAGAUCGGCUGAUUCUACGGUGACAGAGCUAUCUAUGCCGACUUAAGAUAUCACUAGUUGCUUUCACAGUGCUAUUGAUGCCAACGAAAGAUGUGUCAGCGAAAAGAGAAAAUAAAAAUCUCAGUUGUUGAGAGAGUUUACGCAGGGCAGUUGUGUGUUGAAUUCGAGGUCCCUUGAACGUUGCCUGCGACUCUGUAUUUAUAGUGACAAAUACGCACUGGUUGAUAAGUUGAGAAAGACUCCCAAACUAUUAAAACUCAUCUUAUCUCAUCGAAUCCAAGAUAAUCUGCAUGCUUGGAUAACAUCCAUCUAAUCAACCACCCAAUAUAUAUAUAUAUAUAUAUAUAUAUAUAUAUAUAAACAAAGUUUGCACCUUUCCAAUGAGUUGGCAGACCUAAUGUUGCCAAUUAUAUAUAUAUAUAUAUAUAUAUAUAUAUAUGGCUGAUAGCUUUUGACACGGCAUACAGGUCAUGUCCAUCAUCAAUUCACUUCAUCUUACAACAUUCCCUUAGGUCUCCUAUCUCAUCCUCACCUCAUCAACAAUAGCCAUCAUCAUUUUGAUCAAAUGAAUUUUAAAUUCAUUUUACUUCCAAAUGCUGUCAGACAUCCCAAAUCAAUUCGAAUUGUACUGCUUAUUCGGGAUAUGAAUCGCAUUCUAUUUAUCCGGUUUAAGAAGAUACCGAAAUAAUUCAUAUUAAAAGAUAAUUAUAAUAUUAUCCUUUAAUAAUCAAAUUAUCUCCACUUUCUCAUUUGGCGGUCGAGAAUCAUGCCCACUCAACGGCCUCGAUCGCUUGGGCCGAUGAUGUAAAAUCGGGUCCAAACAGUUGCGCUAUGAUUGGCUUCUGAUGUUGACACGUGUCGCGCUGUGAUUGGCCUCCUGGUUUGAGGGAAACUCUUCUGGGUCCUUGACGGUAUAACGUUGACCGGUGCUCAGUAGUUUCGGAAUUAGUUAAGUAUGGUACAAACACUUUUAGUUUUAAAUCUUUAAAAAAAAAUGGUUUCUUAUAGCUAAUCAACAUGAUGCCAUAUGAUUGGAUUAGUGGGACAAAAAAUAAUGACGAUACUUUAAUGAAAGGAUUAAAUUAGCAUGCCAAAUUUAUCGAUUUUUAAAACUCAGAGAUCAAUGUUAGAGACAAUUUGCGAUAAAAAUUCUUAUUUUGUAUUAUCCACGUUUCACGAUUUCAUUGGAUUUAAGGAUCCCACGUACAAACUAACAGAAUAGUUGACGAAAUCUUAAUGGAAUACCAAAUUGAUGUGCGGUAGUAAAUGUCAACGACGGCAUUGAUUGUUUUUUAAAGUGAGGAACCAAAAUGAUGAGUUUGAUCAAUCUCAGUGACUAUUUGUGACAAAACCCUAAAAUUAAAGUCCAUUCUCAAUGUGGACUUAAGUCAUCUCCGACCAGAGGUUAUGUAUAGUUUCUUAAUCAAUUAUUGGUUUUAAGUUUACUCUUUAAAUUUAUUAAGUACUACUUAAAUCAUAUGAAAAUAAGGUUCUCGGAACAUGAUUUUUUAAGGUGAAUAGAAGAGAAAAUGAAAUAAAAUAAGCCAAGAUAGUAAAAAUUAAGUAGAAUCAUGUUUUUAAAAACGGGGUCCUGAUUUACAGUCUAUAAUUUAUUUCUAAGAGCUGCGCCUCUUUUUUCAAUUAAAAUACCUAUAAUAUGCGGUCUGUAUCUUGAACUUUUUUCUGAUUACGUAAUCAAAGCUAAAUCCGACUCUAAAUCAUGUUUUCUAAUUAAGUAAAUUAUGGUCAAAUCAGGCCAUGUUUUUAUCUAAACAGAAAAGCAUGAUUUCCCUCGUGAGUUUUUGAGGUGCAUGCACUCUUUCGUCCACUCAGCUGUCAAGAAACCCAGAAAGCUCCGCUACAAACCACAGCAAAUCGACGAAAUUAUGUCAAGAAUUAGGACUUUGCCUGAAACCCAGAAAAGCUCUGUCGCAAACCACCGCAAAGACCAGGAAUUAGAUGCCCCUGUUCACCUGGGUUCUUAAUCUUGGUACUGAAUCUACUGUUUUCUUUCACCCUUUUUUGGUUCUGAUUUUUGAUACUGUGAUAAUUUGCUGCUCAAAUUUUACCGUUUGGAGAAGAAGAGGAGAGAAAGAUUCUUGGGUUGUUGGGAAGGCAGGGAAGAAGAAGGAGAAGGUCAGAUUCUUUCGAGCCCAACCAUUGGAUCUGCAGACUACUGUAGCUACUGGGCCCCAGCCAACGGGCUGGGCAUAAGGCAAAGCUCGCUAGCCCGAUAGCCCUUUGGUCAUGUUUUAACCUAAUGGGCUCCAUUAAAUUUUUGCCAAGCUUUCAGUUAAAGAUGAAUUUUGUGCAAUUCAGGCCAAAUUUUGGCCUUUUAGAUCUCUCAAUUAGAGAUGGCCUUAGGGCAUAUGUUUGUAGCCCACAGAAAAGCUCCAUCAGGGUUUCCUAUCACCCACACUAUUCUCUCUCUACACACUCAUGUACAGGGGUGGACUAUUCAUUGACUCGGAUGGUCCCGGGACCACUCGAAAGUUUGAACAAGCGCAUGUGAGAACCUCCAAGAACCACUCAACUGUCUGGGCGUGCAUAUGUUGUGAAACAAAAGCUCUGAACCAAGAAGAAAUAUCUAAUUUCAUAGGGAGAGCAACAACACAAAGAAGACCACCAUGGCUCUGCUGUUCUUGGACAUUGGUUCCAACACAAAAGAAAGACCUUCUCGCUUCAUUUUUUUUAAUUUUGUUGUCCAAUCAAGCUAUGCCUAGCAUUUAAUUAAUAAAUAGAUGGUGUAUUACUCAUCCAAUACUUUUCAUAUCAUAAGUUUGACACCGUUAUUUGUUUUAAACUCACUAUAAAUUCAAACGAUCUCUGAAAAUAUUUCGUAAAGUACUAGGAACUCUUAAGCACUUGAACUUUCAUCUCAUACCAUUAAAUUCAAUCAAAUAUUAAAGAGAUGGUGUAUUACUCAUCCAAUACUUUUCAUAUCAUAAGUUUGACAUCGUUAUUUUUUUUUAAACUCAAUAUAAAUUCAAACGAUCUUUGAAAAUAUUUUGUAAAAUACUACGAAAUCAUAAUCACUUGAACUUUCAUCUCAUACCAAACUCUCAAUACAAGUAUAGUUUUUUUUUUUUUAAGUGUAAAUAGACACUUAUUUAUAUGAUAUAUAAUAAAUUUACUUAAAUUCUCAUACGCCCCGUUUAGAUGAAUAGGUGCUAGGUUUUAGCUCACCGGCCGACUAGCGCCUAGCGUAUCUUGGUUAGGAUCACCUGAUAUUAGAAUCCUGGAUCCGACACUGCUUAUGUAGUUAUGUUUAAUCAUAUUGAUUGACUAUUAGUUUUAUCUAAUCGGUAGAAAGAAGAAGGGAAUGCCAGUUAUCAUUUAUUUUGAAGAAAAUUAGCGAUGUUUCAUGAACUCGUAAUAUUUUUUCAAUUUUUGUUACGAAUUUACAAGCGCCCAUUAUUAUUAAUGUUCUAAAUUACCUCUAUCAUCUUCAUUUAUCACGUUUUCUGCCAGUUAAAAGCAUGUACAAAAUUAAUCAAGAGAGUUAAUAGUCAUGUUUAAAAUAAUUAUUAGAACUCGGAACCAAUUAAAGUUCAAAGGAUAAAUCAAAAGAAUGCCCCAAAUUCAAGGGGCAUUGCUAACUGUUUAAAGGAUUAAAAUGAUUCAUAAACAAUUUGAAAGUCAAAAGAUAAAUCGGAUUGAGCCCCUAACUUCAAAGGCAAAGGGCAGUUGCUAGCAUUUUCCUUUUUAUUUUUCACGUGUGAUAUUAUCAAAGUGCAUUAGUAUACUAUACACGGGAUCUUUUCAAUUUAUUUUUUUUUGUUCAUCAAACAUACACGCUUUCUUGAUACUUGUAAUAAUAUUAACCUGUUUCAGGAUCCAGUUUCAAAAUUCAAACUUGAUAAGCUUAGCAAAAAUAAAUGAGUAAUCUGACAACAAUAACAAGACGGAAAGAGAUGGCAAAAUUCGGGAUUAGGGUGUUGACUUUAUGCCUACAUAUGGCAAAAUGCAAAUGUUGAUUCACAAAAUCAAAGACGGGUACAAUACAACGUGUGAAAAUUAUGCAUUUUAAAUGUUUUCCAACAAAAAAAAUAGCAUGGCAAUUGGCAAAUGUAAAUUACUGGUUAGAAGAUAGAUUCUGUUCAUCUUUUUCUUUUUCUUGCUCAACUUCUAGGCUUCCACGAAACCCUAAUGGCUCUAGUUCAAUGGUUUCUCAUGCUUCUCAGCCUCACCUGGACUUUGAUUGUUGAUGUUACUCGUUCAGCUCCUCACGACGAUGCCGGAAAGGCAUGCGAUUUUUUUUUCUUCAUUUCUUUUUUCUAUAAUUGGCUUUUUAGUCUUGACUAUUAGUUAUGAUGUUGAUAUUCGACAAAUGUUGCAGCGUUCAUAUUGUGUACAUGGGCGACAAGCCUGUUGUGCCUUGGUCCGUUCAUCAGUGCGGAAACGAGAUUCAAAUUACAACCUCACCAAAAUCACACUCAGUUGAACAGAAUAAAAUACAAGAAAUAAAGACACCGAAAAAUUUACGAGGUUCGGCAAAAACCUGCCUACGUCCCCGGAGAGAUAUUACUCUUCAUUAUGAGAAUAACAGUACAAGUACACAUGAGUUAAAUCGACAUAACCCAAUCCCAAAUCCCUUGUACAACCACUCAUAGAAUUUUCCCAAGAGCCUCACUCUACCCCAAGAGUUCUUUCACUAGAAUACUUUUCACUCUAGCUCUCUUGAUUUUCUCUCAUCCAUGCCCAUGCUUUCCCAUGGGAGAGCCGAAUGCUCUCCCCCUUGGAUGCUCUCUGAUGUUUUCGUUAUACCUUCUCAGGAGAGAGUCGAAUGCUCUCUAUCUCCCUUCGGUUCUUAGCAAAAUAAAUAGCAAAAGAAAAAAGGAAUCAACUUUCCCUUUUUCCACAAACAUCAUCAUUAAAGUAAAAGCAAUCAUCAUCAUUAUGUUUUUACUCAUGAUGAUGUCCACCAAACUUUUGCUUUUAUUUGUCUGCAAUUUUCAUGCAACCCACACCAUGUGAUAUUUCCACCGAAAGCAAACACAGGUCACUUCAUUGUUGUUAACACAUGACUCAUAAUUACUCACAAAUGUAUCAGCCAAACACAACAAAGCCAUAGCGCGAGAUUUCCCCCACCACAUUGCAUGUUCACGUAAACAUGCUACAAAUCGUAGUUGGCAGCAAUUAUUAAGGGUAGUAGUGUAAAAUGAUGCUUAAGUAAAGUUGCUAGAGUUGUGAGAAGUUUGUUAUACUUUACUUAGCUAGUAAGAUAGGUAGUGAGCAUAAAUGUAAAUGAUGGUAUAUAUAUACCAAGUGUAAUAUUAUUCAGAAUAAUACAAUUCACAAUUUUAUUUCUUGUCUCUCUCUCUAAACUUUCUUACUAAAUCUCUCUCUAAACUCUUACAUGGUAUCAUUCGUCGGUGUCUAACGACCUCCGACGAUCAUUCGUCUCUCUGCAUCCUAUGUGUUCUCUCAUUUUGCUUCUUGUCGCUAACAACAAUGGCGGUAUCUUCUUCGUCUUCCUUUGAUUCUACCUCGCAGCCAUCUCCUGCAGAUUCUUCGACCCCAAAUUUGUGCCCUAAUUCGGUCAGUUCUUCGAUUACUAUUCAGAAUAUUGGUUCGCUGGUUCCGAUCAAACUGACAACUACAAAUUGGAUCACCUGAAGUGCUUUAUUUGCACCGAUUUUUCGCCGGUACAAUCUCACUGGUCUCAUUGAUGGAUCUCUGGUGGCCCCGCCCAUGUAUCUUCUGGAUUCUUUAGGAAAUCGCACUUCGAUUGUGAAUCCUCAAUAUGUCACUUGGUUUGAGAACGAUCAAAACAUUCUGAUCUGGAUCAACUCGACACUCUCGGAUUCUCUGAUUCCCUACACUGUUGGUGUUACCUCUGCUCGAGAUCUGUGGGCAAAACUGGAAUCUCAUCUUGCUACAGCAUUGCAAUCACACAUUCAUGAACUACGCUAUCGUCUUCACACGAUUACCAAAGAUGACUCCACUGCGGCUACUUAUCUUUAACAAAUUGAAGAAAUUGCGGAUGCUCUUGUAACUGCUGGUGCUCCGAUUGCUGAUUCGGAACUCAUCUCUUCUUCUUCAUGGAUUACCACCUGAAUAUGAUGCCUUUGUUGACACUAUUCAAUUUCGUCUUGGUUCCACUACUAUUGAUGAGUUAUAUGGUUUACUGCUUAGUAAGGAGAUUCAAUUGGCAAAUCGCAAGAAGGUUUCUUCAUCCAUGCCAUUUCAAGCAUAUCAUUCUUCUGCUGGCAUUCUUCCUACACCACCUGGUGAUUUUACUUCUCAGGUGUACUAUGUUUCUUCUCAUGGUCGUGGCUUCGAUUGGAAUUUUUCUAAUCCUAGAAAUUUUCAGAAUUUCUCUCGCCAAGGUCAGAAUUUCAGUCGCCAAGGUUCGAAUUUCCCUCGCCAAGGUCAACAUUUCUCUCACCAGGGUCAACAGAAGAAUAAUCGUGGCUCCAGACCAACUAUCCAUAAUUUCAAUAGAAGAAAUUCUUGUCAAAUUUGCCGUCAAUCUGAUCAUGAGGCUAUUGAUUGUCCGCAUCGUCUAAAUCCUAACUAUGGUACCAAGCAUUCACAGACUGCAUUUCAUGCUAAUACUGCUUCCAAUGUUUCCAAUGCUCUAACAUGGCUUCUUAAUACCGGUGCCAGUUCUUAUAUGACCAACUCGUAUACAAAUCUUCAAAGUCCUGAACCCUACAGUGGUCCUGAUCAAGUUUAUAUUGGCGAUGGCAAAGGUUUGCCUAUCACUCAUUCUAGUUCUUCUUGUCUUCCUACUUCUACUCAUACAUUUGAUUUGCACAAUGUGUUGCAUGUUCCUGAUCUGAAACAAGAUUUGAUUUCUGCAAAUCGAUUUAUAGUUGAUAACUGGUGCUCCAUUCAUCUAUAUCCUUUUCACUUCCUUGUGAAGGAUCUUACUUCGAGGAAUGAGCUUUUUAAGGGGCCUGUCAAAGCUGGCUUCUAUCCUUUUCUUGCACCUUCUGUUGCAGACAAUCAUCAAGCUUAUGUGACCAAUACUAACGCUUCUCAAGGAAUCUGGCAUCAACGCUUAAGCCAUCCCUCAUUCAAGAUUUUAAAUAAACUAGGCUCCCAGUCUCAUAUCUCUUGUUCAGAUCACAUUCAUAAAUUUUUAUGCUUUAGUUGUGCUUUAGGCAAAUGUUCUCGAAAACCAUUUACCUCUGUUCCUUGUACAACAACCAAGCCUUUUGAGCUGUUACAUACUGAUGUAUGGGGUCCUGCGCCCAUUUCUUCUGUUAAUGGAUUUCGGUAUUAUCUUAUGUUGGUUGAUGAUUUUUCCAAGUAUUCUUGGUUCUUUCCAUUGAAGUAUAAAUCUAAAGUUUUCAGUACCUUUGUUCACUUCGAAUCUGUGGUUGAAAAUCUCUUGGGUUUCAAGGUUAUUACUCUGCGAUCUGAUUCUGGUGGAGAAUAUGUUAAUCACCACUUCUCUGAUUUCUUGAAGACACAUGGGAUCUCUCAUCAACUGAGUUGCCCUCAUACUCCAGAACAAAACAGGUGUGCUAAAAGAAAGCACCAGCACUUAGUCGAAACUGCUCGGACUCUUCUUACAGCAUCUCAAGUCCCUUAUUCUUAUUAGGUUGAAUCCUUCUCCACAACUCUUUAUCUCAUCAAUCGCAUGCCUACUGGUAGUAAACUCUCUCCUUGGGAAAUAUUGUUUCAUAAACCACCAGAUUACACAACUUUGAAAGUUUUCGGCUGUAGGUGUUUUCCUUGGCUCCAACCUUAUACUUCCUCUAAACUUGAUCCGAGAAGCAAAGCUUGUGUAUUUUUGGGAUAUAGCCUUAAUCAUAAAGGUUAUCGUUGUUUGGAUGCUCAAACUGGGCGAAUUUAUAUUUCCCACCAUGUUAUCUUUGAUGAAACCACCUUUCCAUUUCAUUCUUCUCCACCUCCUGUAAGUCUUUCUUCUCCAGUUCAAUCUCUUCUCAAUUCCCCCUUCAUCCCAACCUCAUUAACAUUUACUCAUUCCUCUCUUACCUCUUCUUCACCCUUUUUACCUAUCUCUGAUUCCAUUCCCUUAUCUCCUUCACCUCCUUCUUUUUCUUCAGAUUCCUUACCUCCCCCUUCUACCUAAUAUUCAUCCUAUGACCACUAGAUCAAAAUCUGGUAUUUUUAAACCGAAGGCUCUUCUAGCAACCAAGCAUCCACUUCCCUCCCAUUUAUCUCUUGAUUACACACCUUCCAUUUAUCUUCAAGCCUCUAAACACUUACAUUGGAGAUAAGCAAUGCAGGAAGAGCUCACUGUGCUUCUUCAAACUGGUACCUAGUUUUUGGUUCCUCCUACUUCCUCUCAGAAUUUUGUAGGUUGUAAAUGGGUUUUUCGUAUUAAACGGAAACCUGAUGGCUCAGUGGACAGGUACAAAGCCUGUCUAGUUGCCAAGGGAUUUCAUCAACAACAGGGCUUGGAUUACAAUGAAACAUUCAGUCCGGUUGCCAAACCAGUCACUAUCUGCAUUCUCUUAACCCUUACAGCUACAUUCGAUUGGUCUAUAAAUUAGUUGGAUGUGAGUAAUGCCUUUCUACAUGGCACACUCACUGAGUCUGUCUCCAUGGUUCAACCUCCAGGGUUUGAAGAUCCUACUCAACCCCAUUAUGUCUGUCAAUUGCAUAAGUCACUGUAUGGUCUCAAACAAGCUCCCCGAGCCUGGUAUGCCAAGUUAACAACUGCCUUACAGUCUCUUGGUUUCUCUGGAUCCAACAAUGACCACUCUUUAUUUGUUAAGAACAAUGAUUCAGGGGUCUAUGUCUUGGUAUAUGUGGAUGAUAUUCUUGUCACCGAACCUGAUUCUGUAGCUUGUUAAUCUGUGAUUUCUCAACUUUGUGGUUUAUUUCCUGUCAAGGAUUUGGGACUCCUGCAUUAUUUUCUUGGUAUUGAAGUCAAGCGAUCAUCCAAGGGAAUCUUCAUCAAUCAAACUAAAUAUAUUCUGGAUCUUCUCAAGAAGGCACACAUGAAUGGUGCUAAACCUUGUGUUACUCCUCUGAGUACUUCUAAAUUGGAUCAUUCUUCUCCCUUACUGUCUAAUCCAGAAGAAUACAAAUCCUUAGUUUGAGGCCUUCAAUACUUAACCUGGACUCGACCAGAUUUGUCCUUUGCAAUCAAUCUCGUCUGUCAGUUCAUGCAAACUCCCCAAGAAUCACAUCUUCAGGCUGUUAAGCGUAUUCUCAGAUACUUGAAGGGCACAAUUACUCUCGGUCUUUGGUUUCCAAAAUGCUCUGCACCUCUCAGUAUUAAUAGUUUCUCAGAUGCCGAUUGGGCUGGUUGCACUAUUGAUCGACGAUCCACAGGUGGUUUCUGUAUUUUUCUGGGUGAUUCUCUUAUCAUUUGGAGUGCCAAGAAGCAACCCAUUGUUGGUCGAUCCUCAACUGAAGCGGAAUAUCGUUCUUUAGCUAAUACUGCUGCUGAGUUAACUUGAAUCUACAAGCUAUUAGUUGAUAUUGGUCUUCCGAUUCCGUGCCCUCCUAAACUUUGGUGUGAUAACAUAUUUGCUAUAUCUCUUGCUAAGAAUCCUUUGUUUCAUGCUCGAACCAAGCAUGUGGAGAUUGAUUAUCACUUUAUUAAAGAGAAAGUUUUGGCCAAUUCCAUCACUGUGCAUUUUGUCUAUACACAGGAUCAAACUGCAGAUAUAUGUACUAAAGCUUUAUCCAAGGAUCGAUUUCUUCUUCUCCGUGACAAACUCUCACUUCGGCUACCUCAGCUUAGUUUGAGGGGGGAUAUUAAUUAAGGGUAGUAGUGUAAAAUGAUGCUUAAGUAAAGUUGCUAGAGUUGUGAGAAGUUUGUUAUACUUUACUUAGCUAGUAAGAUAGGUAGUGAGCAUAUAUGUAAAUGAUGGUAUAUAUAUACCAAGUGUAAUAUUAUUCAGAAUAAUACAAUUCACAAUUUUAUUUCUUCUCUCUCUCUAAACUUUCUUACUAAAUCUCUCUCUAAACUCUCAUAGCAAUUUUAUAAUUAAUGAUAUGGCAAUGUCUGCUACUGCACACCUACAAUAGCAGCUUCACUGGCUUUGCAUGCUGCCAAGCUAAUAGACGAAGAAGCACAAAAAUGGCAAGUUAAUAUUUGUUCAGCCUCCCCCUUUUCGUUUUAAUUAAUACACAUACCGACGCACACAUAUUUUAUAAAUAACAAAAAAAUGUUUAAUUGAAUGUACGCAUGUAUAGAAAUGGAUGGUGUGGUGCCUUUUUUUCCAAGUUAAAAGAGGCAGCAGCUCCACACAACAAGGUCGUGGGACUUCAUUGGGUUUCCAAAAACAGUGUCGAGAAGUAACUAUGUUAACAAAGGUGAUAUGAUCAUCAUAGGAGUAUUAGGGAAAAUGAUAAGUCACCCAUUUCAGUCACUGUUAAAUAGUUUGUUAUCUCUAAAUGUAAUUAGUUGUGCUAAUGUUUGUGAUUAGUUAGAACUGUUAUAAGGUUAGGCAGUUAAGGGGUAUCUUUGUAAAUAGCCAAAGGCUAUAUAUAUAUGUCUUCACAGUGUACAAAUUAACUAUUCAGAAAUAUAAUUGAAAGCUUAUAGAGGAAGUUUCCAGUUUCUAUAUGGUAUCGCGCCAUUUCUGCUUCACAGUAUCGAUCAUUCCGCUCAACCGACUCGAUCGAUACAGCAUCGAUCCUUCCGCUCAACCGACUCGAUCGAUUGAUCGAUUUUUGAUCGACUUUUCUGUUCUUCUCCUCUGAUUCUUCAGUCUCUCUUCGCCGAUUUUUUCUUGCAUCAUCAUCUCUACAAGAUAUGGUGGCGCAAUCAUCUUUGUCACCGCCUGAAUCUUCUUCUCCAUUGACUCAAAACCCUAAUUCCUCUGGAAAUCCAAGUUCUCUGAGUUCUUACACCUCCCUUACGAUCCACAACAUCGGCAGCAUGGUACCGAUCAAGCUGAAAAGAUCGAACUAUCUGCCAUGGUGUGCGCUGUUUGGCCUAAUUCUCCGACGCUACAAGCAUCUUGGACUUGUUGAUGGAACUGAAGCAUGUCCAUCGUCAUUCCUACCUGAUCGCAGCAUUAAUCCUACCUUUGAGGAAUGGUAUGAAAAAGAUCAAAAUCUUUUGAUCUGGUUCAAUUCCACACUUUCUGAGGAAAUCAUCCCUUUCAUGGUUGGGGUUUAUUCGUCUCGCAAACUCUGGUUGAAGCUUGAACAGAGGUUUGGUGGAAUUUCAGAGGCUAAUAUUCAUCAAUUGAGGUCGCGUCUCCAAUCUGUUCAGAAAGGAUCUCGCUCCAUAUCUGAGUAUCUUCAAGAAAUUAAGGAAAUCUCAUACUCCUUGCAAGCUGCUAGUGCCUCCGUCUCUGAUCGCGACCUAAUUGCAGCCACCCUUCAUGGCUUACCUGAUGAUUUUGAGUCAUCAAUCAUGCUUCGAUUGUCCUCUACAUCUCUUGAUGAACUCCAUAGUCUUCUUCUCACUAAAGAAUUGUCCAUGGCUCAACGCAAAACUAUCAGUUCAUCCUCUACAGCUGAACCUUUUCUAGCCUUCUCGGUGCACUCUCAGCCCCCUCUCCUACCCACUCUUUCAGUGUUUGCUACUCAGCACCAACUUCAAUCUUGGCACCAACCAAAAUCUGCCAACCGUGGAAAGAAUAACAGAGGCCAUUCUUUAUCUCACAGAGGCAAUCGAAGUUUCCAACCUAACUGUGGUAAUUACUCCAACAUUCAUGGAAAUCGUAAUUACCAAGGACCUCGUCAUGCUUAAGGCUCUUCCAAUUUCAAAGUUCCUAUCAAAUCUGUAGAUCUACCAGUCAUGAAGCUCUUGACUGUUUUGAUCGCAUGAAUCCUGACAUCUAUGGUCGGAUUCCUCCAGCUAAACUAGCUGUUAUGUAUGUCAAUUAAUCUGCCAAACCAUCUCAGUCUUGGCUGAUUGACUCGGGUGCCACUUCUUAAAUUACUAAUGAUGUUGCAAACAUCUCUUCUCCUACUCCUUAUACUGGUGAAGAUAAAGUGUAUAUUGGUGAUGGUAACGGUCUUUCUAUUCAUCAUAUUGGUUCAUCAACCUUGCAUACUCCUCAUACUUCUUUUAAGCUACAGAAUGUUUUACAUGUUCCUUACAUGAAACAUAAUCUCUUAUCUGCUUAUCAGUUUCUUAAGGAUAAUAAUUGUUCAUUGACUCUUGACCCUUAUGGAUCCACUGUCAAGAAUCGUAUUUCGGGGAAGAUACUUUUGCGGGGACCUGUUAUAGAUGGAUUCUACCCUCUUCAAAGUUCCAGCAAUUCUUCACUUUCAUCUCCUUCAGCUCUGCUCAGUGUCAAAGCUUCUGUCAACGUUUGGCACCGAUGCUUGGGUCAUCCAUCCUCUUCUAUUUUGAGACGGGUCAUUUCUACUAAUAAACUGGCAUUACAAGGCAAGUCCACUAUUGAUUUCUUCUGCUCAGAUUGUGCACUUGCCAAGAAUCAUAAGCUUCCUUUUGGAGUCUCUCCUUCAACAACAAGUCACAGUCUUCAACUUCUGCACAUGAUCUGUGGGGUCCAGCAUCUGUUAUCUCCAAUAGUGGUUUCAAGUACUAUUUGUUUGUUUAUUGUUGAUGACUUUAGCAAAUAUAGCUGGUUCUUUCCUUUGAAGUCCAAGUCAGAUGUAUUUUCUACAUUUGUUGUCUUCAAAUCUUAUGUAGAAAAUUUACUUGGAAAUAAAAUCAAAGUUCUGCGUUCAGAUUCAGGAGGUGAAUUUACCAGAACCUCUUUUGCUUCCUUUCUCAGUAAACAUGGCAUUUUUCACCAAUUUUGCUGUCCACAUACUCCUGAACAGAAUAGUUGUGUUGAGAGAAAGCACAGGCAUCUUGUUGAGACAGCUCGUACUCUGCUAAUUGCUUCUCAUGUUCCUCAUAUCUUUUGGGUUGAAGUUUUCUCCACUGCCAUCUAUCUCAUUAAUCGGCUUCCCAUCUCUGGUAUUUCCACAUCACCAUGGGAAUUAUUAUUCAAGCAACCCCCAGAUUACUCUAAACUCAAAGGGUUUGGUUGCCAAUGCUUCCCUUGGCUCCAACCCUAUGUUCAAAGCAAAUUAGAUGCCAAGAGCAAAAGUUGCACAUUUCUCGGAUAUAGUCUUCAACACAAAGGCUAUAGGUGUCUUGAUCCACUUACAAAUAGAAUUUAUAUCUCCAGACAUGUUGUCUUUGAUGAAAGUUCUUCUCCAUUUCAGUUACUACAACCUUCCUGUUUCAGUCCCAAUACAUCAUCACCAGCAAGCUCUUCAUCUAUGAAUCUUUAUUUUGAUAAAUAUAUUCCUCAUCUCUCCACUAGCAGUGCACCAUCCAUUCCAAAUGCUUCUGCUUCUACCUCCGAUUCUCCAAAUCCUUCUUCUUCUCAACCCAUUUCAGUCCCUGCUUCUUCCAGUUCUGAUUUUGUUUCAGAAUCCUCCCCAUUGCCCUAAAGUCAGUCAAAUCAUUCUCCUAUUCCUAUUAAUUCUCAUCCCAUGAUCACAAGAUCCAAGGCUGGCAUUUAUAAAUCUACACCUCAAGCUUAUGCAGCAACUAAGCAUCCUCUUCCUGUUGACAUUGAUUUUGUUCCCAGUAUAUACCUGCAAGCUUCUAAGCAUGCUCACUAACGAGCUACAAUGCAAGAUGAGUAUAAUGCAUUAAUCUCUACUGGUACUUGGUCAAUCGUCCACUCUCAUCCUUCCCACAAUGUAGUUGGAUGUAAAUGGGUGUUUCGAGUUAAGAAAAAGGUUGAUGGCACUAUUGACAGAUAUAAAGCCCGUCUAGUGGCAAAUGACUUUCAUCAACAAGAAGGUAUUGACUUCCAAAAGACCUUUAGUUUGGUUGCCAAGCCAGUUACAAUUUGGAUCUUACUAACUCUUGUUGUCCAAUAUAAUUGGUUUCUCAAUCAAUUGGAUAUAAGCAAUGCCUUUCUUCAUGGUGACUUAAAGGAGAAUGUCUACAUGCACCAACCUCCUGGGUUUGUUGAUCCAAAUUUGCCUCAUUCUAUUUGCAAGUUGAAGAAAUCCCUAUAUGGACUAAAACAAGCUCCUCGAACUUGGUUUGAUAAACUAUUUCAAGCUCUUCAUUCUCUUGGGUUCCAACAAUCUUCAUUUGAUGCCUCCUUGUUUGUUCUUAAUGGUCCUCAUUUGGUUAUUGUUCUUGUGUAUGUUGAUGACAUUCUAGUAACCGGUCCUAACUCUCAACUCUGUCAACAGUUUAUCACACAACUCAGUUCUCAGUUUCCAGUAAAGGAUCUUGGUCCUUUACACUACUUCUUGGGCUUAUAAGUACACAGAUCCUCACAAGGAAUUUUUGUUCAUCAAACCAAGUACUUACUUGAUCUUCUUAAGAAAACCAACAUGGAGGGUGCCAAACCGUGCUGCACACCACUCAGUUCCAAGAAAUUAGAUAACAGUGGGCCUCUCUUGUCCAACCCCACUGAAUAUCAUUCUAUUGUUGGAGGGUUACAAUACCUAACUUGGACUAGACCAGAUCUUGCUUUUGCUGUCAACUAGAUCUACCAAUUCAUGCAUGCUCCCAGGGAACAACAUCUUUAGGCAGCUAAAAGAGUUCUCAGAUUUCUUAAAGGCUCUCUUUCCCACGGUUUGUGGUUCACAAAGGGUCCAAUCCAUCUUUCAACAUACUUUGAUGCUGACUGGGCUGGCUGCACUUUUGAUAGAAGAUCUACAAGUGGCUAUUGUGUGUUCUUAGGCUCCAAUCUCAUUAGCUGGAGUGCUAAGAAACAAAGUACUGUUGCACGGUCCUUUAUAGAAGCUGAAUAUCGCUCAUUAGCUUAUACAACUGCAGAACUCACUUGGGUUUGCAAAAUCCUCAGAGAUCUUCACUUCCCCAUCCCUACACUGCCUGCACUUUGGUGUGACAACAUCUCAGCAAUCUCCCUAGCAUCUAAUCCUGUCUUUCAUGCUCGUACAAAGCAUGUUGAGAUCGAUUACCACUAUAUUCGGGAAUUGGUUCUAGCUAAUCUUCUCAAAGUCCAGUAUGUUUGCAGUGAAGACCAAUUAGCUGAUCUUCACACCAAGUCCCUAUCCAAAAGUCGAUUUCAGUUCCUGUGCUCCAAGCUUCCAAUUGGAAUCUGUUCUGAUUCCCCUUCUAGCUUGAGGGGGUGUAUUAGGGAAAAUGAUAAGUCACCCAUUUCAGUUACUGUUAAAUAGUUUGUUAUCUCUAAAUGUAAUUAGUUGUGCUAAUGUUUGUGAUUAGUUAGAACUGUUAUAAGGUUAGGUAGUUAAGGGGUAUCUUUGUAAAUAGCCAAAGGCGAUAUAUAUAUGUCUUCACAGUGUACAAAUUAACUAUUCAAAAAUAUAAUUGAAAGCUUACAGAGGAAGUUUCCAGUUUCUAUAAGGAGUGCUUGACUCUGGAACUUGGCCGGAAUCUGACAGCUUCAAUGACACUGGAUUUGGUCCACCACCCACAAGCUUGAAAGGCACAUUCCAACGCUCUGGUAGUUUUACUUGCUACAAGUAAGCCAUACUAGAUUAUCCUAUUAUUAUUCGCAUUUAUCUUGAACCGAAUUUAUACGAUAUUUGAACAGUAAAAUUAUUGGGGCACUUUAUUACCGUGCUAAUGGAUUUGACGUAGGUGAUGCCCAAUCUCCAAGAGACACCCAUGGCCAUGAGACUCGCUGCAUCAACAGCAGCAGGGAACUUGGUCAACAAUGCAAGUCUAGAUGGUUUGGGGAUGGGGACAUCAAGAGGACCGGUGCCAUCAGCACAAAUUGCGGUGUACAAAAAAUGUUUGAUAAAGGGUUUAACCGUUUAUGCUUAGUACUGAUCACUUAGGUUCUUUGGAUGAAUGUAUAUAUGGGUAUGGAUGGUGUGGUGCUGUUUUACUUUUACCCAGUGAAAAGAAGCAGCUCGUCACAACAACAAGGUUAUGGGACUUUAUUGGGUUUCGGAAAGAGAGUCGAGUAGCAACAAUCUUCACGAAAGCAAUAUCAUUGUAGCCAGGAGGAUCUCACCUUAUCAUAUGAUCCUUCAAUCAUAUCCGUUCAUCUUAAAUCGUGCGAUAAAAAAUUAUUGUAAAUUUUUUUUAUUUAAAAUUGAAUAUAAACAGUAUAUGAGAAAAGCUAACCGUACGAUGUACUAUGAACGGAUGUGAUUAGAGGAUCCGGUGAGGAUCCUCUCUCUCAUUGUAGGAGUGGUUGAUACUGGAAUUUGGCCAUAAUUUGACAGCUUUGAUGACACCAGAUGUGGUCCACUAUCACUGACCUCAAAAUGGAAAGGCACAUGACAAUCCUCAGUAACGCAAGUAAAUUAUAGCAAUGGUUCUUCAAUUUUAACUAAAUUAGAACAAUGAUUCUUCAACUAAUAUCCUAAUUCAUUGGUCUCUCAACUCAUCAAAACGUCUAUCUAUAAUCAUUUUCGUCAACUCCAUCAAAAUUUUGUCAAAAUAAGUUAUGUUGAAAGGAUCAUUGUUAUAAUUGGGUUAAAGUUGAGAGACCAUUGCUUCAAUUGAGUUAAAGUUGAGGGACCAUUUUUUUCAUUUGAAUUAAAAUUGAAAGACCAUUGAUACAAUUUUUCUUAUAUGAUUUUCCAUAUUUGCCACUUGAGUUAACCUUACAUGCAUAUGACACGUGACUUAUUUUAACCAAAGUUCUAACAGUGGUGAUGAAAAUGACUAUAGUUGCACGUUUUAAUGAGUUAAAUGACUAAUGAUAAUAAAUUUUUAAUUCAGAAACAAUUGCUUUAAUUGAAUUAAAAUUAAGAGAUCAUUACCACAAUUUACUUUUAUUAAAAAGCAAACUAGUUUGUUGUCUUCUACUCCAAACGAUGACUUUUGAAAACAUUGGGAAAUAGUAAAAGCCUAUAGCUCUCAACUAGCUCAUGAGCUUUUUUUUUGGUUUAGUCCAAAGAAAAGAGGCUCAUGUUUGAAUUAUGAUAAUCAUAGCAUGCCUAUAUGAUGUCUAGUCCCCACGAGACGCAGACGGCCAUGGUAUUCACACCGCAUCAACGGUAGCAGGAGCUUUGGUAGCAGUGCUAGUCGUGAUGGCUUUAGGUUGGGUACAGCAAGAGGAGGGGUGCCAUCAGCACGUAGUGCGGUGUACAAUGUAUGUUUGGGCCUUUGGCAUCAGAUGACUGCGUAUGAUGAUAUUCUUGCGUCAUUUGAUGACGCUAUUGCUGACGGUGUUGAUGUAAUUUCAAUCUCCAUCGGUUCGGUGGAAUUUUUUUUGUGGUCACUGUAUUUAUGCUUAGAAUUUAGAAAACUUUAAUAAAAAGUUAUUAAUACUGUUUAUUUUAACGAAAAAUCGUAUUUUUAUUCUAAAAUAUCAAUUAUGAUACUAUUUACUUAUAACACAUUUACGUCAUUUUUGUUAAAACUUAAAGUUUUCAAUUCUUUUUCAUUAAUUUUCCUUAGAAUGUAUUUUAGUCAAUUUAGCUAGUUUAGUCACUGUGUUAGACAAAUUUUGCAAUUUAUGUCCAAAAAUGUUAUUUUUUUUCAUCUUAUGCAUAGUAUUAAAGAUAUUAUUUACAUUAGGGGAGGUAGUUUAAAUUUUUCUUUAAUGGAAGUCGAAUUUAAGAGUACUCAGUUACAAAUGAAGACUAAUAUCACUAGAUUGUGGUAACAAACUCUCUUCCGUCCGGCUUACCCAACCACCCACAACAUUCCCUUCCAUAUCUCUCUCUCUCCCUCUCUAACCAACCGGUACGGUACUUCAUCUCCUCCAUCAACCUCAAAUCGCACAUAAGAGGUUACAACAAUAAGCAUUCCAAAAAUUUUGAACUUUGUCUUUAUACUCUUAAUGAAUUUGUGUAACUACUAUGAAGGCUGACGGUGGGGUAGUGGGAGAGGAGUGAAAGAGACAGAGGUGGGGAAGGGGCCUGCAAGUGGUGGGAGAGCGGUGGGCCAUGGACUGCAGGUGGUGUGGGAAGGCGAGGGGGGUUGGUUGCUGGUUUUGGAUGGCGGGGAAUCAAUCGCCAUAGGAUAUUUUCACGCAUGAAAAGGGAUAUUGACUUCCAUUGGCGCUUGUAACAAGGGUCCACAGCUGAACAAUGUUUCAAACUUCGCACCAUGGUCUCUUUCCGUGGCUGCUAACACCAUUGAUCGGAAGUUCGUUACCAAGGUUCAGUUAGUAACAAUACAACUUAUGAGGUCAGUUCCCCAUCGAUCGUAUGCGCUCACGUAAUUUUAUUUAAUUGUUCUAUAAUAGAGAAUAAUGUUUGAGGUUGUUUCUCUAUUUGCUUCAUAUUUUAGGGAAUUAUAAUGAACAUAUAUGACCGCAAGAGUCAAUUGUUUCAGUGUUGUUUCUACCGUGUAUUAUAGGAGACAAUUAUCUUAGUGUUGUCUGACUUAAAUAUUCAUGUGAACAUCACAAUCACGACAUUGUUGUGCAAACCUGAAAAGUGACGAAACUAUAGCAUAAAAGUGAUGUGUAAAAAGUACGAAUAGAAGAUUGAAAAUAAAACAAGAGUAAAUGUGUGCAGUAAAAGUGAUCAACUUUAAAUAAACGUACUAAAUGAAAAUCAUAUCAUCUCAAUAUCUACAAAGAAAGUGUACAAAUCAUAGCAUCUCAAUAUCUACAAAGAAAGUGUACAACGUAACACGCCUGAAGAUAUUAAUUAUAAAAAUACUAGACUAAUUACUACAAGGAUGAGAGAAGAUUAUGCCACCAUACCUCGACGUCCAGAGCUCCAAAUCCUACUAAAUUUUGGAGGAGCACAAAACAAAGAGUGUGACAGACACAAAUAAAGAUUUCUACAAAAUCAUUUAUUUGUUUAACAUACUAACACCUUACUGUAAAAACUCAUAUGAGAGACGCAUGUAUUACCAGCAAGCAAAAGCUACCUUUGGAGUUUAUAUUAUUUUUUUAUCCAUGUAAUCAAACUCGGAUUUGUUUGUUUAAUUAAUAAAUAUAUUUUUUAAUGAGAAAGACAUGGCCCAAUUUAGAUUGAGUUUUUUCUCAAAAUUUUAAGUAGUUGAUUCAUAAAUUUUCGUGCUUAAGAUAGAAAUUGUUUAUAUUAUAUAUAAAUCAUUACGUAAAGAUCAUUUGUAUAAAAAAUCAAUCAAAAUUAAAGUUGUUUAGUCAAUUAAUUGUAACAAAUAGAUAAAUAGUUUAUUUACUUAAUCCAUCCAUUUAUUUUUAUACAUUCCGGUCAUUAAAUGAUAUCAUAUUUAAGUGACUUUUUUUACAAAUAUGAUAUUUAUAGCGUAAUUUAUAAUAUAAAUAAUUAUAAUCAUAAAAACAACUUGUCGUGAAUUAGCCACAUAAUAAAUUGAGAAGGAUUUCCUUCUCAUCCAUUGAAGAGCCAAAAUGCAUUUCUAUUUUGAUUUGGGCCUCACUUCCCAUGUCAAUUACUUUGAUUUGAUUGUACUAUUAGUUGAUAAUUGAAACGAGAGUUAAUUUCAGUUUACUGUUUGAAAGUAUUUUUAUUUUCAACAUCUGAUACAUUAAGGUUAUUUCAUUCCAGGGUAGUACAUGAAGUUAAAAUUUUGGAACACUUUUAUAUAUUUGUUAAGAUUGGUUUUAAAUUAGUUGUUAACUGAUGAUAUGACGUUUAUGUGAAUAAUGACUAGAGAUCACGUGUCAAUAUAGAAUCCAUAUAAAUAUUAAAAAAUUUAGAAAUUAAUAAUAAAAAAAAUUAUUACUUUGAAAACAAGGAACCAGGAACGUAUGGAAUUGAUGAUUUGAACAGGUGCGAAAGAAGAAAGAAAAAGGAAUAAGCAGAGGCCUGGAAAGAAAAGGUAGAAAAGGAAUUGAUUCUUCGAGGGGGUGGGGUGGCGGUGGAAGUUGGUGGGGGUUUUGGGGACUUAAGGAUUUGGUGCAUUGCAGAACCUCUAGUAAGCCCUUUUAUGCAAUUCUACAUCGAGUUGAAGUUGGCUUAGUAAUAGAUUUGGAACCAGUAAGUCCAUCUGAUGUUCCAGUGACUGCUGCGGGAGCACUGAAAUCUUAUAAGUGUGCAGCCAAAGCCAUCUCGAAAUUGCAGUCUUUGCUAAGCGGGGAUAUAUCAUUAUUAAAAAAAAAUCUGGUUUUGGCUUCAGCCAGUCUUCUCCGGCCGCUAGGUUUGGCUCUCCACCGCCGUGAAAUUUGGUAGGUGUGGCUCUCCAUCACCGUCUGCUCCGGCUUCUCCGGCCGCUGAGUUUGGCUCUCCACCGCCAUCAAAUCUGGUAGGUAGGGCCCGGAUGUUUGAGUUCACGGGGUUGUCCAUCCUCGCUCUAGAAUCGUCCCAUUUCCGAUAUUUUCCUUCACAGUCCAGUGGACCCCAACGCCUUGAAAUUCUUGUUCCUCAAGUUGUCACCCGUCAAAUCUAGAAAUGGGUCGGGUUAGGAUAUGGUGGUUAGGGAGAGGUGGGUCGGGUAUGGAGGGAUUAGGGACAGAGGAGAGUUGAGUCGAAAAAAAGAGAUUUUUCAGUAUGGUUGGAACACGGAAUAAUAUAUUACAUGUCAUUAUAUAAAUGGUGGGAUAUGUGUGUUAAAAAAUUAAUAACUUAAAUAUUUGAAUUUUCCAUCACUUAUAUGAAAACACGUUAUAUACCACUUGUGUUCUAGUUACAAUGAAAAAUUUAUCGUCGAAAAGAACAGGGGAGGUGGCCCAUAUUGACAUGUGGCGUUUAUUCAUUGUUCACGUGAGCGUCACGUCACUAGUUAACGGUUGAUUUAACAACCUUAACGAGUGUAUGAAAGUGUCGUAAAAUUACUUCAGCUACCACUCUGAAAUGAAAAAAACUUUACGCAUCAAAUGUUGAAAACUAAAAACUUCAGAGUAGAACAUUGAAAUUAAUCCUUGAAACAAACAUUUACUCCUUAUAUAAAGGCACUGAAGAAAAAUCCCACUACACCAUCCAUAGGUGUAUAUUUUUGUAAUUAUUUUACUUUUUCUGUUUUGAAAAUUGAUAAAUUAUAUUGAUAAAGUAAAUGAUUACAACCAAAGUAAAUUGUAGCAAUAGUUUCUCAAUUUUAAUUAAAUUAGAGCAAUGAUCCCUCAACUAAAAAUUCAUUACUAUUAGUCCAUCAACAGUCAAUUCAUCAAAACGUGUAGCUAUCGUUAUUUUCGUCAACUCCAUUAAAAUUAUGUCAAAAUGAUUUAUAUUGGAAGUACUAUUGCUACAAUUGAAUUAAAGUUGAGAAACAAUUUCUCCAGUUGAAUCAAAGUUGAGGGACCAUUGAUACAAUUUUUCUUUUUUGAUCUCUCAUAUUUGCCCCUUGAUUUAGCCUCACGUGUAUGGCACAUGACUCAUUUUAAUGAAAGUUCUAAUGGAGUUGAUGAAUAUGACCAUAGAUGUAUGGUGAGUUGAGUGACCAAUGAUAAUGAAUUUUUAGUUGAAUGACCAUUGCUCUAAUUAAGUUGGAUAAUUGCUACAAUUUACUCUUAUAACCAUGAGGGUAAAAAAGUCAACUCAUGUCAUAAAGAAUUAGGCAAAGCCAUGCUAGACACCCAACAUGAUCAUUAUCGAAUUCUAUUGGUGAGGAUCAUGAUGAUUCGUAAAUUGUGUCUGUUUAUCGUACAUUGUGCAAUCAGUUUUUAUCAUGUACUGUUUGUAUUUAAUUUUAAAUAAAAAUAUUUAAAAUAAUUUCUAACCAUACGAUGUACGAUGAACGUAUAUAAUUUACGGAUCUCCGAGAUUCUCACAAAGAAAAUCCGGACACGCUAGACACGAGAACCCUUACUGCAAUUCUAAUGCAACCUCCUUUUUUCCCACUUAAGAGUAAUAUGGGAAACUAAUUUUACCUUUGUCUUUUAAAAAAACAAAUAAAAAAUUAUUAUUAUUAAAUGGAUGGGGUAGAAUUCAAACUAAUUAAAUCAUUAAGGGGAGACGAGAGUUUUGGGACAUACACUGUAGGAACAAAAUUUGAAGCACCACUAUAAGAGCAAUUCCACCCCAUUCCAAAUGUCCCAGCCCCCAGUCCAAAAAUCAAACUAAUCCUCAGUCCAUUUGCUCCACCCCACAAAGCUGACUGGCACCCAGCCCAAGCCAGGCGCCAGCCCAGCCUGUUUCGGACAGACCCAGGAACUGGGCAAAAUACACGGCGCGUGCACGACACGCGGGAGCUGAGGCGAGUAGCCGACAAGGAAAAGGUGGGGCUGUCAGCCCACUUGUGUCCCGUCCCAGGCAAUCUCUGAGCCGUUGGAUUUCCAAUGGCUAGUUUAUCUAGACCGUUGGAUUUCCAACGGUAAAAAAAAUUAAAAAAUUAGUUUUAAAAUGGACCGUUUGAUCACAGAUCAACGGUCCACGUUUUAGACGAAAAAAAAAUUAAAUAAAAGGCCCCAACGGUCAGAUUUUUUACCGUUGGCCACGUGGCGUGAUCUUAGCUAUUGGAUUUGAAUUUUUUCAAAUCCAACGGUCCAGAUUAAUUAACUAAAUUAAAAUUUAUUAUAAAAUUAUUAAAAAAUACAGAAAAUUUUUAAAAAAUACAGAAAAAUUUGAAAAAAAUUUAUAUUUUUUCCUAUAAAUAUCUAACCCUCAUCUUCCACCUUUACACCACAUUACAAUAUUUUCUACACUUUCUACACUUUCUACAUAUCAAUAUUUUCUACAAUUUGAGAGAAAAAAAUGUCUUCGUGGAAGGUUAUUGAAGAUGUUACGUUGUGUGAAUGUUGGGUUCACACUACUCAUGAUCCGAUUACGGGUAAUGAGAUGGAUAAGCGAGAGAUGUGGAGUAAAAUUACGAAAGCGUUUUGUGAUGUACAUGGAGAAAACGCCAGAACUAGUCAAGGUCUUCAAGUCGUUGGAAAAAACUCAACGCAUCAUUUACUUGUUGGAAAAACGCCAUCUCUCAUGCUUCCGGUAACCUCACAAAAUAGUACGUUCGGAUAAUGACACGUGGCAUGACGUGAUUGGUUGAAAAUCUUAUCGAAAUCUUGGCUAAAUUAUUGUACCAUGGAAGUGACACGUGGCGUGUCGGGAUUGGUUGAAAAUAAUAUCGGAAAUCUAUUCACAAAAUAGUACGUUCAGAUAAUGACACGUGGCGUGACGAGAUUGGUUAAAAAUCCUAUCCGAAAUUAAAACUAUUUUAUUUUUUUAUUCUUUAUUUUAAAUGGGUUAAAAAUCUUAUCCGAAAUAAACUUAAAAAAAAAACACACCAAAUAAAUGCGCUGGGUGCCAGCGCAUUUUUUUAGGGGUGGAGAUGCCUUGGCCUAUUACUGUUCACUCCAGUCUAUUACUGUUCAUUUGAGUGGAUAAAUGCGCUGGGUGCUGGCGCAAAGUCCACAGGGGUGGAAUUGCUCUAAACGCUGUAAACCCAUAAAGAUUUCUCGAAGAUCAUGAUGUCCCCGCACUUGAUUUGGUGUGAAGAUGCUAAUGUAAAGUGGAAGGGAAAACAAAUCAUGAGCAAAGUAAAAUAAUACAACUUUGACCAAACCUAUUUACUAAGAUAUUAAAUUACAUGUCAACUAGAAUAUUAUAUUGCAUGUCAAUUUUACCUAUAUCUCUACUAUGGGAAAGUGGUGUGGACCAAAGAUGAUUCCACUUCUGUAUGGAAAUGAGUAUGGAAAUGAGAAUAUAGGAGAGCUUGUGUCUAAAAGUGCUUUUCUCUUUUCUUUUGUAAGUGUAGUUGAAAUGAGAGCACUAGCGAAUGACAAUUGCUUAUAAGAGGUUGAGUUGUUAUUGUUAAUUAAUUUUAUGGUGGAAAUUCAAUUUUUUUCAUGGUAUUAAAGUAAGUUGACUAUUUUGUGAAACACAACGGCCACAUAUGCUCCAUGUCACUCAAUUCGUGUUUUCCAUAUGUUUGGCUUGAAAAUUCAUUACACGCAGUAGGAACAUGUGAGGAUGUGAAGGUAAAAAAGUUACACAUCGAUGAAAAGAGAAACCUUGUAAGGGCAUUUAAGAGGUUGAAUACUCCUCAUAUUUUUAAUUGAUUUUAUGAUAAAAUCUCAACUUUCUCCAUUUAUUUCCUGAAAGCAUGAUUAAUCAAGUAAUUAUUUAGCGAUCGAUCGCACACAAAUGGAAGAACCAAUUCUGUAGAAAUGGAGUCCUUUCACAUUUGAAGUCGUGGACUUAUUUUUCGUUUUGCCUUUCGGAAGCAGACGUCAAUUAUUGUUGCUGCUUGAUUUGAAAUGUUUCCACUCCCUUGCUUCCCUCGAUACUCACUUAAGCAACAGGCUGGGGUGGGGAUUCAUUUUAAAACAGCAAGAUAUUAUUAGGAAAAUGUAUUGUAAAAUCAUUUAACGAUUACUUAUAAAAACACUUGAUAGGCUAGCAUUAGUAAAAAUUUAAAAAUGAUUUUCCCACACUUAUUUUAAUUUUUUAUUCGACGAUUAAAAUUUAAUAAAAACAGAAAUGCACGAGAAGAAUAAAGGUGUGGAAAUCAUUUUUUGGGUGAAAGCACUAUCAGAAAUAGUCAAAUACCCCAAAAUAUGUUCAAAUACUCCAAAAAUAAAGGACAAAAUAAAAGGAGUUUUAAUAAAACACUUUCAAUACUAUUUACUUUUAAUAAAAAAUUAUAUUUAUCCUUUUCUCUAAUACUAUUUACUAUACCUAUAAAAAUAAUUUUUCAUCAAACACGUCUUGCGAAAAGCGUUAAUUGGGCUAAAGUAUAGUCUUUCAAAUGGGCAUCCAACUUUAAAAAAGUGCGAUAAUUGUAGGGAAAUAGUGUAAAGUGAAUGCAGUACUGCUAUGACUAAGAGUGUGCGAAUCAUUCGGAUUCGGAUCCUCUACUCGGUUUUAUUGUGUUUGUUGUUUACUCGACUGUUAAUUCUCACCGCACAUCACAAUUCAAAAGUGUUUGAGCAGAAGAGUGGUGGAUUUUUAGUAUGUGGAAAUGAAAAAAAUUUGGAACACAUAAAUUGCAACAUGUGAAAUGCAUUUGAAAUAAAAAAAUAAAACAUAAAAACAUCAACCGUACGAAGAGGAGUUUUAUUGAAUUCCGAGAACUUUUUUUUCAUCUUGUUUAAAUUAAAGAGUCUUAAUUUGAUUUUUUUUUAAUUAAGAUGGUUUAAUCAAUUGUCUACUCAGCAAUUUUGUAUUUAUUUAAUAUAUAUUCACAUAAGCAAGCUAAUAACUAUUUCAUACAGUCUAAGGAUUUUAAAUUCGUGACUUUAUUAAUUAAAAAUAUUAAUUUAACUAAUUCCUUGUUGUCAUUGUAAGUGACCAUUUACUAUAGUGGUGGAAAGGUGGUGAGUCCAUUGGUGACUUUAUUAAUUUAAUGAUGUGGGUUCAAACUUCAUUGGUGGCUAAUCUAACAUCUAAUUAAAUAAUAUAUUGUUUGACCAAAAAAAAAAUUUCCUUAUUGUCAGUAAAAAAAGAGAGAAUUUUUUAUUUCUGUUCUUAUAUUUAAUUAGUCUCUUGCUUCACUAAAAUAAAGUUAUUAAUACUUUCAUAAGAAAGCUUCAUUAAUUUGGUAAAAUUUUACACAUAGUUAUAUAAAUGUAUUUAAAACUUAUGGUACAUUUGAAAAAUUGGAAAAUAAACGUACCGACUUUUGGUACGUUUAGAUUUUAAAUGAACUAAUAAACAAAUGUACCAUAAAACUAAAAUUACCCAUAUUAUAGGUAAUCAAAUGUACCAAUACAAUCAAACGAUCAUACAAUCAAACGUACAUGUACUAUGAUUAUGUAUGUGAUAAUGAGUUUUGAAUAUUCGAUUUAAUUCACUAAACUAAUUAUUAUAAUAAACAAUAAAAAAUUUAAAAUCUCCAGAAUGAGAGAUGCAUGUAACUAUAACAAAUUCAUAGGUAAAGAAUGAUAGGUAAAAAAGGAAAACGAAAGUAAAGAUGCAAUGUGAAAAUUUUUAGGGUGGCUAGCAAACAAUUUCAUGAAUAAAAAGGUAAAAAAAACAGAGGAACGUCUAAAAUUGAACUUUUAAUAAAAUGAAAUUAAUCACUAAAACUGUAGGGAAAAUGUUUAAUCAACGAAAUUGAAAAACGAGGUGUUUAUAUCAAAAUGCCCCUAAACUAUGUAAAAUAAUCAUGGGAACACAAACCAUACCACUAAGAAUAAAGAGAAACUGCAAAACGUGAAAUACAUGGCUUUUCAUUUUUAGUAUAAAUACAUGAUGGUGUUCUUGGAUGAGAUUGUCCAUCUUUUACAUGCUUUCCAGAACUUCGCCACAAUGGCUUUGACUCCAUGGUUUCUCCUUCUCCUUAGCCUUAUAUCUACUCUGCUAGUUGAUGUCACUCUAUCUGCUGCUCACCAGGAUAACCGGAAGGCAUUCAUAAAAUAUGCAUUUUGAACAAUUCCGUUUCUCUGCUCAAAAUAUGUUCAUUAAUUAAUUUAAUCUUCUGAUCUUGGAUAUAUUAACUGCAGGAUUAUAUUGUGUAUAUGGGUGACAAGCCAAAGCCUGAGGUUUCCACCACUACCACAUCAGCUCUUCAUGUAAACAUGCUACAAAACGUCGUCGAGGACAGGUUUAAUUAAUUAUCACAUAUGAUAGUGAGCUUAAUUAUAUAUACUGAUUAAACAUUAUCCGUGACAAGGGUACCAUUUAAUUUAGUCAUCUCUCGUAGCAUCUUCUCGUUGUUUUUCGAGCUUAAUUAUGGCAGAGUUUGAAAGUGUCAAAUCUUUGACGAUUUUGAUUUUUGACGUUUAUUUAUCCAGCAAUAUAGCGCAUGAAUCUCUGCUUCUGCACAGCUACAAGAGAAGCUUCAAUGGCUUUGCUGCCAGGCUAACAGAGGAAGAAGCACAGAAGUUGGCUGGUUGUCUUAUGAACCCAACUUCAAAUUAUUUUUUAACUUGCAUAAACAUUAAUAGUGACCAUUGUAUGACGAGAAAAAUAUAUGCAGGAAUGGAUGGUGUUGUGUCUGUUUUCCCUAGUGAAACUAAGAAGCUCCAAACAACAAGGUCAUGGGACUUCAUUGGGUUUCCUGAAAUGGUGAAGAGAAGCGCCAUUGAAACUGAUACCAUUGUCGGGAUGAUUGACUCUGGAAUUUGGCCUGAAUCUGCCAGCUUCAGUGACGCCGGGUUUGGUCCACCCCCCAAAAGGUGGAAAGGCGCAUGCAAGGGCGAAGGCAAUUUUACUUGCAACAAGUAAAGCAAACCAGUUUAUUUCAACCAUCCACUGCACAUUUCAAAAAAAAAAAAAAAUCCACGUGAUGUUGUUAAUUACACUUGGACAGAAAAAAAAAUAAAGUGCAAACUUGAUUAUAAUUUAUAUGAUAUGUUGUUAAAUUGUAACUCUUACUAAAAUAUUAUGACAUAUUUGUUACACUUGGACAGUAAAAUUAUCGGAGCACGAUAUUACCGCAGUCAACCCUACCCCAAAAAUAGCAGUGACGUCAUGUCUCCGAGAGACACGGAAGGCCAUGGAACCCACACUGCAUCAACAGCAGCAGGGAACUUAGUUAGCAAGGCAAGUCUGUAUGGUUUAGGGUUGGGGACAGCAAGAGGAGGGGUGCCAUCAGCACGCAUUGCGGUGUACAAAGUUUGUUGGUCAGACGGGUGCCCGGACGCUGAUAUUCUAGCGGCAUUCGAUGAUGCCAUAGCUGACGGUGUUGACAUACUCUCUGUCUCCCUUGGGGGCCGUAAACCGUUAGAUUAUUUCAGAAAUGCCAUUGACAUUGGAGCUUUUCACGCUUUAAGAAAAGGAAUAUUCACUUCCGCGUCUGCUGGUAAUGAAGGUCCAAACCUGAAAACUAUUACAAACUUUGCACCAUGGUCUCUUGCUGUAGCUGCUAGCACCAUAGAUCGCCACUUUGAUACCAAGGUUCAAUUGGGAAACCACAAAAUUUAUGAGGUAAUUGAUACAGAAUUUUGGUAGUGAUUCUGGUUGAGCAAUAUAUACACUUUUGGAGAAUCAACAAUAUAUAUAUAUAUAUAUGCUGAAGAUGCACCAAAAUACUAGAGAAGUGAUUAACAUGAGAGUUGAUUAUGAUUUGUUUUUGCUUCCUUGGUAGGGAAUAGUAACAAACACAUUUGAACUCAAGGGUAAAUUCUACCCCAUAGUAUAUGCUGGAGACGUUCCAGAUAGGGCAGCAGGUUACAAUGGGGAAACAUCCAGGUAUGUGUACGCAUUUUGAGAGUAUAUAUACCAUUUAUAUUGAAGAACCACGGUAGUCUAGCAUAAGUCUAACCAGGUGCUAAUAACAUGGAUAUAUAUAUGGAACAGGUUAUGCCAAACAGGCACGUUAGACACAAAAUUGGUGGAGGAUAAAAUUGUUCUUUGCGAUGGGCCUACUGGGGAUGGGGCAUUAUAUGCAGGCGCAUUUGGUUAUGUUUUGACAAGCCGAAAUGCAGCAGAUGUAAUCGAUCCUGUUCCAAUACCAGCAGCUUCCGUUUGGUUCCAUGUUGGUAACGAAAUUACCCAUUACAUAAACUCAACCAGGUAUCAAUAUUUGAGAAUGAUUGAUUUAAAAUAUUACUAAUGUGCGAAACUAACAUAAAUCAAAGACCCCUUAUUAUGUUAUUGCUAAUAAAUCCUGAAUCCCUGUAAUGAUUCGUAGGAACCCAACAGCAACAAUUUGGAAAAGUACUGAGGGUAGGGAUGCACUGGCCCCAUAUGUACCUUCAUUCUCAUCAAGGGGUCCAAAUCCAAACACUCCUAAUAUUCUCAAGGUAACUUCAAGGCCCCGUAUGUGUGUGAAUGCCGACUUAAAAAAUGAACAAACCGAAUCAUGAAUAUUGAGGGGUCUUAAUUUUCCUCCUUGUUUUCUCCUAUAUGUUGCAGCCAGAUAUCGCUUCUCCUGGAGUUUCCAUUCUAGCAGCAUGGCCUCCAAUUGCCCCAGUUUCAGGUGUUGAAGGUGAUGACAGAGUAGCUUCAUACAAUAUAAUCUCGGGGACAUCAAUGGCAUGCCCACAUGCUGCGGGCGUGGCUGCAUACGUCAAAUCAUUUCACCCCAAUUGGUCACCUGCUGCUAUCCUGUCAGCUCUUACGACUACUGGUAUAGAUGCAUUUUCAUAAAUGUACCCAUUACAAUACAACCGUUCUCUCACAUAUUUGAUGAGUUGUGUGACCAAUUAUUAUCAGAGAUCAUGUGACCAAGUCUUGUGAGAGAGACCCUACAUGUAAUUAGACUUUGUCCAUGAUGUACAUUGUAUUACCUAAGAUUUAUAUGUUUGAUUAAUUUGUAACGAUUUUGCAGCCAAACCUAUGAGUGCAAAUCUUAACCCUGAAGCCGAAUUCGCGUAUGGUGCUGGCCUAAUAAAUCCUAGUAGGGCUCCGUAUCCUGGUUUGGUAUACGAUGCUGCUGAAAUCGAUUACGUAAAUUUUUUGUGUGCACAUGGCUAUAGUACCAGAUUAUUGAAAGCCCUUACCGGGGAUAGCUGCUCAUCAUCACAAUCUAGUCAUGGAACACUCAGUGAUCAUCUAAACUAUCCUUCUGUUGCACUUUCCACCUCGAACCCUAAAUCCGUCAAUGGCAUUUUCAAUAGGACCGUCACAAAUGUUGGAUCACCAAAGUCCACAUAUAAAGCUAAAGUGAGUGCACCACCAGGACUUGAAAUCAAAGUUAAUCCAAGCAUUCUAAAGUUCACAUCUCUCGGGCAGAAGCUAUCGUUUCAAGUCACGGUGAAAGGGUUGAUUGAAAAAACCAUAGUCUCUGGUUCUUUGGUGUGGGAUGAUGGUAAUUUCCAAGUGAGGAGCCCCAUUGUAGUGUAUUUUGUGUUUUGACAACAAGGUAUGUGUAAUAAUGUAUGAUGUAUGAAUAAGCAACAUGAAGGGCUCCAAUGAAACAAAAGUGCAACGUACUGAUCACGAUGAUGUAUUUUAAAUGAAAAUUAAAUUAUUAUAUAUUUAUGAACCUUUAAUAUGAUGCAGUACAUCGAAAUUUGAAACAUACUCAUUUAAGGAUAUUUUAUAGUUCUCUGUGCAAUCUAAUUGUAUAUUUGAUUGUUCAUUUUUGGUCUGCAUGGGAAAUAUGGAUUUUCUCCUAUGUUGAUUACUUGAUUUAAGUCCCCAUCCCUCGUUGCCCGUUUAUACAGGUUGUAGAGUCGGAACCUUCGUGAUUAAAAACAAAAGACCGAAAAACUUCGGUGGGGACAUUUGCAAACAACUACGUAUACACAUGAAAAAUAUCAGAAUAGUGAUGCGUAAAAUAAGUUAACACACAAAAUUAAACCCUCUUUUUAUCAAAUGUAGUAAAGUAUGUAAGUAGGGAUCGUUCUAGGCCGGGGAUUAGGAGGGAUUGCUAAACACUUGAAAACUGACUUAAAAACAUAAACACAAAAUUUAAACACUAAACUAGACUCAAAGAAUGCAAAACUAUACUUUAAAAUACUUAAACAAACAUAAAACUCAAAACAGCAACCUAAUGACUCAAAACCGCCUAAAAACCACUUUCUGGGCAGUUUUGAGAACCUAACAAGAACUUGGACGAAGUUGGAUGAAAACUUGAAUCAAAACACUUAGAAACACAAAUCAAAACACUUUCUAACUAAUCUAAGACUUCAAAAUAAAGGGGGAUUUGUUUUGGACGAAAAUUGAAAACAAAACAGAAACUUUAAAACAAAACAGAUUGUAAAACGUUUUUGGAUGAAAAGGAUGGAUAAAAGGCUAGUUAGGAGGUUCUUCUCCACACAUGACACACUUGCAAACAAAAUGAUUUUCAGUUGUUCUUUCAAUAAAUUAUGAAACUCAACACCCCAAGUUAAUUAGAUACGCUUAAAUUAACCUUCAAGUUCUCCUUAAGUUAAUGAAUUGGAUGGAAAAGCGCAUACAACAAUUCAAAGCAUUCCUCAAAGGUUCCUUACGUGAUGAGCACAAUAAAGAUACAAUCAAGAAUCAUGAAGCACAAUGAGAACUAUAAGUGUUGACGAGGCAUUCGUACUAUGAUGAGCAUGAAACUAGUGCCAAGAAUUCAUUCAACGCGAUCGUUUUCAAGCGACCUUCACUACUUGUAAUUAUAAGAUUGUAACUAUUAGGUGAAACUCCCUCAUAAUCUAGCAUCAUAUUCAUGCAUGAAAACUAAGCGUGCACUCUCAAUCAACAUACACAAAUAAGUUAUCAAUCAAGUAGAUGAACGAAUUGAAUCCGCAACUUAUGAAAUAACAACUGAAUGUAAUCAAAUCAUAUUGCAAGCAUGUACAUGGUUUCGAAUCACCCCCCAACUAAGGGGGUUUAGUUCCUCAUUCUUGCAAUACAAAGAUACAUAAAAUUAGACAUUAAAAUCAAAGGUAAGAAAAACACCUAAAAUGCUCCAACUUGGAAAGCAAGUGCAUCAAUGGAUCUCCCUUCCUCCUUGUUGCGGCAUGAAGCUUGUGGACAGAUUUUUGGGUGGAUUUAUGGUGUGUAGAAUGGAUGGGGAAUGAUAUGGAGGGGUUUAGGGUGAGUGUGGAAGAGUGUUUGAUGGUUGGAAGGUGGUGGAGAACUAGGCAAAGAGGGUGGAAGAAGGUGGAGUGGUGAUUAUGUUUUCUAGGCACUAGAAUGGUGUUUUUGGGGUGUUUUGCUUCCUAGGGUGUGUAUGGACGAAUUUCUGUGAUAAAAUGAUGAAUAUGGGGGAUUGUUCUUUGGCCAAGGGGUGUAAACAUGUAUUUAUAGGCCCCAAAAACCUUAGAAAAUAAGGUUAGGUUAAGGAUGAAAUGCAUGGCAAUUUGUGUGUGUGGUGUGCAAUGGUCCAAGGGUGAAAAUGAAGUAAUGAUGCAAAGUGUGAAGGGUAAAAUGGAGUGGUGUUGUAGCUAGGGAGCAUGAAUGAUUGUGUACAUUGCAUAGAGAUGGAAAUGGAGGUGAAAUGUGUCAACAAAUGGGUCAAAGGUGCAACAACAUGUGUUGCACAUGGCAUUGGAUUCCAAAUGUGAAUGAUGGAGCAUCAAUUGGUGCAUGUAAUGGAUGUAAAGGUUGUCUAAAAUCUAAUGGGUGAAGGGAACAAGAGGUAUCAAGCAAUUGAGUGAAAUAAUUAAAUGAAUUAAAGCAUGAAAUCAGAAAUUAUGUAGGGGACAAGAGUGAUCAAGCAUGGCAUGGAAUCCAAAGGGAAUUCUAUGUGGUUUGCAUGGCAAGGAAUGCAAGUUGGGGUGACAGAUUUUUGGGCUGUUUUCUUCAUCUUUUGGACCAUAAUUCUUCAUAUUCUUGGCCUCUUUAGUUCUCAAAUUCGUCCAUCCACUUGGCCCAUGCAUUUGCUAUCCAUUCCAAGCCCGAAACAUGCUCCAAAGGCCUCCAAAAUGCAUCUUCUUGCAUACUUUGUACUUAGAGUCUUUCACUUUGCAAGUGGGCUUCUUUGCAUGUGUAUGAGUUGUCAUUGUUUAUCCUUGCAAUUACACACACACACACUUGCACACACAUAUGCCCAAAACGUCCAUCCUCAUGCAUGCAAUCCAUUUGAGCCCAAUAUUGAUCCAACAUGCACCAAAAUGCACUUUUCUUGCCAAGGUUGUUAUUAAGACCUACAAACAAAUGAAAAUGGCUUUAAACACUAAAAUAACUAAAGAAACACAACGUAAACACACAAGAACAAGCCAAUUAAGUCGCAUAAAUAUGCUCCUAUCAAAUUCCCCCACACUUAGCUUUUGCUAGUCCUCGAGCAAAACAAAGAAAUAAAACGAAACAAAACAAAUAAAACACAACCUAAACCUUCCAACAUUUGCCUCAGGGAUUUCCAAUGCACAUGACAUGUUAAAAAUCAUUAUCCCCACAGAUUUGAGUCAUCUUUACACUUAAGCACAUACUUAAUCAUAGUCACCACUUACUAGUUCACAAUUAAUCAAUUAAAAACAAUGUUUUUUGAUGUAGUAACAUGCCUUAGAGAAUUCACUCAAUUCCUUACAAGAUAUGCACUCAAUUUUCACUCAGAUUUUCCAACUACACACCCUAUACUAGUUAUAUGUGAGAAGAUUGAUGUAGAUAUGAAAACGAAUGCUCACAUAUAUGUAUCACAAAGAAAGCAAUUUCUGGAGUUAAUAAGCAUGUUUAGAUAUGAUCUCAUGAAUGGAAUGCUAUUACUUAGAUGCGAGAACCAGUGACACCAUAUGCUCAUAUCAAUUUCAAACUCCACAUAUUGAAACGCAUGACACUCAAGAUGAAGUUAAGGGUUGUAACGGGGCUUGGGGUGAUGGCUAACAAAUGAAGGAUAAGGAUAACAAUCGUUCUUAAAGCAAUAGCAAGUAAAGUAAUGAAAUUGAAACUUAGAAUUCACUUAGAUUGCAGUAAUCAACUUUUAACACGAAGGGAAGAUUCAAGCAAUAAUUAGGGCCGAAUUCUAUGUUUUGGACCCUUUCUUCAACAAGCAGCACUUUAAAACUCUUUUUCGCAUAUUUUUCAACUCUUUUUUUUUUUUUUUUUUUUUUUCAACUCUUCUUUUCUUUUCAACAAGCAUAAUAACUCACACUUCCCCCACACUUGUUUUCUGCCAUACAUUAAUCAAAAGAAAUUCAAUUUGAAUUAUGUUUUACUAUGCUUCAAGAACAAGGGUAUGGAUGGUCCUAAACUAGGCUAGGUAAGGAUAAUGUGGUUUAACAAAGAAUGUAGGCUAUCAAGGCUCAAUGGGGUUAACUUAAACAUAUAACGAUAUGGGAUACAUGGCAGUUUGGCUUUGGUGGUGGUAACUACAUAACUUCAUCUUGAAUAUGUUUUAUGCAAAUCAAUAGCAUGCUUUGAAUGAAAUAGGCAUGAGUUCUAGCAUUUGGAACUAAAUGAUGAAACGCCUUCUAAGUAAUAACCAAGCAAAGAAUAAUGAGAUCAUGCAACGACUUUAGAAAACAAGAAUGCACAGAUUUUAACUCUCCAAAUAAACGUUUAGGCUCAAGUCUCACAAGGUUGUAGCGUUAGUUUGAGUUCUUUCCUUCAAGCAUGUUACAAAAACUAAUUUUUUUCGUUUUUAUGAUUACAUGUGAUUUCAUAAGUUAUAACCACAACCACGCAUAAAUAAAGAGUAAAUCAAACUUUCAUCCAUGUUUAUAACUCUCUUUAACAGUCAUGCAAUUACAAACCGAAUCCUCAUCAUUGUGUUGGAAGGUACCCUAAGACACAGAUAAGCGCACAAAAACAACUCUUUUUUUUUUAUUUUCAAAAAACAAUUUUUUUCAAAUUUUUAUGAAUUUUCGGAUUUUUAUGUCAAAACACACUGAAACACUCCAAAACAGCUUAAAAAAUACUUAAAACAACAAGGAACAACACUAGAAUUAAUGGGUGAUAAAUUUCUACGAAUUUCAUGCAAAACAAUGGUUACCCCCCCCACACUUAAAUCAAACAUUGUCCUCAAUGUUUCAAGCAUAUACUCACACCAAAAACAAGCAAAUAACAAACGACAAAUAAACAUGACAAAUAUGGCAAAGUAAAAAAACCAGACAGAGUAGAGUUUAAGAACGCAAAUCUGGUUUUGGAGAUAGUUGAUCUUGUUGACUUUCCACAGCUUUGAACUUGAACUGGAUUGGAAUUGUACGGCGAAGCUUUUUCUCUUUGGCGAUGUUGCAAUUCCUUAUUUGUUCUCCAAGCAGAUGUGGCAGCCACGAGGGAGAGGUGUUGGUCUGUUUCUUUCUUUCCCAGUUUGCUGUUCAUUUCCACGAAGUUUAAUGUUAAAAUCCUUUGCAUAUUUGUUAAUGUUUCAAAAUAGAAAGUCAUAACCAAAAAUAAUUAAACAAGUAAUAAAAUAGACAAUCAAACAGAAUAAAUGGGUUGCCUCCCUUAAAGCGCUUGCUUUAACGUCUUCCAGCCGGACGAUGAACACCUUCACUUCUCCUUGGAACCCACGGCAUGCAGUGGGAUCUCCUCCACAACAUGUUCCACAAAGUUCUCGUAGUAUGGCUUCAAGCGAUGUCCAUUCACCUUGAAUUCUUGCCCGGUUCUCAAGCUCUUAAUUUGGACUGCACCAUGCACAAAAAGAUUAGUAACAACAAACGGGCCAACCCAUUUGGAACGUAACUUACCAGGGAAUAGACGAAGGCGGGAGUUGAACAAACAACACUUUCUGCCCAAUUUCGAAAGUCUUGCCUCGAAGCAUCUUAUCAUGGAAUGCCGUGGUCUUCUCUUUGUAAAUUCUAGCAUUCUCAUAAGCUUCAUGCCUUAUCUCAUCAAGUUCACUCAAUUGAAGCUUUCGAUGAAUUCCAGCUUGGUCCACAUUCAAAUUGAAGGUCUUGAUGGCCCAAUGAGCUCUAUGUUCUAAUUCCACGGGAAGAUGGCAAGGCUUGCCAUACACAAGUCGAAAAGGAGACAUACCAAUGGGGGUCUUGUAAGCCGUUCGAUACGCCCAUAGUGCAUCAUCCAGCCGUAAGCUCCAAUCUUUUCUCUAUUUGGCCCAACGGUCUUCUCCAAAAUCUGUUUGAUCUCACGAUUAGAUACCUCGGCUUGGCCAUUGGUUUGGGGGUGGUAAGGUGUGGAAACCUUAUGCGUCACAUGAUACUUCUUGAGUAAUGCCCCAAUGGUACGGUUGCAAAAAUGAGACCCUCCAUCACUGAUUAGCACCCUAGGCAUCCCAAAUCUAGAAAAGAUAUUAGUUUUCACAAAAUCUGCCACAACUUUAGAAUCGUUAGUUCGAGUGGCUUUCGCUUCCACCCACUUUGAAACAUAAUCAACGGCAAGUAAUAUGUAGGUGAAACCAAAAGAUGAAGGAAAAGGACCCAUAAAAUCGAUACCCCAAACAUCAAAGAUUUCAACAACAAAGAUGGGUACCUGCGGCAUUUGAUCUUUUUGGCUAAUAUUACCUGUCCUUUGGCAGCGAUCACAUGUUAAACAGAAGGUUCUAGCAUCUUUAAACAAAGUAGGCCAAUAAAAACCACAUUCAAGAACCUUAAAAGCUGUCCUUUGGGUGCCAAAGUGACCCCCACAUGCAUAUGUGUGACAAAAACUUAAAAUUGAGUGAAAAUCUGAUUCAUGCACACAUCUUCUUAUAACCUGAUCUGAACAAAUAUUUCCACAAGUAUGGGUCAUCCCAAACAUAAAAUCUAGCAUCCUUUUUAAGUUUAUCACGUUGGAAUUUGUUUAGGGUGCUAGGAACUUGUUUAGUCACCAAAUAAUUCACCAAAUCCGCGUACCAAGGCUCACUUACCUGGAUAGACAUUAGUUGCUCAUCGGGGAAGGUUUCAGAAAUUGGCGAUGCUUCCUCAUGCACCAUUCGACUUAGGUGGUCAGCCACCACAUUCUCCACGCCCUUCUUAUCCCGAAUCUCAAUGUCAAACUCUUGUAGAAGCAACAUCCAUCGAAUUAGUCUAGGCUUGGCCUCCUUUUUUGUGAGUAAAUACUUGAGAGCUGCAUGAUCAGUAAAAAUAAUAACUUUAGUACCAAGUAAGUAUGAUCGGAACUUAUCUAAUGCAAAUACCACAGCAAGUAAUUCUUUUUCAGUGGUGGAGUAAUUUAAUUGAGCAUCAUUUAGUGUCCUAGAGGCAUAAUAAAUAACAUGAGGUUGUUUGUUCUUUCGUUGCCCCAAAACAGCACCAAUCGCAUAAUCCGAAGCAUCGCACAUCAACUCGAAUGGAAGGCUCCAAUCUGGAGGUGUGAUAAUGGGAGCCGAAGUAAGAGCUUCUUUUAAUUGCUUGAAUGCCGUGGAGCAUGCAUCAUCAAACUCGAAAGCCACCUCUUUUUGAAGCAAUCGGCAUAGUGGUUGUGAAAUCUUGGAGAAAUCCUUUAUGAAACGCCUAUAAAAACCUGCGUGACCAAGAAACGAACGAACCUCUCUAACCGAAGUUGGAGAGGGUAAGUGACGAACAAGGUCUACCUUAGAUUUAUCCACUUCAAUGCCUUCUUCAGAAAUAAUAUGUCCUAGAACAAUACCUUGCUUAACCAUGAAGUGACAUUUUUUCCCAAUUAAGCACAAGAUUCGUUUUCAACACAACGUUUCAAAAUUAAGGUCAGAUUACUCAAGCAAUGAUCGAAUGAAUUACCAAACACGCUGAAAUCAUCCAUGAAUAUCUCAAUAAUUUUCUCCACAUAAUCAGAAAAGAUACUCACCAUGCAUCGUUGAAAUGUCGCAGGGGCAUUGCACAAACCAAAUGGCAUGCGCCUGUAUGCAAAGGUGCCAAAGGGGCACGUGAACGUUGUCUUUUCUUGGUCCUCCGGAGCUAUCACAAUUUGGUUAUAUCCGGAAUAUCCAUCAAGAAAGCAAUAAAAUUUAUAACCGGCUAACCUUUCUAACAUUUGAUCCAGGAAUGGCAACGGAAAGUGAUCUUUCCUUGUCAUGGCAUUUAACUUCCUGUAAUCAAUACAAACACGCCAACCGGUCACCACACGAGUGGGUACAAGCUCUUGUUCUUCAUUCUUCACCACCGUGAUCCCGGACUUCUUUGGAACAACCUGCACGGGAGACACCCAACGACUAUCAGAAAUAGGGUAUAUAACACCACAGUCAAGCAAUUUUAUAACCUCCUUCUUUACUACUUCCAACAUGGGUGGAUUAAGGCGACGUUGAGCCUCCCGAGAUGGCUUAGCUCCCUCCUCCAAAAGGAUGCGAUGCAUGCACGUGGUGGGACUAAUGCCUUUGAUAUCCGCCAAGGUCCAUCCAAUGGCAGAUUUGUGCUCCUUUAACACCCUUAUCAACUUGUCUUCUUCUUGGGCCGUGAGUGAGCUAGAUAUGAUGACGGGUAGUGUUUGAUCUUCUCCCAAGAAAACAUACUUCAAGUGACUAGGUAAUGGCUUCAACUCAAGUGUAGGUGGCUGCACAAUGGAUGGAAGUAACUUGUUAGCCAAAACCGAAUCUAAAAUUGAGAGUGAAGACUUACCAGAAUGUGAUGUCAAUGACUCGAGGGCCGCGACCAUUUCAAACACUUCACCACAAGGGGGCACGUCAAUAUGGUCAGAUUCCAUGCCGUGGGUUGCUUGGAUUCCCCCACACUUGUUUCUUGCUCCUAUGCCGUGUACUAAGGCUAUUUCAAGUGCAUCGUCGUUCAUUCGAUCCAAAUGUACCUGUGCCAAAGAAUCAACAAUGUCAAUAGCGAAACAAGAAUGGUCCUCCAUUGGAUAUUUAAUGGUUUCAGAAAGAUUAAAACGAAUAAUGUCUCCAUCAAACUCCAUGGUUAAUGUUCCCAUAAACACAUCUAUUUUUGUUCUCGCUGUUUUCAUGAAUGGUCGGCCUAGCAAGAUUGGCAAUGAUGGAGCAUGGCUUGAAUCCUCCAUUUCUAAGACAUAAAAAUCUGCAGGAAAGAUAAGAUGAUUGACCUGCACUAAAACAUCCUCAAGGACUCCCUUGGGAUAAGCGUUAGAACGAUCGGCCAAUUGAAUUAUCACGCCAUCUUGUUUUAACUCACCAAGGUUCAUUGAUGCAUAAAUGGAAUAUGGCAUAACAUUAAUAGAAGCACCUAAAUCUAACAUGCAUUUUUCAAAUCUAGUGUUUCCAAUUACGCAUGGGAUAGUAAAGCUCCCUGGAUCCUUACACUUUGGAGGUAACUUCCGUUGCAAAACCGCAGAUACAUUUUCACUUACCUUCACAACUUCUUUGUUUGAAAUUCUUUUCCUAGUUGUGCAUAAUUCUUUUAAAAACUUUGCGUACCUGGGCACUUGCUUAAUAGCAUCAAGUAAAGGAAUGUUUACUUGGACUUUUCGAAAGGUAUCCAAAAUGUCCUUUUCGCUUUCUUCUUUCUUCGAUUGUGCAAAUCUACGAGGGAAAGGAACAUUGGGCAGAUUAGUGUUCGAAAUCACAACAUUUGGAACAUUCUUACCUGAGGUGGACGGAUGGGAUGUCUUAGAUGGCUGCGGCAUGGGUGAUGGUACCCUUGCCGUGGGGUAGGUGUUCUCAUCUUCCUUGAGUUGUAUCUUCUCAUCUUCCUUGUUUCUCACCUCUUUUCCACUUCGUAAUGUGAUAGCCUUUGCAGAUUCGAAGCCACCCUUUGGAUUGACCACCGUAGUGCUUGGUAACUUACCAUUUUCACGGAAUUGCCCCAAAAAAUUCGGCCAUUUGUCCCAUUUGCUUCUUCAGCUCAUUAACCUCCUUUGCUUGGUUCUGCAUUCCCUGCGCCAUGGUGGUUAGUAACUGAUAUGUUUUAUCAUCAUUCAUAGACGUACCUGGGUUGGUUUGGGAAGAUUGUGCCUGAGGAGGUGGUUGUGGUUCCAUUGGCCUUGGAAAGAAACCCGGGGGUUGUCGGAAUCCACUUUGUUGGCCAUAUUGUGGUGCAUCUCUCCAUCUGAAAUUGGGGUGGUCACGCCAUCCCGGGUUGUAUGUAUUGGAGAAAGGAUCAUUCCUUGGUUGGUUUUGAUUCCCAUAACCCACAGCAUUGGCCGAUUCCCAUCCUCCAUUCUCAAUUAAUUGAGGGCAUUGAUCAGAUUGGUGUCCUUGAAUGGAGCAUACACCACAGAUUGUAGUUCCUUGCGUUUUGGGGCCUUCAACCAACUGCGAUAACAUAGACGUAAGGUUAGCCAUUUGGGAUUGUAACUCAGAAAUAGAACUUACCUCAUUGACAUGAUGUGGCCGUGGGGUGUCUCUUUGCCCAACACCUUCAUAUUGUUGUGCAUUGAGUGCUCGAUUCGCAAUGAGAGUUUUGGCAUCCCUAGGUGUCUUAUCCACUAGAGCUCCUCCCGCGGAAGCAUCCAACAUUUGCCGUUCAAGUGGUAAAAGACCUUCGUAAAAGUAUUGAAGAAGUAACUCCUCCUUCAUCUGAUGCUGUGGACAAGAAGCAACAAGUGAUUUAAAUCGUUCAUAAUAAGAUGGAAAAGAUUCACCUUGGCUUUGCUGAAUUCCGCUUAUUUUUUUACGAAGAAGAAUGAUGCGAGAAGUUGGGAAAAACUUCUCCAGAAAUGCCCUCUUCAUACUCUCCCAAGAUGUAACUGUACCGGGAGCCAACUCGUAUAACCAAUCCUUGGCUUUGUCCAUUAAAGAGAAUGGAAAAGCCUUCAUCUUUAAAAUACUUCCGUCAACGGUAACUGGAGUCAUACUUGAGCAUACCACUUCAAAUUCCUUCAAAUGUUUGUUCGGAUCCUCCAUGGACAGCCCAUGGAACUUUGGAAUGUGGUGGAGCAAACUUGACUUUAACUCGAACUCUUCAGUUUUACCUUGAGCAGCCAUGGGAUAUUGGAUACACAAUGGUGCGGCAUUAUCCAAACCCGAGGCGGCAAGCUCCUUGAGCGUACGGUUGUCCAUGGCUAUACCUUGCUCUUCUCCACCCACUUGUGCCGUGGCCUUCUCUUCAACCUCAACUUCUUGCUCUUCUAAUUCAGGCUCGGGACUAGGAGGAUUAGACUCUUGCAAUUUCUUUUUCCUUCUCAAAGUCCUCUCAAAAUCACCGUCAAAGUCGGAGAUAUACUCACGAACAGGUUGUGAGCUACGGGUCAUAAACUAGUACCUAAAAACAAAGAAAACAAAACAAAUCAGCAACUUAAACAGAAACUUAAACAAAAUACAAUAAUUCGAAAGAAAACAAUCCAAGAGAUUAGCAAAGUUGCUAAUCCCCGGCAACGGCGCCAAAAUUUGAUGUGAAAAAUAAGUUAACACACAAAAUUAAACCCUCUUUUUAUCAAAUGUAGUAAAGUAUGUAAGUAGGGAUCGUUCUAGGCCGGGGAUUAGGAGGGAUUGCUAAACACUUGAAAACUGACUUAAAAACAUAAACACAAAAUUUAAAAAACACUAAACUAGACUCAAAGAAUGCAAAACUAUACUUUAAAAUACUUAAACAAACAUAAAACUCAAAACAGCAACCUAAUGACUCAAAACCGCCUAAAAACCACUUUCUGGGCAGUUUUGAGAACCUAACAAGAACUUGGACGAAGUUGGAUGAAAACUUGAAUCAAAAACACUUAGAAACACAAAUCAAAACACUUUCUAACUAAUCUAAGACUUCAAAAUAAAGGGGGAUUUGUUUUGGACGAAAAUUGAAAACAAAACAGAAACUUUAAAACAAAACAGAUUGUAAAACGUUUUUGGAUGAAAAGGAUGGAUAAAAGGCUAGUUAGGAGGUUCUUCUCCACACAUGACACACUUGCAAACAAAAUGAUUUUCAGUUGUUCUUUCAAUAAAUUAUGAAACUCAACACCCCAAGUUAAUUAGAUACGCUUAAAUUAACCUUCAAGUUCUCCUUAAGUUAAUGAAUUGGAUGGAAAAGCGCAUACAACAAUUCAAAGCAUUCCUCAAAGGUUCCUUACGUGAUGAGCACAAUAAAGAUACAAUCAAGAAUCAUGAAGCACAAUGAGAACUAUAAGUGUUGACGAGGCAUUCGUACUAUGAUGAGCAUGAAACUAGUGCCAAGAAUUCAUUCAACGCGAUCGUUUUCAAGCGACCUUCACUACUUGUAAUUAUAAGAUUGUAACUAUUAGGUGAAACUCCCUCAUAAUCUAGCAUCAUAUUCAUGCAUGAAAACUAAGCGUGCACUCUCAAUCAACAUACACAAAUAAGUUAUCAAUCAAGUAGAUGAACGAAUUGAAUCCGCAACUUAUGAAAUAACAACUGAAUGUAAUCAAAUCAUAUUGCAAGCAUGUACAUGGUUUCGAAUCACCCCCCAACUAAGGGGGUUUAGUUCCUCAUUCUUGCAAUACAAAGAUACAUAAAAUUAGACAUUAAAAUCAAAGGUAAGAAAACACCUAAAAUGCUCCAACUUGGAAAGCAAGUGCAUCAAUGGAUCUCCCUUCCUCCUUGUUGCGGCAUGAAGCUUGUGGACAGAUUUUUGGGUGGAUUUAUGGUGUAGAAUGGAUGGGGAAUGAUAUGGAGGGGUUUAGGGUGAGUGUGGAAGAGUGUUUGAUGGUUGGAAGGUGGUGGAGAACUAGGCAAAGAGGGUGGAAGAAGGUGGAGUGGUGAUUAUGUUUUCUAGGCACUAGAAUGGUGUUUUUGGGGUGUUUUGCUUCCUAGGGUGUGUAUGGACGAAUUUCUGUGAUAAAAUGAUGAAUAUGGGGGAUUGUUCUUUGGCCAAGGGGUGUAAACAUGUAUUUAUAGGCCCCAAAAACCUUAGAAAAUAAGGUUAGGUUAAGGAUGAAAUGCAUGGCAAUUUGUGUGUGUGGUGUGCAAUGGUCCAAGGGUGAAAAUGAAGUAAUGAUGCAAAGUGUGAAGGGUAAAAUGGAGUGGUGUUGUAGCUAGGGAGCAUGAAUGAUUGUGUACAUUGCAUAGAGAUGGAAAUGGAGGUGAAAUGUGUCAACAAAUGGGUCAAAGGUGCAACAACAUGUGUUGCACAUGGCAUUGGAUUCCAAAUGUGAAUGAUGGAGCAUCAAUUGGUGCAUGUAAUGGAUGUAAAGGUUGUCUAAAAUCUAAUGGUGUGAAGGGAACAAGAGGUAUCAAGCAAUUGAGUGAAAUAAUUAAAUGAAUUAAAGCAUGAAAUCAGAAAUUAUGUAGGGGACAAGAGUGAUCAAGCAUGGCAUGGAAUCCAAAGGGAAUUCUAUGUGGUUUGCAUGGCAAGGAAUGCAAGUUGGGGUGACAGAUUUUUGGGCUGUUUUCUUCAUCUUUUGGACCAUAAUUCUUCAUAUUCUUGGCCUCUUUAGUUCUCAAAUUCGUCCAUCCACUUGGCCCAUGCAUUUGCUAUCCAUUCCAAGCCCGAAACAUGCUCCAAAGGCCUCCAAAAUGCAUCUUCUUGCAUACUUUGUACUUAGAGUCUUUCACUUUGCAAGUGGGCUUCUUUGCAUGUGUAUGAGUUGUCAUUGUUUAUCCUUGCAAUUACACACACACACUUGCACACACAUAUGCCCAAAACGUCCAUCCUCAUGCAUGCAAUCCAUUUGAGCCCAAUAUUGAUCCAACAUGCACCAAAAUGCACUUUUCUUGCCAAGGUUGUUAUUAAGACCUACAAACAAAUGAAAAUGGCUUUAAACACUAAAAUAACUAAAGAAACACAACGUAAACACACAAGAACAAGCCAAUUAAGUCGCAUAAAUAUGCUCCUAUCAAAUAGCAUCAUGUAUCGGUGGCAUAAAAAUCUUUACUUCUAGAUGUUGGCACAUGAUCAUGUUGUGCUAGGAUAACACCAAAACCAAUUGGAACCAACUCAAGCUAACCCACAGGAAAUAUAUCAAAUGGAAUGCAAGAACAAAAUAUAAAAGACACCAAGAUUUUAACGAGGUUCCUCAACAGUCAGUGUAACUGGAGUACGUAUUCGGAGCAGUAGCAGCUCAUCCAAUAAUCCACUAUCAACCAAAUGAGAGUUUACAAAGUGUUGGCAAUCUCACAACCUAAAACCCCAAUACACCCAAUAACUUUCACUCACCAAAGAAACAAAUAGAGAGGGAAAUAUAGUGAAUAAUUUCCUCUCUAUACAAAAGCUCAAAACUAAUACACAAAUACAACUUUGAUUGAGUGAGUACCAACAAAGAAAGAAAAUCACCUUUCUUUCUUCUCUUCAAAAUGGGGCUGCAGCACCUCUAUUUUUGCUCUCUAUUUUCUGCUGCGUUUUUCUGCUCUAUGGCUGCCUUACAACCUUUAAUCAAAAGCAGCAAUUACUUCCAAUUAAAACCCUCAGCCGCGGCUUUUCAUAGGCCAAAUAAAAAAAAAAAUUUCUCCAACAUCAUAAUUGCCAUCAUCACAAAGCAAGGAACAUCAUAAUUGAUGUCUCCCUUUUUUCCUUUUUUUAUUAGCCAAAAGAUAUCUAGUAAUUUGGCCAUUUUUUCUUUUGCUUUGUUUAAUAGCUGAAAGUUAAUGCUGAGUUGGCCACUUGGCCACAAUUCAACAAUCUCCACCUUGGCCAAGUUCCGAAAGCGCGAUGAUAAGUCAACCAACACAAUUGACACAAAAAAUCACUCCCAAACACUAGCAAGAGAACAACUCAUGCCGAGCUAAAUGCUCCAAAACUCCUACUGCUCAACGCAUAAUGUGAGCCAAGUUCAAACAGUGAACAAACUUGGCUACACCAACAACCUUAGUCAACAUAUCAGCGGGGUUGUCUUUAGUUGGAAUCUUCUGGAGAAUAAUCUCUCAUUCACCAACGACUUCACGAACAAAGUGAUUGCACACAUCUAUGUGCUUGGUCCUUGCAUGAUGAACCUGAUACUUAGCCAAAUAAAUGGCACUCUGACUAUCACAAUGUACCUCCACCUGCUUCUGAUCAACCCCCAAAUCUCUAAUCAGCCCAUGUAUCCAAAUGACCUCCUUUAUAGCUUCAACAACUGCCAUAUAUUCAGCUUCUGUAGUAGACAAGGCAACAGACGACUGCAAAAUGGACCUCCAACAAACUGGUCCUUUAGCCAUAGUAAACACAUAGCCUGUAGUAGACUUCCUUCUAUCCAGAUCACCUGCAUAAUCUAAAUCAACAUAACCAACUGCAAAAUGACCAAUACCAGAAUCAUCUCUCUCAAAGCAUAAACCAACAUCUCGAGUACCAUGGAGAUACCUUAAUAUCCACUUUGCUGCUUGCCAAUGCUCUUUACCUGGAUUAUGCAUAUAUCGACUUACCAUGCCAACUGCAUGAGCAAUAUCCGGUCUAGAGCAUACCAUUGCAUACAUCAAACUACCAACCAAAUUUGCAUAUGGUAUAUUUUUCAUUUGCAGCUUCUCUUUAUCAGUUUUAGGAUAUUGUAGAGAACUCAAUUUAAAAUGAGGAGCCGAAGGGGUACUAACCGGUUUGGUUGAAUCAUGAACUCCAAACUUCCGAAUCAACUUCUCAAGGUAUUGUCUUUGAUUCAAACUGACCAAACUCUUCGCUCUAUCUCUAGUGAUCAUCAUGCCAAGGAUCUUCUUCGCUUCACCAAUAUCCUUCAUCUCAAACUCAUUCUUCAUUUGCUUCUUCAAAUUUUCAAUCUCUUCAACAUUCUUUGAGGCGAUUAACAUAUCAUCAACAUAUAUCAACAAAUAAAUGAAAGACCCAUCUUGCAACUUCUUGAAGUACACACAAUGAUCAUAUUGACUUCUAGAAUAAUUUUGGCCUCUCAUAAAUUUAUCAAACCUCAAAUACCAUUGCCUUGGAGAUUGCUUCAAGCCAUAAAGUGAUUUCUUCAAUUUGCAAAACAAAUUCUCCUUCCCUUUCACUAUAUACCCAUCCGGUUGACACGUAUAAAUCUCUUCAUUCAAAUCACCAUGUAGGAAAACCGUCUUCACAUCAAGUUGCACAAGCUCAAGAUCAUACUGUGUAACAAGAGCUAACAUAAUGCGAAUUGAGGAGUGCUUCACAACCGGAGAAAAGAUUUCAUUGUAGUCAAUUCCCUCCUUUUGUGCAUACCCUUUAGCAACUAAUCUUGCUUUGAAUCUCACAUUGCUUUUCUCAUCAGCAUCUUCCUUCUUGGCAUACACCCAUUUGCAACCGAUAGCUUUCUUGCCCUUAGGCAAUUUAGCAAACUCCCAAGUCUUGUUCUUCAAGAGAGAAUUCAUCUCAUCACCCAUGACAUUGCACCACCUCUCAUUUUCUUCACUCUCAAUAGCUUCCUCAAAAUUGGAUGGAAUCUCAUCAGUGAUAAUAGGAAGAGCAAAAGAAACAUAGUCACUAUACCGAGCUGGCUUGGUAAUUUGUCUAUUUCCUCUGUUCUUGGCAAUAGACUCUUGAGGUGAAACUUGCUUUUCAACUUGAAUAAAAUCUUCAAGUUCAAUUUCUUCAACAUCCUCAUGGUCUCCAACCUCUUCACUUGUAGUGGCUUCGACAUCAGUGGAAAUAUGGUUUGAAGUAUCGGAGGCAACUUUCUCAAGCUCCACCUGUUGGACAUCUUUCACAUUCUUCUCAGAGCCUUUGUACAUACUUUCUUCAUCAAAUGUCACAUCUCUGCUGAUAACAAGUUUUUUCAUCUCUGGGCACCACAACCUGUAACCUUUGACACCACUACUAAAACAAAAAAAGAUAGCCUUUUUGGCUCUAGGAUCAAGUUUAUUUUCAGUCACAUGAAAAUAAGCAGGUGAACCAAAAAUACGGAUAUAGUCAUAAUCAGAAGAAGGUUUUCCAGUCCAUACCUUCAUUGGUGUCUUACCCUGAACAGCAGCUGAGGGUAACCGGUUGAUGAUGUGACAUGCAUAAUUAACUGCCUCUACCCAAAAUGACUUGCUUAAACCCCGACUGAGACAACAUACAUCUAGUCUUCUCAAGCAAGGUUCGAUUCAAUCUUUUUGCAGCUCUAUUUUGUUGUGGAGUUCCCCGAACACUAAAAUGUCUCACAAUCCCUUCCUCUUUGCAAACUUUAAAGAAAGGGUCGGAUGUGUAUUCACCACCAUUAUCCGAUCUCAAAAUCUUAAUCUUUCUCCCAAUCUGGUUCUCAACCAUUUUCUUCUAACCCAAGAACAUGCUCAACACCUCACUCGUGUGCUUCAUAGUGUAGACCCAAGACCUUCUUAAAUAAUCAUCAACAAAGGUCACGAACCAAUGUCUACCACUCAAAGAGGGAGUCUUUGUAGGACCCCAAACAUCUGAAUGCACAUAAUCAAGAAUGCCCUUCGUCUGAUGUACUGCAGUACCAAACUUUACUCUAGUUUGCUUUCCUAAGAUACAAUGCUCGUAGAAAUCAAGUUUACAAGUUGUGGCACCUUUUAGAAGACCUUGUUUCACAAGUCCUUGUAGAGCUUUCUCACCGGCAUGACCUAAUCUCAUAUGCCACAGUCUAGUAGUAUCUGAAUCAGAUGUGCCUAUAUUUUCUGUGACUACAGACGAUUCACCUGUCACGGUGCUUCCUUGCAAUAAAUCCAAAUGACCACAUCGAGGAGCUUUCAUCACAACAAGUGCACCAUAGGUAACUUUCAAUGUCUGCCCAUUUGAAUGAAACCUGAAGCCCUUGGAUUCUGAAGUUCCCAAAGAAAUAAGAUUUUUCUUCAAAUUCGGUACAUACCGAACACUUGUCAACUCUUUAACCAUGCCAUCAUACAACUUCAAACGAACUGUACCAAUCCCUUUUGUUGUGCAAGGAUUGUCAUCUCCCAUGAACAUAACACCACCAUCAAACUCUUUCAAGCUUGAAAACCAAUAUUUGUGAGGAGUCAUAUGAUGAGUACAACCCGUAUCCAACCCACUUAGUUGCACAAUCAAAUGAUGAGGAAGUGGUUAAAGCAAAAUCAAAAAAAUCUGUUUCAACCUCAGCAACAUUGGCUUCAGAACUUUCUUUUCCUUUGGUCUUUAGCUUAGGACAAUCUUUCUUCCAAUGACCCUUAUUAUGACAAAAGGCACAUUCAUCACGUUCCAAGGUUUUUCUACCUUUAGAGUUUCCACUAGGUCGAGAGUGUGAUUUUUUUCUACUAGUAAAUGACCUCCUCUCUGAUGAUCUACCUCUAACAAAUAAAGCUUCAGAGGUACUAUUAUGAUUUUUAUCUCUAUACCUCAUUUCAUAAUUCAUUAAGGUAUUUGACACAUCUUCAAAUUUCACAGUUUCUUUACCAUGCAUAAUAGUGGUAACAAAAUGCUCAUAAGAGUCCGGCAAGGAAUUCAACAAUAUUAAGGCCUUAUCUUCAUCCUUAAUAUCCUCAUCUAAAUUUAACAAGUUGGCAAUCAACUUAUUAAAAACAUCAAGGUGUCUAAUCAUUUUUGUACCUUCUUUGUAUUGGAAGCGGUAGAGCUUUUUCUUUGAGUGUAGCCGGUUCUCUGCACUCUUCGUCAUAUACUUGUCUUCCAAUUUUUGCCACAACACACUUGUUACUGUCUCCUGCAUCACAAAAUACUUCUGAGUUUUUGCAAGGCACAAUCGAAUUGAAGAGCAAGCCCACAAAUUUAAUUUCUCCCAUUCCGGCUUCGAGAUAGCUUCCGACUUCUCUCCCAAAGCGGCAAGUAGAUCUUGUUGAGCCAACACAUCUUUGACCUCACAUUGCCACAUCCCGAAGUUGUUUGUGCCAUCAAAUUUUUCCAUUUCGAACUUUGCAUUUUGCACCGUAGUUCUUACAAACCUGGAGCUGCUUCCAAAAUGAUUCUCAUCUUGCCCGUCUGACAUCUUUGGCAACUAAACAGUACCCAAGAGCAACCAGUGCUCUGAUACCAAUUGUUGUGCUAGGAUAACACCAAAUCCAAUUGGAACCAACUUAAGCUAACCCAUAGGAAAUAUAUCAAAUGGAAUGCAAGAACAAAAUAUAAAAGACACCAACAUUUUAACGAGGUUUCUCAACAGUCAGUGUAACUAGAGUACGUUCUCGGAGUAGUAGGAGCUCAUCCAAUAAUCCACUAUCAACCAAAUGGGAGUUUACAAAGUGUUGGCAAUCUCACAACCCAAAACCCCAAUACACCCAAUAACUCUCACUCACCAAAGAAACAAAUGGAGAGGGAAAUAUAGUGAAUAAUUUCCUCUCUAUACAAAGCUCAAAGCUAAUACACAAAUACAACUUUGAUUGAGUGAGUACCAACAAAGAAAGAAAAUUACAUUUCUUUCUUCUCUUCAAAAUGGGGCUGCAGCACCUCUGUUUUUGCUCUCUAUUUUCUGCUGCGUUUUUCUACUCUAUGGCUGCCUUACAACCCUUAAUCAAAAGCAUCAAUUACUUCCAAUUAAAACCCUCAGCCGUGGCUUUUCAUAGGCCAAAUAAAAAAACAAAUUUUUUCCAACAUCAUAAUUGCCAUCAUCACAAAGCAACAUCAUAAUUGAUGUCUCCCUUUUUUCUUUUUUUUUUUAUUAGCCAAAAGAUAUCUAGUAAUUUGUCCAUUUUUUCUUUUGCUUUGUUUAAUAGCCGAAAGGUAAUGCUGAGUUGGCCACUUGGCCACAAUUCAACAGAUCAUGCAUCGAUCGAUAUACGUAUGGACAAUGCAUGCCCUACCAUGCAAAUUAUGCCAAGAACAACAAUCGAUCGAGUGACCAGUGGUGGAAGGGCUAGGAAUAUUAGCAAGCUGCAUUUUCUCACUUCCCACUCACUUGUUUGAGCAUACCGACUAAAUGUGCUUGUUUCUUCUUGACUUGUGGAUAUAUCCAAAGGUCAAUAUGGAUGCAUGGCAUGUGGUGUAGGUUAACAAUUUUUUUUUCCUUGUGACCAGAACACGAGUGGUACACCACUUGUUUUUAUAUAAGUGAUGGGAAAUUUUAUUUUUUAAGUUAUUAACUUUUUAACACACAUAUCACAACAAUUAUAUAGUGACAAGUGGUGUAUCAUUCCGUGUUCCGAUCACACUGAAAAAUCUCUAGUAGGCCAGGAGGUUUUUCUUCUUUUUAAAAGCAGUAUCUCUUGGAAAAGUUAGACAUGGAAUUGAUACCACAAUUAAUAUGCUUUUGUGCCGUCAUUCCCUACAAGGCUACAACCAAAAAUUGCAUGAAGUAAAAAUUACCUUAUUUCGCAACAUUUCUUCAACUGGCUACUGGCUCUCUAGUUUUCAGUUGUCAUCAUGGUCGAAGUACGUAAGCUGGGUCGGAUCAUUUUCUUCUUUGAGCAGAUAUGAUUUAGGACGAUAACCAUCGGGCCGGGAUUACCAUCAAUGAAGGCUAUUGCACAUGUUAUGCACUAAGAAAAGGUUGCAAGCGGUUAUUGGUGUAGAGCUACCGGCUGCCUCAUAGUACAAAUUUUUUAACUUGAACCGCUUAUUUUUUUAAUCAUAAUUUAAGAUUAUAUGUGCAAGAUCAAUGCACUUGGAGAUCAUUCAGUACAUCUAUAUGUAUCAUAAAUGAAUGGCAAGUUUGUUAUGAUAUUAGUUGUUGUCCAAAUUAUCGAUUUGACACAUAUAUAUAGAUGAUUAAACAAUUUUUAAGUUGAUUAUUUAUUUUUUUUGGCAAAGAUAAUAUCAAAUGAUGUUUAAAAGCAUAAAGGGUUUCAAUUAUGAAAUUUGUACGAUAAAAUACCUUAAUGCAAGUGUGUGAAUAAGGUGAUUCACUCAUGCAGUGUGCUCACCAAUUUACACUCGAGUUGAAUUCCCCCUUCAUGCAGUUUAGUACAAUUAGUGUAGACACUUGUAUAAAAAAAAAAACUUUAAACCUAGGUCUAUGGUGGAUAUUUUAUUCAAGUUUGUUUUCUUAUACAAGCGAUACUAAGUGAGAGAGAAUCAAACUCAUGACCUCAACUACAAAAAUGGUGAAUGCUCUUAGCCAAUUGAGUUACAAGUUCUUACUACUUAUACCCAAUUUGUCAUCUAACCAAGCACUAAUUAUAAGGCAUCAACAAUUCCAACGUCCAUUCAGCUAUUUAUACGAUUUUUACAGUGGGCUGAGUCAUCAGUAAUAAGUUGAAUUGUUGACAUCUCAUGAACUGAUUACUAUAAAAUAGUGACUCACAACUAUUAAACUCAUCAUACCACUAUAAAUACAAUGUUAUAAUGUUAUAAGAACAAACUCACCUUAAACCAUUUUGGAACGCCAAACACAAAAUGCCAACUGAUUGAACUCUUAAGUUUUUUUAUUUUUUUUAACAAACAAUAUUAUCUACACUAAAGGGGAAAGGGGUGGGCUUAGUCUCACAAUGGGCUAGCAGUAAUGUGGUUCAAAUUUGCCUUUGGCGAAAAUCGAACUAAGACUUCUCACUUACAAAUGAAAAAGAAUAAUAUUAGACCGUAAUACUAGGUGACAUGAUUCAACUCAAAGUUAAAUAAUACAUUGACCCCAAAUGAGAAACUCAUUAUUCUUUGUCCUUGAAAUAUUGGUUGGACAUCAAUUCUGGCCCAAGCCAAUCUUUCUAAUUAAAUGAUUGGGUUGGAUUGGAACUUCACAAGUCCAACCAAAUCCCACUAGAUCAAAACUACUAUCCAUCCAAUUGACAAACCACUACUACCGACAUGUUAUAAAUUAGCAAAACGCCAACCGUGCAAAGGAUCACUUAGGAGAGGGAAAUCUGCAUUUUCUUCUUCAGAUCAACUUUCCCUAGAAAAUGAAGGAAAAAGGAUGCAGUGCAUAGAUAUGGCAGGAUAUGGAAAAACUUUUCUCUGUAUUUAGAAACAUGUGAUCAACUUUUCCAGGGAAGAAUACUAAUGCAUGUAACGGAAGAUGUAGUGCUUAUCCUAAGCUAUCCAAAAGGAACCUAAAGGCAUGAUGAUAUCAAACUUCAAAGAUUUAAAUUCCUUUAAGGGGUAAUUGGAGCAAUGGUUUAUGAAUAUUAGCUCAAUUAGAGUUUUGGUUCUUGAGCUAAAAAUCCGUGAGUACUAGUCCCAUAACUUGUUAUAAGAUGGAACAGUAUCAUUUUUGCCUAACUCUGUUAGAACUUUCAACCAAAAUAAAGUAAAAGGACAAAAAAUAGAUGAAAAUCUUAACGAAGUUAGCCAAAAGGACAAUUGCUCCACAUUAUAACAAGUUCAUGGAUCAAUACUCACAAAUUUUUAGUUCCGACCAAAACUCCAAUUGGACCAAAAUUUAGGGACGAUUGCUCAAAUUCUCUCUCUCUCUCUCUCUCUCUCUCUCUCUCUCUCUCUCUCUCUCUCUCUCUCUCUCUCUCUCUCUCUCUCUCUCUCUCUCUCUCUCUCUCUCUCUCUCUCUCCAACUACCGUGUGUUCAAGAUAAUGUGAUUCAAAUAUUGUAUCCUAACAUUACUUACACGUCCUAAACAUCAUACUUUUAAGCCCUUCAUUGGUUAAUUAUAAUCAUCCAAUUAAAGUAUCUGGUCGGCAGUUUUGACAAAAAAAAAAAAAUAUGUAUCUGGUCGGCAGAGCUGAAAGGAAGGGAUUAUUCAGUACCUAACUUGAUGCCAUCUUUAUCCAAUUAAUUAACUAAACGAAGUAAUUAGCAUAUGUUUGUAAGAACAAAUAAGAAGCCUGAGGAAUCCUCAGGUUGAUAUUUUUCAUAACAACGCUACACCGAUUGACCAUGUGGAAUAUCCUUUGCUAGUUGCCAUGUUGAUCACGAGUUAUUCUUUUGAUCCCAAGUACAUUUAAAAAUAAAAUUUAAUCACCUUUAGCACACGUAAGAAUAACUUGAAGUAAUGAGAUCUGUGGUCUUAAAGAAAGUGGUCAAGUUUGCUUAAAUGUAUAAGUUAUUUGUAUUUACUUGUUUUCUUAAGAAAUCUUGACGGUACAAAGGAUAUUUUGUUUAUAAGAAAUGAUAUGUAUCUUAUUCUUGACCCAUGUUUAUUAUCAUACUAGGCUCACCAAUACUUCAUUUUGUUCCAAAUUGAGCAAAACAUUGAACUUUUACACAUAUAAAGUUUAGUAGUGUUUUUUAUUAACACAUUUCAAUUAUAACUAAUCUUACAACCAAGAAAAAUAAUGGUUCCAAAGUUCUUAUAUCUUAUUGCAUUUGGUACCGAUUUCCUUGAAAGAUUUCAGCGAAGACAGGCACACAUGCAAUAUUGUGUAAUCUAGUCUUGUUCUAAACUUUUAAGGAGUCAACUAUUUUAGGUAAACUGGCAUAUCCUCCUAUGAAAGCCCCAGUUGAACCAAAAGAAAGAUUUCCACGGGCUUAGAUUUGGCAAGAUGUGCACUUGGGGUCGAAGUUUCUACCGUCGAAAUGAUGCACCCAUGUGUCAAAAUACAGGGGAGAGGUGUAUACAAUGAAGGGCACAUGGGGACCGAGACAAGUGAUGGGUUUUUUUUAAUUUUUAUUUUUUUUUUGUAACUCACAAGCGAUGGGUUUAGCAUUGAAUCAUUGAUGAAUAAUGCUACACUUACCAUUUAUUUGUAUCAUAUCUCUAAUAAAGAUAUGGUCCGCCAAAAUAUGCGGAUCUCAUCUCUAUUAAAGAGAUUGUAUAAGUAGAUGGUAAGAAUAACAUAAUGAUGCAUGCAAAUCACUGAAAAACAUUCCCCAAUAUAUAGCAUUAUUAAUUCACAUAUUAUAAAAGAUAUAUUACAUACUUAAUAUUUCAUGCACUUAUAAUGUAAAUUAAAAUGGUUAGAUACACGUAUUAUACUAUGAAUGUGUUAUGAAUACAAAAAACUGAAUACAGUCCAACCUUAGCGCUAACUCUAGUUUAUUUUUUCUCUCCUUUUGGGUUUAUAAAUAGCGAGUGAAACCUUCAGUCUCUCCACAUCUGCAAAUCUUCACGUGCCCUUUCCUGCUUCCUAUCUGCCCUCCCUCCAAUUUUAUCUCUGAAGUUGUUGGUUUCUGAAUUCUGAUCGGUAUUCUAGGAACCUUAUCCAAUUUCUGCUUCCGAGUCUUUGACCGUCAAGAGAUAACUAUCAACAACUAUCAAAAAGCGGGAGUUAUAAUCUGUUCGUUGGUUUACAAAACUGAAAGCAGCUUUUUGCAACAUACCAACUUUAGCUUCAGUUUUCUAAUUCAUCACUACUAUGGAGAACAACAAGAAAGUGGGAAGUGGUGGAAGCCAUGUCUCUUCUUCUCCAUCAUCAAGGAAUCUGGACCAUCUCUUUGGUCCCAAAGACUCCUCUUCAUCUUCUUCUUCAUCAUCCUCCUCCGGAUUAUUUGGCUCUCUUUUCCCACCAGUCCCAUCUGUAAGAUUGCAAGAACCUGAUGAAUUCCUUGCAGAGAAUCAGAAGAAGAAAAAGGAGACAAGUUGAACUUCUAGAGAGAGAAACUGAGAAAUGCUUUUGUAUUGACUUUUAUUAACUAACUCAAUUUAACAGUACAAGUUGGUGUUCAUACAAUUUUAUUUGCUUACACAAUAAGUAAUCUAACAGACUAACUAUUACAAUUCUUAAUCCUUUGACAAGUGUCAUCAUUUGAAGCUUCCUCUUGAUCUUGAGUCUUUACACCUUUAGACCAUCAACGGUAUAUGCUUAUUAUUUAUUUAAGAUUAUCAUUUGAUAAUCAUUUCAUUUUCAGUUUCAUUUUUCAAAAAACUGAAAACUUGUUCAGCAAUUGUUUUCAAAGCUGAAAGCUAUUUCUUGAGUUUUUAAAAUUUGACUUAGGUUUUGGUUUUCACACUUUUUUUUUUUUUUUUUUUUUAAACUACAAUGAUUAUCCAACAAAUCCUUGGUAUUGUCAGGUUUUCGAUGCGAGACAUACAUUCGUUAACAAAUUACAAUUUUUUUUUUUUGGUUAACGUGUGGGGUUAGAUGACAAUUGAGUUACAAGCUCUUACUACUUAUAAGCGGUUCUACUUAUACCUCAACUAUAAAGUUUUUACGUAUAUGUAUAUGUGUGUGUCUAUAUAUAUAUAUAUAUGUAUGUAUAUGUGAUUUUUCUUACAACUGCUUUUAUAUAUUAUGAUGUGACAUGUCAUGUUUAACUUUACAAAUAGACUUUUUGUACAUUUUAUGCUUGUAAUAUUAUUUGUGAGCAUAAACUGGUGGCAUGACAUCCUUGUGUUUUAUCUGCUCACUCCCCAAUCCCGACAUUCGUCCACGAUUGACACGUGACAUCACCAAUUAGAUGUAUAUUUAACAUACCCCGCCUCCGGGAUAUGUACAAAGCACAACUCACGAUCCAACUGCGUAGUAAUUUUUCGUACACUUCAUGGCUGCAUCUAACCUCCUUGUUAGAUUGCUUAUGUACCCUAAACAGGGAUCAAGCCAUUUGUAGUUCGUCUUUCACUGCACUUGAACAAUCAUCACAUAAAUCAUUAUGUCUCAACAUAAUACCACGAUUUAGGUAUGCAACAUCUCAAGGAACAUUCGACGAAGCACAAUAAUAUUCUCCAGUCAUCUUGCCAUUCACACACACAUAUGCUUUCAAACACCAUUCAAUAAUCACAACAAUCAAUAACACAUACAAUACAUUGAAAUGUAGGGCUCAAGUGACACUGUUCGGCCGAAGCCUAUAUCUCUGAAGCUGAAAUCGAAUCCAAGUAACCAACAAGUCAAAUGAUGCGAUUUCGGACCACUUAACGAAAUCCAUCAACAUUAGGUUUCGGACCACUCAACGAGCUUGUGGAGUAUAAGGGAUUCCGAACCUCUUAAUGGAAUUCGAUUGGAUACGAUUCCAGACCAUUACUCAACAGAAUUGCUGAGUAGAAUGCAUAACGAAGCACUCAAUGAAACUCAAGCUGGAUACGAUUCCGGACCAUCACCCAAUGGAAUCGCAGAGCAGAAGAGAUUCCAGACCUCUCAAUGGAAUUAGAUUGGAUAGAUUCCGGACCAUCACUCAACGGAAUUGCGGAGUAGAAUGCAUAACGAAGCACUCAAUGAAACUCAAGCUGGAUACGAUUCCGGACCAUCACCCAAUGGAAUCGUAAAGCAGAAGGGAUUUCGGACCUUUCAAUGGAAUCCAAGUGGAUACGAUUCCGGACCAUCACUCAACGAAACCUCAACAAAAACCCAGUUCCGAAUCACUUAACGGAAUCGAAGAAACAAUACAAGAACCAAGUACUUAAUUAGAAAGGGCUGAACGAAACAAGAAGUGAAAUAAGGAAGCAAUAUGUGAAACAAGUGUCGAAGCAACAAACCCCAGGAUAAUGGGUUAAUAGUCCACUACUAGCCCUCACAUUUUAUCACAUCACGCCAAUCAUACAACGCAAUCACAUUUCAAACAUGCAAGUCAAAUCACUUUUCAUAAAUGUUUCCAAUCUAUAGCCAAAUCACAAUUAAGGAUCAUUAAAUGAUGGCUAAGUAUAAAAAUAACAAUUCAAUGAAAAUCACAUAUAUUAUAGUCACUAGUACGUAAAUCGAGACGCACGUCAACCAAGGAAGACAAGUCAACCCGAUGAGCUCACUAAGCUCCAUGAGUUCUCAACAACACUCUAAGAUAAUGACAUGCUAGAAUAACUCAAACUAGUUGACUAAAAGCUUAACCGUCGAUCAAGGUCGAGAGUAGGGUCCACAAUCCUAGAAAUCUAAACUGGAAGAUCUGCUUAUCAGAUUUCUAAUCUGUAACUUCCUACGAGUCUCACUACUCUUCUAGAACAACAUACUAAGAUUUUAUUACGAUCCAUCGGUUGGAUCUCCAUCAAUUUCUAAGAUUAAGUGUCGGUCAAUGUUUGACUUAACAAACUUAGAAAUCCAAUUCGGGAAGAUUCGUAAGUUCCUAUUGUCCUCAAAUAUUAUGAAUAAUACCAUAUUAAAGUUUGGUAACGAUCCAACGGUCGAAUCGUCAAUGCCUAUAAUAACUAAGUGACGACCAACUAGGCAGUCAAUUUCGAAACUAUAUUAAAACAUCGAAAUUUCAAUAAACAGAUGUCGAAUAUGGAAUUGGGGUAUCAAAAUUAGCCUAGGAAGGUCAGGUGGGGUCUCAGCCCACGCGCCGCCGCCAGCCUCCUCGACUCGCCGGAAAAUUCAACUAUUUCAAAAAAUUAUCAAAUUUCACAAAAAUAUAGAUCUUAGUGAGUGGAGCAAGUUUCAUACAUGUGACUAAGGCUAAUUUGGCCUAGAAAAGCUUCAAUUUCUCUCGAACCCGCCAGAAACCCUUGAAUUUGGUGGUUUCGAUCCGUCACCUUCGGUGCUCCGCCGCCCUUACAGUUGUUUGGGCUUUGUUCCAAGCCUCAAGAAGAGUGUUUUGGUGGUGGUAAUUGAAGGAAAACGUUUCACAUUUGGUGGAUUUCGGCCUGGUUCCUCGCGGCACCCACAGUGUAAACCUUCAUGAAAUCACAAUCAAUUUCCAUCGAUUUUAGCUAGAAUUGGAUGUUGUGAAGUGGUGAUGAAUUUUGGUGGUCACGAGAGGUUGAAGAAAGCCAGAAAAUUGGACGGAAAAGCCAUCGGAAUAGUCAUAAAGGGCGAAUCGGGUCACGGGUACAUGGAUCACAGAAGGGGGAAAUCACGUUGGGUGUUUCUCACCCUCUCUCAUUUCUCUCCCUACUUUCCCUUCCCAUUGGCUUCCUUCCUUCCUUUUUUUUUAUUCUUUUCUUUCAAUCCUAGCCAUUCAUCUCUUUCUUUUCUCCAUCACACCCAUCCACGUGGCACUUCCAGAUUAUCUAAACGUUCCAGAUUAUGGUCAAAUGACCAUUUUGCCCAUAAUUUUGUUCGUUAAUAACUCAUUCGUUAUAACUCUAAAUUACGUUCCGUUUACGCUCAUGCGCUCGUAUCGACGAAUGCUAUCCAAAUACAUAAAUUAUGGGCAAAAUUAUGGGCAUCCCCUGAUGCAUGUGAACUACACGGGAUUUCACAGUCACUUAGUUAUUUGUACUAUCGUGGGCCAAGGACUAGCUUCACGUGUAGUUCACAUGCAUCGUUUACAUUCGCUUUGGAUCUAGAGUUAGGUGUCAGCCUGUCAUUUUGUGUGAUGUUUUGGACUCUUAUGUGAUGCGACUAGCGCAACUCAUAUGAUAUAGUACUAGAAUGUAAAACCUACACCCAUUCUGUUUCAUUGUUUGAAUACUCUGCAAUGGACUUGUGUGCCUACAUAAAUUAAUGAGCAUUGAUUUCUUAUAAUAAUGAUUUGAGAUUUGAUGUUGAGAUACCUUGUUGAUGUUUAGAUUUGUGAUGAAGGAUACCUAUUACAUACUAUUAUUAUAAUAUUUUUGGGAAACCAUAUACUUGUUUUAUAGCGAGGGGUUACACUUUUCGAAAAGGUUUUACAAAAUUUUAUUUUCAGGCCCACUCACCCUUGUUUUUCACCCUUCCAGGAUUUUAGUGGUAGAGGUUUCGUGACGACAAGGAUUGUUAGUAAAAGCUGUUACGUAGGAGACUUCUCUUUUCGGUAUAAAUGUCCUUACUCUUAUUUUAUUGCAAUUUAUCUAUGCUCUGACAUCACUUGUGUGAUACGGGUUCAAUCCCGCUCACUUGCGCACUCUAAAAUAGUCACUUUUAUGUUUUAAUUUAUUCACAUUUUUCACAUCACUACACUUUAUGGCUUCGUCACCUUCCAUGUGUCGGCCAAUACAUUGCAAUUCGGGCGUCCAGGUGGACAGUCCGGGUCGGGGUAUAUCAACUAUGUAAGGAACAUUGUUAUCAUGUAAAGGAACCGGAUCCCCUCCUGAGUAAAGGAUCUGGGCCGUUGAAAUUUGAUUCAAUGACUACAAACAGGUGGUCACUCUAAAAGUUAUAAUAAUUGCAGCCGUUAGAUCAAAUUUCAAUGGCCUAUGUGAUUUGCUCAAGAGGCUCAACUUUCUAAGCUCAGAACGGGAUCCGGUUCCUCAUGUAAAUUUUUGUUAUUAAAUGCAUAUGAAUCUUGACAUUUAAUUUUUUUCCAAAUCCCCAUAAGGUAUCUGAAGACAUUUAAUUGAAUGAAAUAAUGUAAAAUAAAUGUAGAUAAUAAGUGAGAGACCCAAAGUAAGUGCUAUUAGGGGUAAUUUAGACAUCCAAAAUAUGCCAAGUCAAACUUAAUUAUGGAUAUUGCUUAGUUGGAGCCUAGUCAUUGAGUUUUUGUUAAAGAAAUUUACCAUGAUGGAUUUUAGUUAAAGAAAAAUGAAUUCCAAUUAGUGUACUCAUAUUUUCAGAUUAAUUUACAACAAUAAGCAUUCAAAAAUUUUGGACUUUGUCUUUACACAGAUUAAGUUCCCCAUCGAUCAUAUGCGCUCACGUAAUUUUAUUUUAAUCGUUCUAUAAUAGAGAAUUAAGUACAUAAAUGUUUGAGGUUGUUUCUCUAUUUGCUUCAUAUUGUAGGGAAUUAUUAUGAACAUAUAUGAUCGCAAGAGUCAAUUGUCUCCUAUAAUACAUGGUACAGACAACACUAAUACACCCUGACCUAGAUAUCGUUCAGUAACAAUAAAACUUAUGAGGUAAGUUUCCCAUCGAUCAUAUGCGCUCACGUAAUUUUAUUUUAAUCGUUCUAUAAUAGAGAAUUAAGUACACAAAUGUUUGAGGUUGUUUCUCUAUUUGCUUCAUAUUGUAGGGAAUUAGUAUGAACAUAUAUGAUCGCAAGAGUCAAUUGUCUCCUAUAAUACAUGGUACAUACAACACUAACACACCCUGACUUGGAUAUUCAUGUGAACAUCACGAUCGCGGCAUUGCUGUGCAACACCUAAAAAUGACGAAAUCAUAGUAUAAAAGUGAUGUGUAAAAAGUACGAAUAAAAGAUUGAAAAUAAAACAAGAAUAAAUGUGUGCAGUAAAAGUGAUGAACUUUAAAUAAACUAAUUAAAUAAAAAUCAUAGCAUCUCAAUAUCUACAAAGAAAGUGUACAACGUAACACGUCUGAAGAUAAUAACUAUAAAAAUACUAAGACUAAUCACUACACGGAUGAGAGAAGAUUAUGCUACCAUGCCUCGACAUCGAGAGCUCCAAAUCUUACUAAAUUUUGGAGGAGCGCAAAAUAGAGAAUGUUGACGGAUACAAAUAAAGAUGUCUAAAUAUUUUUUUUUUUAACAUACUAACACCUCGAUGUAAAAACCCAUAGGAGAGGUACAUGCAUUACCAGCAUGCAAAAGCUACCCUUUGAGUUUAUAUUAAUUUUUUAUCCAUGUAAUCAAACUCGUUGUUAAAUUAAUAAUUAUAUAUUUUAAUGAGAAAGACAUGGCCCAAUUUAGAUUGAGUUUUUCCUCAAAUUUUAAGUAGCUGAUUCAUAAUUUUUCGUGCUUAUGAUAGAAAUUGAUUAUAUUACAUAUAAAUCAUUACGUAAAGAUUAUCCGUAAAAAAAAAAUCAAUCAGGAUUAAGGUUGUUUAAUCAAUCAAUUAUAACAAAUAAAUAAACGGUUCAUUUACUGAAUCCAUCCAUUUAUUUUUAUACAUUCUGGUCGUUAAAUGAUCUCAUAUUUAAGUGACUUUUUUACAAAUAUGAUCUUUACAAGGUAAUUUAUAACAUGAACAAUUUUAAUCAUAAAAAAAAAUUCCGUGAAUUAGCCACAUAAUAAAUUGAGAAGGAAUUCCUUCUCAUCCACUGAAGAGCCAAAUGCAUUUCUAUUUUGAUUUGGGCCUCAAUUCUCAUGUCAAUUACUUUGAUUUGAUAAUACUAUUAGUUGAUAAUUGAAACAAGAGUUAAUUUCAGUUUAUUACUUGAAAGGUUUUUUAUUUUCAACAUUUGGUGUAUUAAGUUUUUUUUAUUCUAGAGUGGUACUUGAAGUCAUAAUUCUGGAACACUUUCAUACAUUUGUUAAAGUUAUUUUUAAAUGAGUCGUUAACGAGUGAUACGAGGUCUACGUGAAUAAUGACAGAAGGCCACGUGUUAAUAUAAGAUCCACAUAAAUAUUAAAAAAAUAAAAAAUUAAUUAUUACUUCGAAAACAACGAACCAGUAACUGAUGGAAUUGGUGAUUUGAACAGGUGCGAAAGAAGAAAGAAAAAGGAAUAAGCAGAGGCCUGGAAAGAAAAGGUAGAAAUAGAGGUCCAAAAGGAAUUGAUUCUUAGAGGGGGUGGGGUGGCGGUGGAAGAUGGUGGGGGUUUUGGGGACUUAAGGAUUUGGUGCAUUGCAGACCUCUAGUAAGCCCUUUUAUGCAAUUCUGCAUCGAGUUGAUGUUGGCUUAGUAAUGGAUUUGGAAUCAGUAAGUCCAUCUAAUGUUCCAGUGACUGCUGCGGGAGCACCGACAUCUUAUAACCUUGCAGCCAAAGCCAUCUCAAAAUUGUAGUCUUUGCUAAGCGGGGAUAUAUCAUUAUUAAAAAAAUAUGGUUUUGGGUUCAACCACCGUCGUCUCUGUCCGCUGGGUUUGGCUAUUCACCGCCGUGAAAUUUGGUAGGUGUGGCUCUCCACCACCGUCUGCUCUAGCUUCUCCGGCCACUGAGUUUGGCUCUCCACCGCCGUCAAAUCUGGUAGGUAGGGCCCGGAGGUUUGAGCUCACGAUGCCGUCCGUCCUCGCUCUAGAAUCGUCCCAGUUCCGAUAUUUUCCUCCACAGUCCAGUGGACCCCAACGCCUUCAAAUUCUCGUUCCUCAAGUCGUCACCAAGGAUGACCGCAGUAAAAUCUAGAAAUGGGUCGGGUGAGGGAGAGGUGGUGAGGGUAUGGAGGGAUCAGGGGAUAAAGGAGGGUUGAGUCGAAAAUGGUGGGAGAGGUGACACGUGGCCGUUCAGUUAUGUUCAUAUGAGAGUCACGUUAGUAGUUAACAGGUGAUUUAACAAUAAUCUUAACAAAUGUAUAAAAGUGUCAUAAAAUUACUUCAGCUACCACUCUGAAAUGAAAAAAAGAAUAAUUUAACAUACCAAAUGUUGAAAACUAAAAACUUCAGAAUAGGACACUGAAAUUAAUACUUGAAACAAACAUUUACUCCUUAUAUAAAGGCACUGAAGAAAAAUCCCACAACACUAUACAUAUAUUUUUAUAGGAAAAGGAUCCUCACCGGAUUCUUUUCUUAGAGAUCCUAGAGAUUCUGUGAUUAUGACCGUUCAUCGUAUAUUGUGCAGUCAUUUUUCGUUAAUUACUAUUUAUAUUUAAUUUCACAAAGAACCUCUAUUUUUAUAAUUAUUUUGGGUAAAUUACACAAAACUACCUAAACUAUAAGUCAAACCACGAUCUCAUAUCUCAUGUUUUAAACAUUACAAUCUCAUACAUCUACUUAUGAAUUCGUUACAAUGUCAGACAUCCGUUAAAUUUUCUGUCAAUUUAGCUGUUAAAUGAUGAUGUGGUAGGAGUGGGCCCGUUCUUAAAAUAAAAAAUUAAUUAAUUAUUAAUUAUUUAACAAUUAAAAUUAAUUAAAAAAACAAAAAAGUUAUCUCUCCCUUCGUCCUCCCUUCCUUUCUCCCCAGAACUCCUUCGUACCUCGGGGCCAAAAUCUCCAAAUUCCCCAAUUUCUCAGCCCAUCAUUGCUAGAGUUUCUGUAAUACCCCGUAUUUAAAAAAAAAUGGUUAUAUAUAUAUAUAUAUGGGUGUAUGUUGGGUAAUUAUUUUUACGUAAUGAUUUUUUUUAUUUAUUUUUAUGCGAGAACCUAUUUUCGGUAUGUAAAAUAGUUUUAAUGUAAAAUCAUUUUUCCUACAAAUUAUUUUUUAAAAAAAACUAGCUAUUUCAUGUUCAAAUGUAAUUAGAGAUAUUUUUAGUUUGAAUUGGAGAAGGGAGAUUAAAUGAGUUUGGUUUGAUUUUCCUCACAAGGGGCCGAGAGUUUGAGGUUGGACUAAGUGAGUAAUUUUGUCUUGAUAUUUUCUCUCAAAGAUGAGGUGGAGAGUUUGUAACAUUAGGAGUUAAUGAUUUGGUGAUUACUCACCACUCUAAAUGUGAAGGUGGAAGUCUAAUCAAGGGUGAGUUGGCAAGUUUGUGUUCAUUAGGAAUCUAAGAGUUAACUGUUUGGUGAUGAUUCUCCUCCAAAGUUUGAAGAGGUGGGAUUCAUAUUCCUUAGAGAUGAACUUGGCCUUGGAUGCUUGUAUCCACCUUGCAUAAUAUUGAUUAACUUCACACAUGUCUCUUUGCCAUUUGAACACAUAUUAGAGCUAAGGCUUUGCUUAACAUUUGUUGUUUGUCUAUUGGACCACAUUUCAUUGUUAAUGAUGAGAACAACACUUGGAGACUUGGUAUUGGAACACGUAUAAUGGAACUACAUUUGGUGACUUGCUAUUCAAACACAUGUGCCAUGAAUCAUGAAGAAAAGAAGCAAAACAAGGUCAAUCUAUACGUAUAGAGCUUCAAAGAGAAGAAAUUCAAGGGAAGGAACACAAACACUCAUUAUAUAAAGGAGGAGGAGAGAGCAUGGAAAAGGGGGAGAAAAGGGGAGCAACAAUUGUCUUUCUCAUAUCAUUGUUUUAUUUUUUCAAGGCUUCUUAGCCAUUGUCAUGUAUUCAUAAAUUCUCAUUACCUAGUGAAAUACAAAUACAAACACAACCCUAUUGGACAUAGCCAAAUUGGUGAACCACUUAAAUCUUGUGUUGUUUAUGCAUUUAUAUUUUGGAGGUCAUUGCCAUAAGAACACUCCCACCAAACCAUAAAAAAUAUCCAUUUAUUUUCCCUUGAGAAUGAUGUACAAAAGUGUGAGACAAAUCUCUGAAAAUACAUGAGACCUUAUCCAACAAAUCUCUCCAUCAAACUACUAUCAUUUUCAUCUAUCAAAAGAAAGAUAUCCAAAACUAGAAAUUCAUCCAGCCUAUUUAAAAGAUCAAAACACCAUCAUCCAUAUAUUAUAUUAUAAUACUUCCUUCAUGAGAGUUCUUCGUCUGUCUCUCUACCAUGAUAUAUAAAAAUGUCAGAAACAUCCAAUGGUGUGAUCGCCCAAUAUGUCUGAAAUACCAACUCAUGUCUCUAAUCCCACAGAAAACUGGACAUCCAUGUUAUGAGCACCAAAACCUCAUUUUUCGUAACUCGAAUCGAAAUACUUCAUUCACAAAAGUUGUUCCUUAUCAUCUCCUCUAUAACAUAUCCAAAAAGCACAACAAUCGAAUCUAUGUGCUGACUUCUUUCCCAGUUCGAAUAGCUGAUUGUUUCAGCUAUAUUAAAGAAGAAGUAGAAGUGGUGGGCUAAAAUAAAAAUAAAGAUUAUGUUUGGAAAGGGAAAAGCUAGAGACAUAAUUUCAUGCCUUGUGUCAUUUGAGACAUAUAUUUCACUCUAACAAUUAUUUUCUCUAACAUGGAUUCUUUUCUAAUAAAAACAGGUCGCCCGACCAAGAUGGACGAGACGAUGAACAAAUAUAUAUGGAGUGGUCCACGAGCAACAUUUUAUACGAUGAAUUAGAGAUUAUUAUUUUGUUAAUAUUAUGAUUAUAUUACCCUUGUUACUAAUCAAUUUGAUUUAUGUUGAAGUUGCAGGCUUGUUAGAUAAAGUGUGAGUAUUGAUAUCUAUGUGAACAUGACAUAUACAUAUGCAUUGCAAAGCAAGAAAAAGAGUUGUGUUGUGUCAAGUGCUCAAUUGUGCAAAGUGUUUAAGUUGUGAGGAUAUGCAAGGGCUAAAGUUUUCCUUGAAUAUAAAAUAAUGAACUGUGUAUAUGUCAGGCGUAGGGUGCAAAGUUUGAGUAUACAUUUGGGCGUCGGGGGAAGUGUCUGUUUAAUAAAGUGGAAAUUGAGAGUUUAAUUAUAAAAAUUGGGUUAAGGGAUGAACGGGAGUUAACUCAUAUUCGAACAUACUCGGAGCCAAGUGGUAUAAGCAUGGUAUGGGACGUGCAGGCUUGGGUGCCUUUGGUAUGUGUUGACGGGAUUAGAAGGGAGCGAGUACUUUCAUACAUCUCAUUGCAUAUAUUUUAUGUAUUUUCAAGAGCUACUUAUUUCAAUUAUUAUUUUAGUUGGUAUUUUUGUUAUGAAUUAAUUUUGUAUACUAAUAUUUGUUACAAUUUAAUUAUUAUUUUGUUAGUAGUUUUUGUUGUGAAUUAAUUUGUGUACUAUAGUUAUUUCGCUGCGUAUUCAAAUAAUUUUUAUGCAAGAUUUUGUCGAUGAAAGGUGUAAUUGUUAUAAUUUUAUUUUAUUUUAUUUUCCACCAUAUCUUGGUUGUAGAAUUUAUUUCUAUAGCUAAGAUAUGACUCACACCCUAGCUCGUGGAUGGUCUUUAUUCGUGAGUCGGGGCGUGACAAUUUCGGCGGCGCUUCUGGCAAAGAAUAGGUUGAGCUCUAAUUGAUCAGAAUUUCUCUUUUACAGAUCGUUGUUUUUGUUACAUUUUGAUCUCGGUUCUUUUUGAUCUUCACCGCAUCUGCAUCUCGUCUAUAAACGGAGAGGAUGAGGUGGUUGGGAGAGAUCGAAUGGUGGUUGAUGGAGAACUACACAACGAGUUAGAGAAUAUGAGAUGGAGAGGUUAACACACAUUGAGGAAACAUAUUGUAAAUUUGUAAUGGUGAGUGGUUGAUCUACAGUCCUGGUAGUGGUGGAAGAACACUGACAUCGGUGAUAAGAAGCUUGAGCUCAUUGAAUACGCAACACCUGAAGCCGACAGGGAGAUCCUGCCAUUAAAAGUGGUGUUGAACCUUCAUGGCUCGACGAAGUGAUCGGCUCAGCAAAGUGAUUCGACCCAAGAUUGGUUCUGGUUUCGAGGCGAUGCAUUGUCAGAGAAUCGAUCUGGAUUCAACUUCGUUCUAGUUUCCAAUGAAGCAUUGGAGGUGGAGAUUCGGUGGAAAUCUUAUGGUUUUCCGAGAAUUAGGUUCUGGGGAACUGGGGAUAGGGAUUCAGUUGCUAGCAGUUAUAAGGUUUACAUAUAAUCUUGCUUGAAAUAAAUUGAAACAAGAAGCUGACUUUGGCCGGAUAUGGAAGUAAUUGAAAAGGAAUAAUUGAAAAGAUCGAGUUAUUAAAGGUUUGGGAGGGUAGGGUACUGGUGUAUAGGUUCUCGGCAAUCACUAAAGAAGGAAGAUAGGUUCUGGGAAAAAUGAGAGUGUUGUAGGCCUAAUUAACUGAGCGAUCUAAGGAAUAGAGAGAGAGGGGGGCCGACAUCAACAAGAGAGAAAGAGAGAGAUUUAAUUCUCAGGUGUGUUCUAUCACCUCCUUAUGCCUUUAUUUAUAGUAGUAGGGUAGGUAGAAUCCUUACCUUAUUAGGAUUACAUCUCUUAAUAGGUAAUCAACUCCUAAUAGGUAACUACAAGAUACUCCUAGAUAUACUAGAAUUUACACAAUCACAUUCCUAAUCCGAUAGGACUGCAACACUCCCCUUUCAGUGUGUAAAUACUCAAACAAAACAUAGCAUUAGGUCUUUAGUAGAUGAGGUAGAACAAUUGAUGAAGUCGUCAACAUAAAGGUGAAUGCGAGUCUCAAACACAAGUAACGUAAGUAUGCAUUGGUAGUAAAACUCACAAAACCUCGCUAUGGUAAAACCCAAGGCUUGGGGAAAACCUAUAGACUAAGGAGAAAAGUGAGAAGUAUGCGUAAUGUCUAAAACAAACGUCAAACAUGAUGAAAGUAGUGAACUCAACGGAGUAUGAUCAUUCUAAGAUGGGUGCCUUGUUAAAACCUCGUUAGGUAGCGAAAACUCAGUGGGAAAAAUGCUCCUAAUUGUAGGAAAAAGAGUACAUUAAGAUCAAGUGAGUAUGCUUCAGGAUACUUCCCUUGAGUUAGACAUAACUUACGAAUAAGACUACAAGUGAUUCAAUUCAGAUCAUUUACGUAUACCAAUUCCUUGGACAAGCUUCUGAAAAAUAGACUUGGGUAGUGACUUCAUGAAGAGUUAGCCAGGUUGUCUUGGGAACGGAUUUACUUGACUUCAAUGUUCUGAUGCUAAUGUUGCUGGUGUGAGUAAAAGAACUUCGGUGUUAUGUGUUUGGUGUUGUUUCCCUUGAUGUAUCCCUUCUUUAACUGCUCUAUACAUGCUGCAUUGUCUUUAAAGAUCGUCGUAGGAAGAUCAACAAUGGAAGAAAGACCAUUAGUGCUUUGAAUAUGAUCUAUAACUGCUUUCAACCAAAAGCACUCUCGCGAGGCUUCAUACAAGUUGAGAAUCUCAUCAUGGUUUGAAAAGUCGCAACUAACGUUUGCUUGGUAGACCUUCAAGAUAUAGCGGUGUCUCCAACGGUAAAGACAUAACCCAUUUGAGAACGUGCCCUAUGUGGGUUAGACAGAUAACCAACAUCUGCGUAACCAACGAGGCGAUAAUUAACUCGAGGACCGAGGGGCAGCGGUUCAUCUCGAGGAUUCAUGGGUAUAGAACAAGCCCAAAUCCUUAGUACCCUUAAGGUAGCGAAAAAUGUCGUUAAUAUUAUUCCAGUAUUUGCGUGUAGGCACGUUGCUGUAUAUGGCCCAAAAAUUAAUAGCAAAUGAGAUGUCAUGUCUAGUGCAUUGAGCCAAGUACAAUAAAGCACCAGUUACAUUUAGGUAUGAAACUUCAGGCUCCAAAAUCUAUUCCUCAUCCUUAUUCGGAUGGAAGGGAUCUCAUUUAGCAGGAGUACUCGAAGGCUUCGCUUUAUCCUCAUUAAGCGACGCAACACCUUCUGGGUAUAGUUCGAUUUAUGUACUACGAUUCCAUCCGAACAAUGUUCGAUCUCCAGGCUGAGACAAUAUCGAGUUUUCCCAAGAUCUUUUAUCUUAAAUUCAGAUUUGAAGUGCAUAGCAAUUUCCUCAAGCUCUGUGGAAGUUUCGAUGAGGUUCAUGUUGUCGACAUAAACUGCAACGAUUGUAAAUCUGGAAUGUGACUUCUUAAUGAGCACGCAUGGGCAUAGUUCAUUGUUCACACAACCUUGACUUGUUAAAUAUUCACUCAGACAGUUAUACCACAUUUGCCCAGAUUGUUUCAAUUCCUAGAGUGACUUUCUCAAUCUAAUCAAGAGAAUGUUAGAACUAUUUGAACCAGUCAAUGGAAGUCUUUUUGGAACUUUCAUGUACAUUUAUGUAUCUAGAUUUCCAUAAUGAUACGCAGUUACCACGUCCAUAAGUUGCAUAUUCAGUUUUUCGGAAACUACCAAACUGAUAAGGUAAUGGAACGUUAUGAUGUCCAUUACGGAGGAAUAUGUCUCCUCGUAAUCAAUCCCAGGACGUUGAGAGAAGCCUUGCGCUACAAGGCGUGCUUUGUAUCGCACUAUUUCAUUAUUCUCAUUACGCUUCCUCAUGAAAACCCACUUGUUGCCUACAUGCUUCACAUGUGAUGGAGUAAGAGCUAUGGGCCCAAACACCUUUCAUUUCGCGAGCGAAUCGAGUUUAACUUGGAUUGCUUGUUUCUAGUUUGACCAAUUUGUUCUACGUCGACAUUCAUCAAUGGAGCGUGGUUCAAUGUCAUUGCUAAGCAUGAUAUCGGAAGCAAUGGUAUACGUGAAUGCAUCAUCGACUGUCAUCUCAUUCUAAUUCCAAACCUCAUUCAAUACAGUGUAAUGGACUGAAAUCUCACGAUUCUCGGGAGGCUGGCAUGUUUCGUCUGAAACAUCAUCCUAAUCUAAAAUAACCUCAUGUGUUGGAAUGGAUGAGUAAGCAAUGGUCAAAUUCAGACUAGGUUCACUAGUUUGUGUCAUUUUCCUUUUUCGGGGUUGUGAAUCGCUUGAACCAGGAGGCCUACCAUGCUUCAGGGUAAGACCAGGUGAUAGGCUAGCCGUCAUUGUACCUUACCGUAUGUGAGGUACGGCCGCUCCACCUUCGGGGAUGGUUUGACCUUCCACGACGUUGUUACAGUGUACGAUUGAUACGUUCAUCCUUGCAGGUGUGUUUAUAGCAGGUAUAUGUGAUCUCGUCACCUUCGCUAGAUCGGUAAAAGCAUCCAGCAUGCUUUGAGCAAUGCUCUGAAGAUCUAGAAUGCGUCGCACUUCAGUUUUAAAUUGAGACGUGCGGUGAUCUAAAUGAGACAUAGUGGGAGUAAUCCAUGAUAAUUUACGACGUUCUACAUGAACGUUAGUGAUCUUAUCUCCCUCUAACGACGAGAAGAUUGUCUUAUUGAAGUGAUAAUCCGUAAAACGUGCGGUAAAGAUAUCUCCUGUCAAGGGUUCUAAGUAGUGUAUAAUGGAUGGCGAAUCAUAACCGACAUAGAUUCCCAUUUUUCUCUGAGGACUCAUUUUGGUAUGUAGUGGCAACACAAUUGGCACAUAAACUGCGCACCCAAACACAUGUAAAUGAGAGAUGUCAAGCUUGUAUCCAGUAACCAACUGUAAUGGUGAAUGAGGUUGGGUAACGGUGAGCCUCAGGCGGACCAACAUAGUUGUGUGCAAUAUUACGUGGCCCUAGGCAGAUACCGGCAAAUUGGUUCUCAUAACCAAAGUAUGAGCUAUCGUUUGAAUGUGCUUUAUGAAAGCUUCUACUAGGCCAUUUUGGGUGUGAACAUGGGGUACAUGAUGUUCAAUUUCAAUCCCAAUGGAAAUCCAAUAAUCAUUAAAGGUUUGUGACGUAAACUCUCCAGCAUUAUCCAGUCGAAUCGACUUUAUCAGAUAAUCAUGAUGGUGAGCCCUUAACUUAAUAAUUAGUGCUAGGAGUUUCGCAAAUGCAGUAUUGCGUAUGGAUAAUAAGUAGACAUGUGACCAUCGUGUUGAUGCAUCAACCAACACCAUAAAUGAUCUAAAUGGUCCGCAUGUUGGUUAGAUAGGUUCAUAAAUAUCCCCUUGAAUUCUUUGAAGAAAUUUAGGGAGGGGUCGUGAAUAAUCUUUAUAAUUGAGGGUUGAAUGUUUAACUUCCCUAAGGAACAUGCUUUGCAAAGCGGAUGGCCGGGAUAAGAUUUCAAGUGAUGCCCAUGAAAUGCUUUGAGGAUAUGACGCAUCAUAUCUCGUCCGGGGUGUCCCAUUCGAUCAUGCCAAAGCAGGAGAGUGUCUUGGAACCCAGCACUAGGGCCGGCCACAUGGUGUGUCUUUACGGCUUGAAUGGUUGUUAUGUAUAACCCACUUGGGAGACAUUCUAGCUUUUUGUGAAUAUGUUUUCAGCCAUAUUCAUAGGAAGUGAUACAAAGAAAUUCAGAACCAUUUUCUUCAGUGGUUUCAACAUGAUAUUGAUUAUCUCAAAUAUCUCUAAAACUCAUCAACGUUCUUCCAGAAUGUGGAGAAUAAAGUGCCUCUUUAAUAGUUAAUUUAGUACCAUUUGACAACAUUAUACGGGCUUUUUCGUAUCCUUCUAUCAGGUUGGAUGGGCCUGAGAGGGUUGUCAGAAGUCCAUUCUUAGGUAUAAAGUUAGUAAAAUAGUGUUUCUCACGCAAUAUGGUGUGUGUAGUUGCAUUAUCUGCCAGACAACUAACUUCCCCACUAGUCAUACCUAGAAAUAAAUUAAUUGAAUCGGGAUGGGGUUCAGCCACUAGCUGUUAAACACCCUAAAGACAUGUCUAAAUUUAUUCUUCCAUAGGAGUAUAUGCCUCCUGAAAAUCUGAAACCUUCAGAGUUGUAGUAGCGCCUUCGGGGAUUUCUACAUGCGGAAAGUUGGACUCACGACGUGAAUGAUACUUGGCAAUGGCCUCAGGGGUAGCUCGUCAUAUGCAUGAUCAAUGAUCCCUUGAUCCACGGCAGUAACACAUGUGAAAUUUAGUGGAAUUUGAUUGAAUUGUAGCUUUUCCCUUGUUCUUGAAGUUUGGGGCCUUCGGGGCAAGGGGUUGGCGCUUCUGGGUCAAGUUUCCUUCCUUGGAUGAACCUCUAUUCGGUGGACCUUAGGCAUGUGGUGGACCUUGCCACCCAUUGCCACGGCCACGACGGAAUCUCCAUUAGUUUUGGCAGUUUGAAGUUGUCGCGUGCGCUUCAGGCGCAAUGUUCGAGCUUGAUGAUUCUUCAUCAAAAGCUGGUUCUAUUUUUCAACAAGAAGUAUAACAGAUAUCAAAUCCAAAAAUUUGGUGAACUUUUAUACCCUAUAUUGUUGUUGCAUGACAAUAUUGGCCACAUUGAAGGUUGAAUAGGUUUUCUUCAGGAGAUCAUGUUCAGUUAAGUCCUCGUUACAGAACUUAAGUAAUGAUCGGAUUUUACAAACUUCAGAGUUGUAUUCAUUCACAGACUUAAAGUCUUGGAAGCGUAAAUUCUAUCAAUUGUGUCUUGUUUCGGGCAAGAAGAUGUAUUUCUGGUGAUCAAAGCAAUCCGCCAUAGUGAGCCAGAGGGUUCGGGGAUCCUCCUCUACGAGGUACUCUGUCUAUAAUGCAUCAUGGAUGUGUCUUCGGAUGAAGAUCAUAGCAAUAACUUUUUAAGCUUCGUCGACGGGUGCAUCCUCGGUUGGUUCCUCAAUGGUAACUCUAAGACUCUUUGCAGUAUGAUGGAGUUCAUGUCUUGAACCCACUUCAGGUAGUUUCUUCCAUAGGCUUCCAAAGCGGUGAAAUCAAGCUUGUUCAAGUUCGACAUGUCCCUAAACAAAGGGUACACCAAAACGUGGUUAGUCGUAUAGACAUAUAUCGUACAACAUUUGGGUUCUAUAGACAUAUAUUGGUUUAAUUUAUGUAUAAAAGCUACAGGUUUCAUGUGGUAAGUUUUGAAUGUUGAUUUAGUUUAUGAACGUUUUUGUUCAUAUAUGAGGGUAUCUGCAAGAACACAUAAUACAAUAUACAAUAAACUGUAGUGGAUUUGUGGAUUGCUUCAAGAACCCAAGCGUGAGUGAUUCAGGACUAUGAAAGAUAGUCAACGGUUCAAAAAGAUGAAAUAAUUUAUUGAAUCGUUAAUACCAAAAAGUGAGCUUUAUGCCAAUAAUUUUGGAUUAAUUAUCAAAUUAGUGGACUGCUGGUCACUUUAAUUAAUUCAAUAGAUUGAAACCAUUCGAGGUCGAUCGUAGAAGCAAAAAUAAUUAUAACAUGUGGGUUAAAAUUAUUUAGAAUGCCAAAAAUCAGCAUUGGGUUCGAAAAAGAAUAGCCCCAAAAAAAUUUAGGAUCGGGUUGACUGUAAUAGGCAGCCCAAAGGUGACAACAGGCCACGGGUUGAGAAGGAAAAGCCUAGCCAUGAAGACUGGCGUGUUGGGUCGGGUCAGACAUGAGGGGCAAGCCUAAAGGCUUGCAAGUAGGCACGUGAAAACCCUAGCCGGGGUUGGGUUUUGGGACUUGGGCUUGGGGAAGUAAGCCCAGCCAUCUGGGCUGGCUAUUUGAUUGCGGGCCGUGGCAUAUAUAAACCCAGCAAGCCAAGGAGGGUGCUGCAGAUGGGCUGGGGCUUUAGGCCCAUGUUUGGGACAAGCCCAUCAUGCUUCUGGCAUACAGGUUUGGGCUCGAAUGGAUCGAGGCUUGCAGGCCCGUGUGACAGACGACCCAAGCUGAAGCUUGGUUGGGUUCGAAAGGUGCAACAAGCCCAGAGGGUUGCGUAGGUGGUCCAAGGCGUCGAGGCCACGCCAUCCCAUGAUGAUCCACAAUUGUCAUGCUCCGACUCGCAAAUAAAGACUAUUCACGAGUUAGGGUGUGAGCCACAUCUUAGCUAUAGAAAUAAAUUCUACAACCAAGAUAUAGUGGAAAAUAAAAUAAAAUUAUAACGAUUACACAAUACAUCAUAUAAAAAAUAAUUAAAGCUUGAGUUUACCACAUAUAAUUUAUUGAAUAUGCAGCGGAAAUAAAUUUAUUAGUAUACAAAAUUAAUUCAUAACAAAAGUACCAACUAAAAUAAUAAUUGAAAUGAAUAGCUCUUGCAAAUACAUAAAAUGUAUGCAAUGAGAUGCAUGAAUGUACUCACUUUCUUCUAAUCCCGUCAACACAUACCUAAGGUACCCAAGCCUGCACGUCUCAUACCAUGCUUAUACCACUUGGCUCCGAGUACGUUAGAUUAUGAGUUAACUCCCGUUCAUCCCUUAAGCCAAUUUUUGUAAUUAAACUCUCAGUUUCCACUUUAUUAAACAGACACUUCCCCUGACGCCCAAAUGUAUAUUCAAGCCCUGCACCCUACGCCUAACAUAUACACGAUUUCAUUAUUUUAUAAUCAACCAAUUUGUAUACUCAAGCCUUGCACCCUACGCUUGACAUAUACAUGGUUCAUUAUUAUUCAAGGCAAACUUCAGCUCUUGAAUAUCCUCACAACUAAAACACUUUACACAAGUGAGCACUUGACACAACAUAACUCUUUUUUCUAGCUUUGCAAUGCAUAUGUAUAUGUCCUGUUCACAUAGAUAUUAUCAAUACUCACAUUUUAUCUAACAAGCCUGCAACUUCAACAUAAAUCAAAUUGAUUAGUAACAAGGGUAAUAUAAUCAUAAUAUUAAGAAAAUAAUAAUCUAUAAUCCAUCAUAUAAAAUGUUGCUCGUUGACCACUCCAUAUAUAUUUGUUCAUCGUCUCGUCCAUCUUGGUCGGGCAACCUGUUUUUAUUAGAAAGGAAAAGACAUCCAUGUUAGAGAAAAUAAUUGUUAGAGUGAAAUAUAUGUCUCAAAAGCCACAAGGCAUGAAAUUAUGUCUCUAGCUUUUCCCUUUCCAAACAUCAUCUUUUAUUUUUAUUUUAGCCCACCACUUUUACUUCUUCUUCUUUAAUAUAAUUGAAACUAUCAGCUGUUCGAACCGAGAUAUAAGUCAACACAUAGAUUGGAUUAUCGUGAUUUUUGGAUAUGUUAUAGAGUAGAUGAUAAGGAACAACUUUUGUGAAAGAAGUGUUUCGAUUGGAGUUACAAAAAAUGGGGUUUUGGUACUCAUAACAUGGCUGUCCAGUUUUCUGCGGGAGUAGAGACUGAGUUGGUAUUUUAAAAAUAUUGGACGAUCACACCGUUGGAUGUUUAUGAAAUUUUGAUAUAUCAUGGUAGAGAAAUAGACGAACAACUCUCAUGAAGGAAGUAUUAUAAUAUAUUAAAUGGAUGAUGGUGUUUUGAUCUGUUAAAUAGGCUGUACGAAUUUCUAGUUUUGGAUAUCUUUCUUUUGAUAGAUGAAAAUGAUAGUAGUUUGAUGGAGAGAUUUGUUGGGUAAGGUCUCAUGUAUUUUUCUGGGAUUUGUCUCACACUUCUUGUACAUCAUUCUAAAGGGAAAUAAAUGAAGAUUUUUGAUGGUUUGGUGGAAGUGCUUCUCAUGUCAAUGAACUCAAAAUGUAAACGGAUAAACACACAAGAUUUAAGUGGUUCGCCAAAUCGACUACAUCCACUGGGGUUUGCUUUCAUUGUAUUUCACUAGAUAUAUAUAAGGGACUUACAAAUACAAAGAAAGAUGGCUUAAAGCCCUAACAAUAUGUAAAAAAAGGUAAUUGGGUAAUAUGAAAGGGAGGAUGGCUUUUUAUUGGAGUUGUUCCUUUUCUUCUUCUUCUCCCUCUCUCUUCUCUCUAUCUCUUUCGUUUGGUGAGUGCUCCUUCCUUUAUAGAGAUUGUAUUGCAUCUUCCUCUCCAAAGAAUCUCCACAAGUAUGCCAAUAGAAAGAAAGCAAGUGUUGUGCUAAUCAUUACCAUGAAAUGUGUUCCAAUCACAAAGCAACAAUUGUUGUCCUAAUCUAUAGCAAUGAUAUGUGUUCCAAUACCAAGUCACCAAGUGUUGUUCUCAUCAUUAACUAUGAAAUGUGGUCCAAUAGACAAACAACAAAUGUUAAGCAAAACCUUAGCUCUAAUAUGUGUUCAAAUGGCAAAGAGACAUGUGUGAAGUUAAUCAAUAUUAUGGAAGGUGGAUGCAAGCAUCCAAGGCCACAUUCAUCUCCAAGGAAUAUGCAUCCCACCCGUUCUCACCUCAUUGGAAAAUUUGGAAUGAUAGAUUGAAGCAUUGAAGAGAAAAUAUAGAAAAUUAAUUGAAAUUCCCCUAGGCUAGUGAGUAAGCACUGUAAAACAACAACAUAUUGCCACAUGCAUGCCAAUACAUACACAUACCUAGUCUAUGGCUCUAAAUAGACUCACACCUCUCCAAUGUUUAGAGGUGAGUAAUCUCUCUAUAUUAACUCAACUUGCCAACUCACUCCUAAUUGGUAAAAAUAUCAAACCAAACUCAACACUUAGCCACACGUAUAAGCCAAAGGCUUCCCACCUCCACACCCUAAUUAUAAGCUUCUAUUAAUUACCAACUUCCACCUUAACCCAUCUAGAGUGGUGACUAACCCCUCCUCUUUAUUCUCUAAUGAUUGGGAAAACUCUACUUAGCCUUUGUGAGAAAAUAAAGUCAAACUCAUGCACUUAGACACAUGCACGUAUGCUAUAUAGACUUCCACUCUAAUUAUUAACUCCUAAUGUUACAAACUCUCCACCUCAUAUUUGAGGGAAAAUAACAAAACAUAACUACUCAUUUAGUCCAACCUCAAACUCUUGGCCAUUUGUGAGGAAAAUCAAACCAAACUAAUUUAAUCUCCCUUCCCCAAUUCAAACUAAAAAUAUCUCUAAUUACAUAUGAACAUGAAAUAGCUAGUUUUUUUAAAAUAAUUUGUAGGAAAAAGGGUUUUACAUACCGAAAAUAGGUUCUUGCAUAAAAUAAAUCUAAUAAAAUCAUUACAUAAAAAUAAUUACCCAACAUACACCCAUAUAUAUAUAACCAUUUUUUUUAAAUACGGGGUAUUACAAAAGUGGUGCCGCAACUUUUCCUUUUUUUCAUUUUUUUUAAUUUUUUUUAAUUUUUCGAAUUCUAGGGUUAAAAACCCUAAUUGCUUCUAAAUUAAUUUCAAUUCUUUGACUCAUUAUUCCACAUAGCAUAUAUGCAUAAUGCAUGAACAAUUAUAUAUAUUGACAAAAUAUAUGAACAUAUGUACGAUAUAUAUAAUUGGAAGGAAAAUAUAAAUAUAGAGGGUUCAUGCAUCAUGGGGAAUGUUUUCAUACUUCAAGGUUUUUUCAAAUAUCUUAAUUUAUUUUAAAAGAACCUGAUUGGCAGAAAACGAUUGAGAGCCUUUGAAUUUGUAGAAGAUAGCCUCCUUCUACGAUCCUUCGGUUCCUUAGCUCUGGCAAGAGCGUGAUGAUAACAUGUUGUAGGCCUAAUUAACUGAGCGAUCUAAGGAAUAGAGAGAGAGGGGGGCCAACGACAACAAGAGAGAAAGAGAGAGAGAUUGAAUUAUCAGGUGUGUGUUGUAUCACCCCCUUAUGCCUUUAUUUAUAGCAGUAUGAAGGGUAGAAUCCUUACCCUAUUAGGAUUACAUCUAUUAAUAGGUAAUCAAUUCCUAAUAGGUAAUCAAUUCCUAAUAGGUAACUACAAGAUACUUCUAGAUAUACUAAAAUUUACACAAUCACAUUUCUAAUCCAAUAGGACUUCAACAAUGAGAUAUUUUUUAAUUAUUAAUAAAAACUUAAUAAUGUAUUAAUAAUUAAUUAUUUAUUCAAUUAAUUAUAAUUAUUAAAUAAAAAAUUAUUAAUUUAUUAUUAAUUAAUUAAUUUUUUAUUCUAAUUGACAAAGGGGUGGGCCCCGCUCCUACUACAUCAUUAUUUAAUAGCUAAAUUGACAUAAAAUGUAACGGAGGUCUGAAAUUGCAACGAAUUAAUACAUUGAGGUAUGAUAUUGCAAUAUUUAAAACAUGAGGUAUGAGAUUGUGAUUUGACCUAUAGUAAAGGUAGUUUUAUGUAAUUUACCCAAUUAUUUUACUGUUUCUAUUUUGAUAAAUUAUAUUGAUAAAGUAAAAGAUUAUAACAAGAGUAAAUUGUAACAAUAGUCUCUCAAUUUUAAUUAAAUUAGAGUAAUGGUCCCUCAACUAAAAAUUCAUUACCAUUGGUUCCUUAACUCAUCAAAACGUAUAGUUAUAGUCCUUUUCGUAUACUCCGUUAGAAUUCUGUCACAAUGAGUUAUGUUGGAAUGAUCAUUGCUAAAAUUGGGUUAAAGUUGAGGAACCAUUUCUUUAGUUGAAUUAAAAUUGAGGGACCAUUGAUACAAUUUUUCUUUCUUGAUCUUUCAUAUUUGCCCCUUGAUUUAGCCUCACAUGAAUGACACGUUACUCAUUUUAACAAAAAUGUUCUAAUGGAGUUGAUGAAAAUGACCAUAGCUGCAUGUUUUGAUGAAUUAAGGGACUAAUGAUAAUGAAUUUUUAGUUAAGUGACCAUUGCUCUAAUUAAGUUAAAAUUGAAAAACAAUUGCUACAAUUUACUCUUGCACCUAGGAGGGUUAAAAAGUCAACUCAUAUCAUAGAGAAUUAGGCAAAGGGUUGCUAUACACGAGAACCUAGACUGCGAUGCUAAUGCAACCUACUCUUUUUCCCACUUAAGAGUAAUAUGGGAAACUCGAAUUUUACCGUUGUCUUUUUCUCUUUUCUUUUUUAAAUUUUAUUAUUAUUAAAUGGAUGGGGUAAAAUUGGAAACUAAUUAAAUAAUUAAAGGAAGACGAGAGUUUUGAACUGAAAUAAAAUUCUAACACUAAAAUAUUAAAUCACAUAUCCACUAAAAUAUUAAAUCACAUGUAAAUUUUACCUUUAUCUCUACUAUGGGAAAGUGGUGUGGACCAAAGAUGCUCCCACCUCUAUAUGGAAAGGAGCAUAUAGGAGAGCUUGUGUCUAAAAGUGUUUUUCUCUUUCAUUAUUGAAAUGAGAGCACUAGCGAGUAACGAGUGCUUUUAAGAUAUUGAAUUACUUUUUAUAUUAUCAAUUAGUUUUAAGGUAUAAUUUAAAUUUUUUCAUGGUAUCAGCAAGUUGACUCAUGUGUGAAAUCCAACAGCUACAUAUGCUUCAUGUCACUCAAUUAGUGUUUUCUAAGUGGUUGGCUUGAAAAUUCGUCAUACACGAGGGAGGAUGUGAGAAUGUGAAGGUAAAAAAGUUACACAUCAGUGGAAGGAGAAAUUUUGUAAGGACUUAUAAGAGGUUGAUUUGCAUCUCAUAUUACAAAUUAAUUUUAUGAUAAAAUCUCAACUUUCUUCAUUUAUUUCUUGAAAACAUGAUUAAUCAAGUAAUUAUUUAGCGAUCGAUGGGACACAAAUGGAGAACCAAUUCCGUAGAAAUGUAGUCCUUUCACAUUUGAGGAGAUGUCAAUUAUUGUUGCUGCAUGAUUUCAAAUGUCAAUUAUUGUUGCUGCAUGAUUUGAGAUGUUUCCACUCCCUUGCUUCCCUCAAUACUCCCUUAAGCAAGAGGCUGAGGAGUUUUUUUUUUUUUUUUUCAAACAAACGAUAUUGUUUAUAUUAAAGAAAAUAAAGUAGGUUUAAUCUCAUAAUAGGCUAACAAUAAUGUGGUUCAAAUUCGCCUUUGCGAUAAUCAAACAUAAGAUAUCUCACUUACAAGUAAAGAAAAAUAUCACUAGACCGUAGUACUAAUUGACUUGAGAAUUCAUUUUAUAACAACAAGAUAUUAUUAAGAAAAUGUAUUGUAAAAUUAUUUAACGAUUUCUUAUAAAAACACGUGAUAUGGCCCUAGCAUUAUUAAAAAUUUGAAAAUAAUUUUCACACACUUAUUUUAAUUUUUUUAUCCAAUGAUUAAAAUUCAAGAAAAACAUAAAUGCACGACAAACAUAAAGGUGUGGAAAUCAUUUUUUCGGUGAAAGCACUAUCAGAAAUAGUCAAAUACCCCAAAAUAUGUUCAAAUACUCCAAAAAUAAAGGAUAAAGUAUAACAACACUUCUUGCGAAAGGCGUUAAUCGGAAUAAAGUAUGGUCUUUCAAAUGGGCAUCCAACUUUAAAAAAGUGUGAUAAUUGUAGGGGCAUAGUGUAAAGUGAAUAGAGUAUUGCUAUGACUAAUAGUUUACUAAUCAUGCGGAUUCGGAUCCUCUACUCGGUUUUAUUGUAUUUGUUGUUUGUUAAUUAUCACUGCACAUCACAAUUCAAAAGUGCUUGAGCAGAAGAGUGGUGGAUUUUUCAUUUUUAGUAUGUGGAAACAAAAAAAAUUUGGAACACAUAAAUUGCAACAUGUGAAAUACAUUUGAAAUAAAAAAAUAAAACAUAAAAACCUCAAGCGUACGAAGAGGAGUUUUAUUGAAUUCCUAACCAUUUUUUUCAUCUUGUUUUAAAGAGUCGUAAUUUCAAUUUUUUUUUAAAAAUUAAGAUGGUUUAAUCAAUUGUCAAUUCAGCAUUUUUGUAUUUAUUUAAUAUACAUCCACAUAAGCAAGCUACGACCAUCUCCAAAGGAGAUGUCAAAUUUUGAACAUAAAAUUUAAAUUUGACAGCCUACAUGGCACUUUGACAUAUUAACGUUUCACUCUCCACUCGAUAUGUCAAAUUAAAUUAUUAUUUUAUUACAUUAUUUUGUAUUCUUAAUUUUUGUUCUAUAUUUUAAAUUUUACACAUAUAAAUCAUUCAUGAUAAGUGAAACCCAACAAAUAACUUUUUUUUGGUUGAACACUAAUAAGGACAUGAUCCUCAUCUUUGUUGAACGAAUAACUUUUUUCUUGCUUCCAAACGCUGAAUUAAAGGAUGAGGCGAAAAAAAUUCGAGGCAUGUUCACUGUAUGAAGUUCUUUGUUGAACCCAGCACCACGAAUAACUUUUUUCUUGCUUCCAGACAACACACAAACUAUCAAGGACACACUUGAUAAGCUAUGACACUCACUUUCUAGAAAGACAAACUCUAGACCACUCUUGCUUCUCACUCUCUUACUUAGCUCUCUUCUUGGCUACUUUCUUCUUUGAUUGAUUGAUACAAAUGGUGUGGAUGACUUCUCCUUUUAUAGGCAUGGAUGGAACCUUGGAGAAGCAUGGAAACAUCAUGCUAGAGAUAUCUAGAUAAUUCCACUACCUUCCUAAGCUAGAAUUAUCUACACUAAUCUUGUAUGUUGGUGGAAUCCUCACCAUUCUUCUAAACUCUUCCACCAACUUGAACUUUGCUAGAAUUCUCCAACAUGUGUAUAGAUCUUUCUUUGUCUAUAGGCUGGAUCCAUCUUGGGCCAAGGCAAGAUUACACUUCAACACAAACUCUAAUUGGGCUGGUGUUGAUAUUUAAUACUCCCCCUCAACACCAACUCAUUCUUUCCUCCAUGCCGAGUUGACAAUGAAGCUUUUUCUUGCACACCCAUUUGCAUGAUAUGGGUUUCACAUCUCUUUGUUUUGGCACUAGAUUCCAAGCUUGAUUUAGCUCCACUGCAGUAACCUCUUUUCCCAAUUUUGAGCCACUCAUGUUCAUCUGCUUCUUCUUUAAUGGCUGCAUUGGUGUAUUUAGGAUUUUGUUUUCGGAUUCUUGUUGACCUCCUUAGUUGUGAUUGUGGAGUUGGUACUUCCACUUCACUAGGUCUAUCUUCUUCUGGUUGUUGAUAUACGCCAGCUUGCCAAGGGUUUUAGGGCACAACUAGCUCAACACCAUUACCAUCAAGUGAAUCCUCAUACUCAUCUAGUCUUGAUUGGAUUCGAACAGUUUGCUCCCUCAUCUUCUGUUGCAGCUUAUCAUCAACAUCUCUCGAAUCAGGCAAUGCCUCUUUUUUUCUGAAGACCACCAAGAAGAUGGUUCAUCAAACACCAUAUCUUGUGAUGUGUAACACCUUACAGUCGUAGUAUCACAACAUUUCCACCCUUUUCUUUGGCUGCAGUAUCCCACAAAGAUACAUCGGACUGCCUUCCUGUCAAACUUGCUACAUAGAUGGCUUGGAACAAAUGCGUAACAUACAUAGCCAAAUACUCGAAAGUAACCAACUGUAGGUUUCAUAUCCCAUAGUUUUUCAAAGGGUGAGACAAAUUCUAACCUUGGUUGAGAAAGCCUGUUGAUCACAUGAGCUGCAGUUCUCAUAGUUUCUGCCCAAAACUUUCCUGGUACAUUCUUGGCAUGGAGCAUACUUCGACAUAUUUAUGCAAGAUGCCGGUUCUUUCUUUUCGCUAUGUCAUUCUGUUAUGGCAUGUUGACACAUGUGAAUUGGUGACGUAUUCUAUAAUCUCUUAAAUACUGGGAAAACUCAUUUGAGGUAUAUUCUCCUCCAUUAUCCGUGCGUAUGCAACAGAUCUUCUUUCCCACUUAACUUCAAUUGUCUCCUUAAACUCUUUAAAUUUUGAAAAUGUUUUAGAUUUUUCUUUCAUAAAGAAAACCCACACAUACCUGGAGAAAUCAUCAAUGAACGUCACCAUGUACCGCAUCCCACUUAUCAAUGGUUGUUUGACAAGCCCGAACACAUCGGAAUGAACCAACUCCAAAGGUUUUUUCGCUUUAAACUUUGACUUUUAGUGUAGUAGCUGAUGUCCUUUACCAUAUUGGCAUCCUACACAAACCGUGUCUGUUCUCACGUCAAGCUGAGGUAGUCCAUUAAGCAUUGACUUCUUCAUCAUCACAUUUAGCUUAUGAUAGCUAACGUGACCCAAUCUCAUGUGCCAUAAAUCUGCUAUCUCGUUCUUCCUUGUCUUGUCUACGUAUGCAGUUUCUGUUCACAUUACAUAGACUGAUUGCAAUCGCUGUCUCUCCAUUGUUGGCGUCCCUAAGAACUUGAGGUGUUGAUACACCUUCACAUCUCGUGGACCAAACAAGACAUAAUUUCCUAAUGACGUUAGUUGCGGCACUAAAAACAUAUUUUUCUUCAUACCUGGAACAUGGUAAACAUCUUGAAACGGCACAUGGUUAAUUUUAUAUCGGGGCUCAAUUACUGUCUUACCGAUGUGAGCAAUCGGUAGCCUCGAGUUGUUGGCCGUCACCACCAAGCGGCCUCCUUUGCACUCAGUUAGACUUUGUAACGUUUUCUCAUCACUUGUCAUAUGGUUUGAGUAGCCUGAAACCACGAUCUAAUCAUUUUAGUAGUUAAUCGACUCUAGACUUACUGUUGUGAGAGCUGACUCUUGCUUCUCCAUAGCAGCGGAUGCUUCAACAUCUCAUUCUUCCUCCAAGGUUAGAGAUGCUACGGCAUCCCAGACAUCUUCACUUUUCUUCUCUGAAUUAGCGAUGUUACUUUCUGCAGACUUUUUGAACCAUCAAUCUUUUGCCAUAUGACCUUUCUUUCCACAAUUGUAACACUUACCCUCAAACCUUUUAUUGUUCUAGGACUGACCACGGUUGCCUUGAUACUUCAGAGCUCCCCCUGGCUGAGAAUUCCCUCAUUCUUGAUGACCAUUUUCCUUGUCACCAUUUCUUUUAGAUCCACCAUCAGUAUGCUGCUUAAAGCUACCUUUACUUUUGGUGUAGAGUCCUUCCUCCUCACCUCUUAACGAGACCCCUCCCAUUUGGUUUGCCAAAGCUUUAUGAUCGACAAGCAAAUUCGUAAACUCAACAAGUGAUGGUUGGGUCGGCCAUUGUUGUACAGCGGCAACGAAGCCUUGAUAUUCGGGUCUCAAUCCAUGGAUAAUUAUUCUUUUUAUCCUGGAUUCUACAAUGGUAGCAUUAGGAUCUAAUUUAGAAAUUUCACAGCAAAUAGACUUUACCUUGUGGAAAUAUUUUGCAAUCAUCAUGUCUCGUUGGGCCACCCAUAGCAACUCGUUCUCGAGAAGCUGGAGUCUUGUAUCGUUCCUCUUUGAAAAUAUUGUGGCGAAGGUGUCCCACACUUCUUUUGGUGUCUUGGCCUUCCGUAUGUGCUCCAACAUGUCAUCUUCAAUUGUGGGUUUUAAGGCAAACAUGGCCUUACCUGCCUUGAUCUUCGACUUCCUUAAAAUGCCGCUGAUGUUUUCUUCCGGCUGCAUAACUUCAUUACCGCCGACGACAUCCUAAAGGUCUUGGCCUUAUAGGUAAGACUCUAUGCACUCGCCCAUGUGUUAUAAUUUUUGUUGUUCAACUUCUUAAUUCCUCCAACAACUUGAAGAUCUCCCAUCGUGUCAGUAGAACUUCAAUAAGCUGAACAAGAUUAACGAAUAAUCUUGCGAAGUACUAAACUUCUCACGAUUCUAAAAAACUUCACUAGAGACGAUCUCCGAUCGUACCGUUCUGAUACUAAUUGUUGGGGAAAAACUUAAAGUACACAACUCUAACACAAGUAUUGGAGAGACAACACAAGUAAACAAAUUAUUUGUAUUACACUCACAAAAGAUUACAACACACAAACUAUCAAGGAUAAACUUGAGAAGCUAUGACACUCACUUUCUAGAGACAAACUCUAGACCACUCACACUCCUACAAGACUACUCUUACUUCUCACUCUCUUACUUAGCUCUCUUCUUAGCUACUUUCUUCUUUGAUUGAUUGAUACAAAUGGUGUGGAUGCCUUCUUCUUUUGUAGGCAUGGAUGGAACCUUGGAGAAACAUGGAAACAUCAUGCUAAAGAUAUCUAGAUGAUUCCACUACCUUCCUAAGCUAGAAUUAUCUACACUAAUCUUGUAUGUUGGUGGAAUCCUCACCAUUCUUCUAAACUCUUCCACCAACUUGAACUUUGCUAGAAUUCUCUAGCAUGUGUAUGAAUCUUUCUUUGUCCGUAGGCUGGAUCCAUCUUAGGCCAAGGCAAGAUUACACUUCAACAUAAACACCAAUUGGGCUGGUGUUGAUCUUCAACAUGUUUCUCAUCCAUUAUGUACACACAUAUCCCAUAAACAUUCACCAAUUUUCUUUACCAAUUAAUUAAUCUUUUUUCAUAUCCUCUGUUUUGCCUCCCCAGAGCUUCGGGAGCUAAUCCCAAGAGGCCUUCAUUCUCUAAUCUUUAUCGUAACUCUAUCAUUGAUUAAAAACAGAAAGAAAGAGGCAGGAUAUGAACUGACUACACGUUCAACAAUCAACAUUUAUUAUAAUAAAUGAUUAAACUAAUUAAAAAAUAUUUAAUAAUUAAUUAAAAAAUAUUUGAAGCUGCUGUCAAAUUUGAUAGAAGCCCCCUUCGCUGCCAUUCCAUGUCAUGCCACAUAGAAUUUGACACUUUGGUUGGAAACAAUUAGUGGCUGUCUUUUUUUACUGUUAUAACUUAUGUGGACAUUUUGACAUCUACUUUGGAGAUGCUCUAAUAACUAUUUCCUACAGUCUAAGGAUUUUAAAUUUGUGACUUUAUUAAUUAAAAAUAUUAAUUUAACUAAUUCCUUAUUGUCAUUGCAAGUGGCAUUUUACUACAGUAGUAGAAAUGUGUUGAGUCCUUGCAUGGCGGCGUGGGUUCAAACUUUGUCGGUGACUAGUCUAACAUAUAAUUUAUUAAAAUUUAAUAAUCUAUUGUUUGACCAAAAAAAAAAUCUUUAUUGUCAUUAAAAAAAGAGAGAAUUUUUUAUUUCUAUUAUUAUAUUUAAUUAGUCUCUUGCUACAUUAAAAAAAAGAAGUUAUUAAUACUUUCAUAAGAAAGCUUCAUUAAUUUGGUAAAAUUUUACAUAUAGUUAUAUAAAUGUAUUUAAAACUUAUGGUACAUUUGAAAAUAAACGUACCGACUUUUAGUACGUUUAGAUUUUAAAUGUACUAAUAAAUAAAUGUACCAUAAAACCAAAAUUGCUCAUAUUAUAGGUAAUCAAAUGAACUAAUACAAUCAAACGAUCAUACAAUCAAACGUACCUUUACUAUGAUUAUGUAUGUGAUAAUGAGUUUUGAACAUUCUAUUUAAUUCACUAAACUAAAUAGUAUAAUAAACAAUAAAAAAAAUCUAAAAUCUCCAGAAUGAGAGAUGCAUAUAACUACAACAAAUUCAUAGGUAAGGAAUGAUAGGGAAAAAAGGAAAACGAAAGUAGAGAUGUAAUGUGAAAUUUUUUAGGGUGGCUAGCAAACAAUUUCAUGAAAAUUACCCAAAAGGUUCAAAAAAAAAAAAAAAAAAAGGAACUUCUAAAAUUGAACUUUUAAUAAAAUGAAAUUAAUCACCAAAACUGUAGAAAAAAUGUUUAAUCAAAUUCUUAAAAAUAAUAGAUGUUUAAGCAAUGAAAUUGAAAAACUAAGCGUUUAUAUCAAUACGCUCCUAAAAUAUGUAAAAUAAUCAUGGGAACACAAACCAUACCCCUAAGAAUAAAGAGGCAACACGUGAAAUGCAUGGCUUUUCAUUUUUAGUAUAAAUACUUGAUGGUGUUCUUGGAUGAGAUUGUCCAUCUUUUACAUCUCUUUGUUUUUCGAGCUUAAUUAUGGCAGAGUUUGAAAGUGUCAAAUCUUGACGAUUUUGAUUUUUGACGUUUAUUUGUCCAGCAAUAUUGCGCACGAAUCUCUGCUUCUGCACAGCUACAAGAGAAGCUUCAAUGGCAUUGCUGCCAGGCUAACAGAGGAAGAAGCACAGAAGUUGGCUGGUUGUCUUAUGAACCCAACUUUAAUUUAUUUUUCAACUUGCAUAAACAUUAAUAGUGACCAUUGUAUGACGAGAAAAAUAUAUGCAGGAAUGGAUGGUGUGGUGUCUGUUUUCCCUAGUGAAACUAAGAAGCUCCAAACAACAAGGUCAUGGGACUUCAUUUGGUUUUCUGAAAUGGUGAAGAGAAGCGCCAUUGAAACUGACAGGGCCGGCCCAGGUCCAGUGCAGGCAGGGUGACCGUUUAGGGCCCAAAAAAAUUAGGGGCACCAAAAUUAUUAGGGCGGUAUAUUUAUAUAUGUUUUUAUAAGAGUAUAAAUUUAUAAAAUUUGGUUCAAAGACACAGAAAUUUAACUAGAAGUGGUGGUUUGUAAUUUGAAAAUGAUGAGGAGGUCUUGGGUUCAAAACACCAUGUGUGCUUAUUUACUUUCCAUUUUUUACAAAUUUCUUUUUAUAAGAGUAUAAAUUUAUAAAAUUUGGUUAAAGGAUCAAGAAGUUUAAUUAGAAACAAUAAUUUUUGUUGUUUAAAAUUAACAAAAGAUCCUAAGUUCGAAAUGCUAUGUGCAUGUUUAUUCUUUUCAAUUUUUACAAAUUUUUGUUUGGUUGUUAAUUUAUUUUUAGUUACUAUCUAGUAACUAUAUGGGUUGUUAUUUUUAAAUAUUCGUUUUAAUUCAAGUCUAAUCUUCAAAAAGAAUAAUACAUAGACCAAAUUUGCAAAUUAUAUGACGUGUCAUCAAAAUUUUUAAUUUAGCGCCCAUUCAUUAAUAAUACAUAUCAAUUAAAUACUCGAAAACAUCAUUAUUUUUUAGUCCCAUUUUGACAAGGUUAGUAAAUAAGAAAAAAAAAACUCAUGAUUUAUUCAAAAAACAUUCAAAGUUCAGAUAGAAAACCAAACUCAUCAUCUAUCUACUUGUAAGCCCGAAGUUUUUUUGUUUCCCUCUCUCAAUACAAAAUAAAUUAGUCUUUCUGUGUUUCUAAAUUAUUGAGUUUGAAGUGUUUUUCUAAGCAUAAUUUUUUCGAUGUCUUAUGUGUGAAAAUAAAUAAUUUUCUUACAUGAAGUUAAGGCAUUUUUUUUUAGGUCGCCCCGAGCCUCAAAAAUCUCUGGACCGGGCCUGGAAACUGAUAUCAUUGUCGGGGUGAUUGACUAUGGAAUUUGGCCCGAAUCUGCCAGCUUCAGUGACGCCGGGUUUGGUCCACCCCCCACAAGGUGGAAAGGCGCAUGCAAGGGCGAAGACAAUUUUACUUGCAACAAGUAAAGCAAACCAGUUUAUUUCAACCAUCCACUGCACAUUUCAAAAAAAUAUAUAUAUAAAUAUAUCACGUGUUGUUGUUAAUUACACUUGGACAGAAAAAAAAAAGUGCGAACUUGAUUAUAAUUUGUAUGAUAUGUUGUCAAAUUGUAACUCUGACUUAAAUAAUAUGACAAAUUGUUGUUACACUUGGACAGUAAAAUUAUCGGAGCACGGUAUUACCGCAGUCUACCCUACCCCAAAAAUAGCAGUGAUAUCCUGUCUCCGAGAGACACGGAAGGCCAUGGAACCCACUGUGCAUCAACAGCAGCAGGGAACUUAGUUAGCAAGGCAAGUCUGUAUGGUUUAGGGUUGGGGACAGCAAGAGGAGGGGUGCCAUCAGCACGCAUUGCGGUGUACAAGGUUUGUUGGUCAGAAGGGUGCCUGGAUGCUGAUAUACUAGCGGCAUUCGAUGAUGCCAUAGCUGACGGUGUUGACAUACUCUCUGUCUCCCUUGGGGGGCUUAAACCGUUAGACUACUUCAGAAAUUCCAUUGACAUUGGAGCUUUUCACGCUUUAAGAAAAGGAAUAUUUACUUCCGCAUCUGCUGGUAAUGAAGGUUCAAACCUGAAAACUAUUACAAACUUUGCACCAUGGUCUCUUGCUGUGGCUGCUAGCACCAUAGAUCGUCACUUUGAUACCAAGGUUCAAUUGGGAAACCACAAAAUUUAUGAGGUAAUUGAUACAGAAUCUAACCUUUGCUCAUUUAGGGCUUUGUUUGGUAGUGAUUCUGGUUGGGCAAUAUAUAAUCACUUUGGAGAAUCAACAAUAUAUAUACACACACACACACACUCUGAAGAUGCACCAAAACACUAGAGAAGUGAUUAACCUGAGAGUUGAUUAUGAUUUGUGUUGAUGCACAACAUUAAUGAGAACUUUGGUACAACAGAAAAUGUUAAGUUUGUGACCUUCGCUAGAUUGCUCCGGUCACUAGUGUGGAUAAGUAUGUAAAUGGAUAGAGACAGAGGAGAAAACACAAGAUGUACGUGGUUCACCCAGAUUGGCUACAUCCAUGAAGUAGAGGAGUUCUCAUUAAUUGUGAAGGGUUUACACAAGUACAUAGGUUCAAGCUCUCCUUUAGUGAGUACAAGUGAAUGAUUUAGUACAAAUGACAUUAGGAAAUAUUGUGGGAGAAUGAUCUCUUUUUAUAGAAGAGUUUCUAGCUUUGUCUGAUAUUGACACGUGUCGUGUUGUGAUUGGCUUCUGAUGUUGACACGUGUCGCGCUGUGAUUGGCUUCUGAUGUUGACACGUGUCACAUUGUGAUUGGCUUCAUGGUUUGAUGGAAACUCUUCUGGGUCAUUGACGGCAUAACGUUGACCGGUGCUCAGUAGUUUCGGGAUUGGUCAAGUAUGGUACAAAUAAUGCUCCCUUAAGUUCCCGAGUGAGGGAAACUCCUCGGUUGGGGACUUGCAAAAUCCAAGUCGCUGAGUAAUCACGAAACUUCUAAGUACUGAAGUGUGGUAUCGUCUUCACUUGCCUUAUUUGUCUCAUAGGUAGAUGUGGCAGCUUCUCUGGAAGUACUCUUCCUCCAUCUAUGGGUGGUUUCUUUAAUCGGUGGAGAUGCACAAGGUACUGUAUCAAUUUCACUUGAAGCUUACUUGUAGUUUCAGGCUUGGUCAAGCGCGAUACAAACCAUGUAGUAGGAGUCCCCCAAGUUGCCGAGCUAGAAGAUCUGCUGAAAGAGGUGACAUACAAGGUAAGCAAUCAGUCCCAGAUCAGAAGUUUGAUUUCGAGUUCCGGCUGAUUGUUCUCAUUCUCCUUAUCUUGUAGGCAGCAUGAAGGAUAAAGAGAAGAAAAAGGAGAAGAUAUGAUAUAAGAUACCUUUGCUUUUGAAGAAGUAACUUUCCACAUGCUUAUUCUUGAAUUGGGCUAAAGGGUUUUCUAGCUUCCUCCAGAGUACAAGGCCGACUCAAGAAUUUGAGGGUCAAAACAAGUCUAUCAAAUCAAGAGUGUGUUCGACCUUGAUGAUAUGUGAUACUUUUUCUAUUGACAAAGUAAUAGAUGAAUCGGCACAUGUUCUAUUGCGUUUGUCUCCACAUGCUUCCUUGUAUCCUUCUCACUUGCCCUAUCUGUUCCUCAAGAAGAUGUGGUAUCUUUUCUGGAAGCAUAAGAUGUUGAAGAUGAGUACUCGAGAGCAAUGCCAGGUAAGUAAUCAGGUAAAGAGUUCCAGGUAGUCAGUUCCUGACUGGAAGCUUGAUUCCAAUUGCUGACUCUAUGCUCUCUUUCUCAUUGUCUUGCAGGUAAGAACAAGGUCAAAGGAAAAGACAUGGAAAAAACAUAAUAUGGGAUACUCUUGCUUGUAACCCUGAUGAUAUGAGAUACUCUUGCUCUGGUGUGGCUUGUUUGCAGAGGUAUUAUCAGGGAGAAAUAAGCUGAGUAUUUUGAGAGACUCUAUUGAGAGUGUCCUCUCAGAUGUGAAGAAAAGUUGAGCAUUUUUUUUUUAUUUGCAGGUUUACUUGGCUGUGGAGGAUGAAGGUUGACAUAUAUAGGAAUUAUCCCAACAGCGAGUAGUAACGUUGUUCCUUUACCCUUCUCGGUUAUAGCAAUGUAGUGGGAGCUGCAAGAUUCACGUGUUUUAACUUUGCCAGAGCACUUUGAAAAAGUGGUAUGUGGUAUCUGGAAAGCUGAUGUUGCGUGUGAAGAUUGCAGAUAAGCUUUAUCCAAGGAAAUCUGGCUCUCAAAGUUUGGAGAGUGGUGUCUCUUCAAUUUUCGAACAAGCAAUCAUGUCGGGGAUCUAGCUUUCGAGAUUCGAAGAACGAUGCCUCUUCGAUUUUUAAGAAAGCAAUCCUGUUGGGAGUCUGGCUUUUGAGAUUCAGAGAGUGGUGCCUUUUCGAUUUUUGAGAAAACAAUCAUGUUGGAAGUCUGGCUCUUAAGAUUUGGAGAGCCGUGCCUCUUCGAUUUUUGAAAAAACAACCCUAUUGGGGUCUAGCUCUCGAGAGUCGGAUAGCGAUGCCUCUUCAAUUUUUGAGAAAGCAAUCAUGUUGGGAGUCUGACUCUCGAGAUUCGGAGAGCAGUGCCUCUUCGAUUUUGGAGAAAGCAAUCCUGUUGUGAGUCUGGCUCUCGAGAUUCGGAUAGUGGUGCCUCUUCGAUUUUUGAGAAAGCAAUCCUGUUGUGAGUCUAGCUCUCGAGAGUUAGAUAGCGGUGCCUCUUCGAUUUUUGAGAAAGCAAUCCUGGUGAGAGUUUGGCUCUCGAGAUUCAAGGAGCGGUGCCUCUUCGAUUUUUGAGAAAGCAAUCCUGUUGUGAGUCUGGCUUUCGAAAAAUAGUGCCUCUUCGAUUUUUGAGCAAGUAAUCAUAUUGGGAAUGUUUUCUCGAUGUGAGUAAAGGUUGGGUAUUUUUGCCAAUCUGCCCUGCCACGAAGCACGGAGGUUGACACGCAUAGGGACUUUCCAGUUAUUAAGUAGUGGUGCUGUUCCUUUACCCUUGUGGGUAAUGGUAGGGUAGCUGGACCUUCAAAAUUUAUAUGUCUAAACUUUGUUAGAGAUCUUUGACAAAGUUAUCUGUGGUACCCGAGGAACUGAUGUUGCGUGUGAGGAUUGUCGACAUAUUUUACUUAGGAAAAUCUGCUUCUUGGAAUCCGGAAAGUGAUGUCUCUUCGAUUUUUAAACAAACGGCCUUGCUGCCAUUUCUUUUAUAAGGGCACCAAUUGUGUGCAAGAAGUACGUUCAGAGAGUUAUUGCUUAUAGGAAUUUUCCCUUUAUUUUUGUACUUCAGAGAUUUAUGGGACCUCAUUUCUCCUUCAUCAUUUCUGAAAAUGUCUGGCCCAUCCGACCAUCGUUUUGACUUGAACUUUGGUGAAGAGGCCGCCAUGCCUCCUCAAGACAACAUAUGGCGCCCAUCCUUCUUAUCCCUUAUAGGUCUUCUUACCGUUGGAGACUCUGUGACGAAGAAUGAUAUGACCGUUAUGGUGGUGGCCAGGAACCUUCUCACUCCCAAAGAGAACAGACUACUUUCCAAACGGUCUGAUGAGUUGGCUGUUAAGGAUGCUCUGGCUCUCAGUGUUCAGUGUGCAAGUUCUGUGUCUAAUAUGGCCCAACACCUAUUUACUCAUUGGUGACUGAAGUGAUAAGUCUCAAACAGAAGAUUAGAGGGCUCAAGCAUGAGAAUAAAUAGUUGCACAGGCUCGCACAUGACUAUGCUACAAAUAUGAAGAGGAAGCUUGACCAGAUGUAGGAAUCUGAUGGUCAGAUUUUACUUGAUCAUCAGAGGUUUGUGGGUUUGUUCCAAACGCAUUUAUUGCAUUCGUCUUCUAGGGCUGUACCACGUAAUGAAACUCUAAAUGAUCAACCUCCGAUGACUCAUUUUUCUGGGGUUUUGUCCAGUACUGAGGGUCCGAAUGAUCACCCUCCGGUGCUUUUUCCUAAGCAACCCUUGUGAAGUCUAACUUUUGUUUGUUUAUUUUGACUCAUGUAUAUGUACAUAUUUGUAACUUAUCAGAGAUAUCAAUAAAUAAGUUUUGUUUCAUUUCAACGUAUUGUGUUAAAUACACCAAAGCCUUCUUCACUAAGUUCUUUGAAUUUUUUCUUUUGUUGAAGCUUAUAUGUUGAAGCUUUGUGAGUGAAGCAUGUAGGUUGAGGUAGUGUUCCCUUAAUUUCCCGAGUGAGGAAAACUUCUCGGUUGGAGACUUGAAAAAUUCAAAUCACUAAGUGGUCGUGAGACUUCCAAGUAUCAAGGUGCAGUAGCAUAUAGUGAGAGUCCACCAAGUCUCUGGUCGAGGGAGUUGAUGAAGAAGGUGUCUUGCUAGUAGCCAAGUUUCUAAAGUAACAAAACUUCACCAUUUUCUUUUCUAAGUGGUAGCCCAAAACUCCUCCUUCAUAUAUAUUUGUUAUGAAAGUUGUUAGGCCUAAAGAAGAUGAGGCCUGGGCAAUUUUUUUUUUUUCGAAUUUUCGAAUUUUUUAAUUUCCGAAUUUUCGAAAAAAAAUAGAUAUAUAUAUUUUUAAGAUUUGUAGGUGAAGUUUUGGUGUUGAAGCUUUGUAGGUGAAGCUUUGAGGUUGAAGCUUUGUUGGGUACCAUGAAUUGAUUUUGCUUCACACUAUCUUGAUCAAAAGUGUGUGAAGCUUUUGUAGGUGAAGCUUUUGUGGGUUAAGCUUUUAUGGGUCAAGCUUUUGUUGGUGAAGCUUUUGUGGGUCAAGUUUUGUGGGUGAAGCUUUUCUAGGUGAAACUUUUAUGUUGAAGCUUUGUAGGUGAAGAUUUUGUUGGGUACCAUGACUUAAUUUUGCUUCACACUAUCUUGAAACUUUUGUUAGUGAAGCUUUUGUGGUGAAGCUUUGUAGGUGAAGCUUUUGAGAAUUUGUAAUUGCCUUCCAUUUGUUGAAGCUUUUGUUUGUGAAGCUUUUGUGGUGAAGUUUUGUAGGUAAAGCUUUGUUGGGUACCAUGAAUUGAUUUUGCUUUACACUAUCUUGAUCAAGAUAAUGUAAAGCUUUUGAGAAUUUGUAGUUGUCCUCCAUUUAUGAAGCUUUGUUGAAUUUCCCAAUUUUUUUUUUUUUUUGGGAAACUAGAAAUUUGAAAAUAUGGGAGAGACAACAUAUACAAAUUUUGCUUCCACACUAUUGAGCAAGAGAUUGUGAUGCAAGCCACACCUUGUAGUAGUCGAAGGUUUGGAUGAACCAUAUAAAUUGAAUUUGCUUCGAACAGUCUUAAUCAAGAGUGUGUGAAGUUUUCUACGAGUUGUAGUUGCCCUCCAUUGAUGAAGCUCUUGUUGGCACCAUAAAUUGGUUUUGCUUCACACUGUCUUGAUCAAGAGUGCGUGAAGCUUUUCAGAAUUGUGGUUGCCCUCCAUUGAUGAAGUUCUUGUUGGCACUAUAAAUUGGUUUUGCUUCACACUUUCUUGAUCAAGAAUGUGUGAAGUUUUUGAGAAUUGUGGUUGCCCUCCAUUGAUGAAGCUCUUGUUGGCACCAUAAAUUUGUUUUGCUUCACACUGUCUUGAUCAAGAGUGUGUAAAGCUUUUCAGAAUUGUGGUUGCCCUCCAUUGAUGAAGCUCUUGUUGGCACCAUAAAUUGGUUUUGCUUCACACUGUCUUGAUCAAGAGUGUGUAAAGCUUUUGAGAAUUUGUUGUUGCCCUCCAUUGAUGAAGCUCUUGUUGGCACCAUAAAUUGGUUUUGCUUCACACUGUCUUGAUCAAGAGUGUGUAAAGCUUUUGAGAAUUGUGGUUGCUCUCCAUUGAUGAAGCUCUUGUUGGCACCAUAAAUUGGUUUUGCUUCACACUGUCUUGAUCAAGAGUGUGUGAAGCUUUUGAGAAUUAUGGUUGCCCUCCAUUGAUGAAGCUCGUGUUGGCACCAUAAAUUGGUUUUCCUUAAUUGAUAGGGAAUGAACUGAAGGGUAAAUUCUACCCCAUAGUAUAUGCUGCAGACAUUCCAGAUAGGGCAGUAGGUUACGAUGGGGAAACUUCCAGGUAUGUGUACGCAUUUUGAGAAUAUAUAUACCAUUUAUAUUGAAGAACCACGGUAGUCUAGCAUAAGUCUAACCAGGUGCUAAUAUCAUGGAUAUAUAUAUAUAUAUAUAUAUAUAUAUAUAUAUAUAUAUAUAUAUAUAUAUAUGGAACAGGUUAUGCCAAAUAGGCAUGUUAGACUAAAAAUUGGUGGAGGGUAAAAUUAUUCUUUGCGAUGAGACUACUGGGGAUGGGGCUAUAUAUGCAGGCACAUUUGGUUAUGUUUUGACAAGCUGAAAUGCAGCAGAUGUAAUAGAUCCUGUUCCAAUACCAGCAACUUCCGUUUGGUUCCAUGUUGGUAACCAAAUUACCCAUUACAUGUUAGAAGCUAAAUAGCUUCUGAAGUUGAGGGAUCGAAUGCAGCAAGGAACUCUCGAGCUUGGAUUCGGUCUGCAUCGAAGAAGAAUGAAGAAUGAAGGGUUUUAGUCUCCAAUGGCUAGUUUCAAUUUGAAUGUAUGUGUGAGUGUGUGAGUGACAAGUGUACACUCCAAAUUAAAUCACUUAAACCCAAAUGAAGGGGUAGGAUUAAAUCUGGAGACAUAAGGUAGAAAUACUUAAACUGCCAAUCACUCUCUAAAAGAGUAUGGGUUAUUGCAAUACACCAUACCCUUCAAUCACUCAUCUACUUAAUGAAAUUAUGGCUAUUGCAUUUUGCAUAGCCUUGAAGUCAUCAGUACCAACUCCAAGUUCUCUCUAUUCUCUGCUAUUCUAAUUCUAAGAAACCUAUCCAAAACAAUCCAUCAAAACACCUAAAUAAACAAAUUUCAUCAUGGCCUUAGAGCCUAGUUUCUGAUCUUACAACUUUCUGGGUGUAAUCUGGGCAAGUUAAGAUCUUUAGGAGCACCUACGUAGUGUCUUCAACAACAACAACAACAACAAAAAACAACCCUACAAAUGAAGGGAUCAAGCAGUAGCAGUGAGCUAAAAGCUCCAAUCUUUGAUGGGGAGAACUAUGAUUUUUGGAGAAUAAGAAUGACACCAUUUUCAAGUCCUAUGAUUUAUUGGAUAUGGUUCAACAUGAGUAUGAACUACCUGAGAUGGAGGUCGAUGCUCUAGAGGAUGACCUCACAGAAACACAACUCAAAACAUUAAAGUGGAAUCGGAUGGAGGAUGCUAUAGCACUUAGGAUCAUCCAGGGUGCUGUUUUAGACACCAUUUUCCCGAGGAUAACAAAUGAAGAGUCUGCAAAGGGAGCUGGGAAGUUUUACAACAAGAGUACAGAGGAGACACCAAAGUCAGAAAGGUAAAACUUCAGUCCCUUAGAUGAGAUUUCGAGUAUACAAAAAUGAGGGAAAAUGAGCUAUUAAAAGACUACUUUACUAGGCUAUGUGAUGUUGUAAAUAAGAUGAAAACAUAUGGUGAGGAACUGCUUAAUGAGAGAGUUGUCCAGAAACUGUUGAUCAGUUUGACUAAACCCUAUGAUUUAAUAAUGAGUGUCAUUGAAGAAACCAAAGACAUUGAAACUCUUAAUGUGCAAGAUCUGAUGGCAUCCUUAAGAGCUUUUGAUCAAAGGCUUGAGAGGCAUGCAGAUUCUGCCACUGAGAAAGCAUUUCAAUUACUCUCUGUUGGAUCUAGUAGUCAAGCUAGUGCAAGCAGACAAAAACCACAAUGGAAGGGCAAGAACAAGAAAUGGGAAGGAAAUGGGUAUCAAAACCCUAGACCUAACCAAGGCAGCAACUCAAAUGAAAAUCCAAAAACUAAGAAACAAUGCAAGCGCUGUGACAAAUUUCAUCUUGGGGAGUGUUGGUUCAAGGACAAGCCUAGAUGUCAUAAAUGUAACAAGUUCGGGCACAUCAUGAGGGAUUGCAGAUCAAAGAAUGUGCAGCAAGUGAACUAUGCAAACCAAAUUGAAGAAAAAGCAAAUGUGUUUUGUGUUUUCAAUGCAAAAGUGGAGAAAAAACAAUGAAGUAGGGUACAUUGACAGUGGCUGCAGGAACCAUAUGAUUGCACAUGAGUCAUUACUCAUUGACCUUAACACAAACUUCACUGGAAAAGUGAAAAUAGGAGAUGGAAACAUUGUCAAAGCCACUAGAAGAGGAACUCUAGUCAUUAACACCAAGAAAUGAAGAAGAUGUAUAAGGGAAGUGAUGCUAGUGCCUGGAUUGGAUGAGAAUUUACUUAGUGUGGGUCAAAUGAUGGAGCAUGGUUAUUUCCUACUCUUUGGGGGAACUGUGGUCGAGAUUUAUGAUGAUAGAUCCCUAUUAAACCUAGUGACUAGAGUGGAAGUGAAAAACAUAAGCUUUCCACUUAUGUUGAAGUACCUAGAAAAGGUGGCAAAGAAAGCAAGUGUGACAGGUUCCAUGAAGCUAUGGCACAAGAGGUUUGGUCACUUAAACAUGACAAGUCUAGAAAAUCUGCAAAAACAUGAAAUGGUACAAGGUAUACCAAAGUUGGAUCAAUGCAGUGAAACCUAUGAAGGGUGUGUGUUUGGAAAGCAUCACAGAGAUCCAUUUGAAGUUGGAAAGGCUUGGAGGGCAACAAAGCCACUCGAAUUGGUUCACACGAAUGUGUGUGGACCAAUGCAAACAACAAUAAUCAGUGGAAACAAGUAUUUCCUAACCUUCAUUGAUGACUACUCACGGAUGUGUUGGGUGUAUUUCAUGAGGUUCAAGUCUGAGGUAUUCAGAAUAUUCAAGAAGUUCAAGGCAAUGGUGGAAUUGCAAAGUGGAUAUCAAAUCAAAAGACUGAGAAAUGAUAGAGGAGGUGAGUACACCUCACAUGAGUUCAAUGCAUUCUGUGAGGGUGUGGGAUUAAAGAAGUAACUCGCUAUGGCAUAUUCACCACAACGGAAUGGCAUUACAGAAAGGAAAAAUGGGACUAUAGUUAAAAUGGCUAAGUCUAUGAUGCAUGAGAAGAACAUGCCCUAUACAUUUUAGGGUGAAGCGGUAAAUACUACAGUGUACCUAUUGAAUAGGUGCACUACUAAAGCAUUGAACAAGAAGACCCCAUUUGAAGGUCAGUGAAAAAAAAGCCUUCUGUAAAGCAUCUGAGAAUGUUUGUCUUAGUGUGCUAUACUCACAUUCCUCAACAACUAAGGCAAAAGUUGGAGAAAUCAAGCAACAAAGGUGUUUUUGUGGGUUAUGGUACCAGUGAGAAAGGGUACAAAGUUUACAACCUGUCAACUUAGAAGAUAAUUUUAUCAAGGGAUGUUAUCUUUGAUGAAGCCUCAACAUGGAACUAGGAAACAAGGGUAGAAGAGAAGGACAAUGUCUCUGUACAACUUAACCUCAACAAAAGGCAAACAAUAGAGCCUAUGGAAACUUCAAUUCAAGAAGAAACCAUAUAGAAUGGUGACACACAAGGGACUUCACAUCAAGCAAGCAUGAGUCCACAACCGAGUUAAUCACAGAUAACAAUUCCAAGUUCAACUCCAAUAAGGUUGAGAAGCUUGGAUGAGAUCUAUGUUACAUGUAACUAUUGUGUAGUGGAAUCAGAAACAUAUGAAGAAGCUGUGAAAGGCAAGGCUUGGAAGAAAGCAAUGAAGGAAGAGCUUGAAAUGAUUGAGAAUAAUGACACUUGGGAAAUUGUAAAUCGACCAAGUGACAAGUCGGUGAUUAAAGUGAAAUGGAUGUACAAAGUGAAGCUAAACUUAGAUGGUUCUGUGCAAAAGAACAAGGCAAGGUUGGUAGCUAAAGGCUACUCACAGAAGCCUGGUGUAGACUUCAAUGAAACCUUUGCUCCAGCAAUAAGGUUAAACACCAUAAGGACCUAGAUAGCCCUAACAGCCAAGAAAGGUUGGAAGCUACAUCAAUUGGAUGUUAAAUCUGCAUUUCUAAAUGGCGUGUUAGAGGAAGAGGAGGUGUUUGUGAAACAACGUUAAGGGUUCACAAGUGAAGCAUUUCUAGAGAAGGUGUACAAGCUAAGGAAGGCACUCUAUGGCCUAAAACAAGCUUAAAGGGCUUGGUACAAUGAGAUUGAUUCUUAUUUCACUGAGAAAUGAUUUUAGAAAAGUCCUAGUGAAGCUACAUUCUAUACUAAGAUAAAAACCAACAACAAGAUACUUAUUGUCUCAAUCUAUAUGGAUGAUGUUGUCUACACUAGAAAUGAUGUUGCAAUGAUUGAAGAGUUCAAAGAAGAAAUGAUGAAGAGGUAUGAAAUGACUGACCUAGGCCUCUUGCAUCAUUGUAUUGGCAUUGGGGUAAUUCAAGAGGCAAACAGCAUCUUCAUUUAUCAAAGGAAGUAUGUUGAAACCUUACUUGAAAGGUAUGGUUUGAAAGGUUGCAAACCAGUCUCUACACCUCUAAUUGCAAAUGAGAAGCUUAAGAAGGAUGAUGGAGGUGAACCUGCAGAUGCUAGUCACUACAAAAGCAUUGUUGGUAGUCUAUUGUACCUAACUGCAAUAAGGCCAGAUCUAAUGUUCUCAGCAAGCCUACUUUCUAAGUUUAUGCAGAAUCCUAGUAAGAUACAUAUGGGGACAACAAAAAGAGUUCUAAGAUAUGUGCAAGGAACGCUUUAUUAUGGCAUCAAGUAUGAAAUGGGGAAGUCAACUAUCCUAAUUGGAUUUUGUGACAGUGACUGGGGUGGUAGUGAAGAUGAUAGCAGAAGCACAUCGGGCUAUGCUUUCACCUUUGGAUCAGGGGAUUUUUCAUGGGCCUCUGUGAAGCAACAAAGUGUUGCACUAUCCACAGCCAAGGCAGAGUACAUGAGUGCAUCAAAAGCAACGGCUCAAGCUAUUUGGCUAAGGUUUAUACUCAAAGACUUUGGCAAAUUGCAAGUUGAAGCCACACCACUUCUGUGUGACAACACCUCUGCAAUUGCCAUGACCAAAAACCCAAUUUUUCAUCAAAGAACAAAGCACAUUAAGAGAAGAUAUCAUUUCAUCAAAUAGACAUUGCAAGACAACACAAUCAAGCUAAGAUAUUGCAACACAGAAGAUCAGAUCGCAGACAUUUUCACAAAAGCAUUACCGAAUGAGAGAUUCAAUUACAUGAGGAGAUUGCUUGGAUUGACUCCCAUAAGCAGUUUAGAAGGAAGUGUUGGAAGCUAAAUUGCUUAUGAAGUCGAUGGAUCGAAGCCAGCAAGGAACUCCCGAGCUUGGAUUCAGUCUGCAUCGAAGAAUAAUGAAGAAAUGAAGGGUUUUAGUCUGCAAUGGCUAGUUUCAAUUUGAAUAUAUGUGUGAGUGUGUGAGUGACAAGUGUACACUCCAUAUUAAAUCACUUAAACCCAAAUGAAGGGGUAGGAUUAAAUCUGGAUAAGUAAGGUAAAAAUAUUUGUUUAAGUCUCUUGUCAAUCACUCUCUAAAAGAGUAUAGGUUAUGGCAAUGCACCAUACCCUUCAAUCACUCAUCUUGUUAAUGAAAUUAUGGCUGCUGCAUUUUAAACAGCCUUGAAGCCGUCAGUACCAACUCCAAGUUCUCUCUAUUCUCUGUUAUUCUAAUUCUAUGAAACCCAUCCAAAACAAUCCAUCAAAACACCUAAACAAACAAACUUCAUCAUUACGUAAACUCAACCAGGUAUCAAUAUUUGAGAAUGACAAUGCAUGAUUGAUUUAAAAUAUUGCUAAUGUGCGAAACUAACAUAAAUCAAAUGACCCCUUAUUAUGUUAUUACUAAUAAAUCCUGAAUCCAUGUAAUGAUUCGUAGGAACCCAACAACAACAAUUUGGAAAAGUACUGAGGGUAGGGAUGCACUGGCCCCAUAUUUACCUUCAUUCUCAUUAAGGGGUCCAAAUCCAAACACUCCUAACAUUCUCAAGGUAACUUCAAGGCCCCGUAGGUGUGUGAAUGCCGACUUAAAAAAUGAACAAACCGAAUCAUGAAUAUUGAGGGGUCUUAAUUUUCCUCCUUGUUUUCUCCUAUAUGUUGCAGCCAAAUAUCGCUUCUCCUGGAGUUUCCAUUCUAGCAGCAUGGCCUCCAAUUCCCCCAGUUUCAGGUGUUGAAGAUGAUGACAGAGUAGCUUCAUACAAUAUAAUCUUGGGAACAUCAAUGGCAUGCCCACAUGCUGCGGGCAUGGCUGCAUAUGUCAAAUCAUUUCACCCCAAUUGGUCACCUGCUGCUAUCCUGUCAGCUUUUUCGACUAUUGGUAUAGAUGCAUUUUCAUAAAUGUACCCAUUACAAUACAGCCGUUCUCUCACAUAUUUGAUGAGUCGUGUGACCAAUUAUUGUCAGAUAUCAUGUUACCAAGUCUUGUGAAAGAGGCUCUACAUAUAAUUAGACUUUGUCCAUGAUGUACAUUGUAUUACCUAAGAUUUAUAUGUUUGAUUAAUUUGUAACGAUUUUGC
rnacentral:lncRNA from 1 species